rnacentral:lncRNA from 1 species
UGCUAACCAAGGUUUUUAUGCCAUUUUGUAGUUAAAUGGGCUAAUUAUCUCAUUGUUGGGGAAAAUAAGGUAAGGAGCAUAAGAAAGAGGAGAAGGAGGAGAAGAAGAAGAAAUCAAGAAGAAGGAGAAGGAGGAGGAGGAGAAGAAGGAGAAGGUAUUUUUCUUCUCUUCUUCUUGUUCUUCUUUCUUUUCAUUUUUCCUAUUUCUUCUCCUCUUCUCCUCUUGUUGGAGCUAAAUUAUCUAAUUAUUUCUUUUUGGAGCUAUAUGGGCUAAUUAUGUCAUUUUAGAGGAAAACAAGCUAAGAAUAUAAUAUUCAUGAGCUAACCAAGGUUCUUAUGCCAUUUUGGACUUAUUAUGGCAUUUUGGAGCUAAAUGGGCUAAUUAUGUCUUCUUCUCUUCUUCUUCUCUUCUUCUCCUUCUUGUUUUUUUUCUUCUCUUCUUCUUCUUCUUCUUCUUCUUCUCCUCCUCCUCCUCCUCCUCCUCUCCUCUUCUCCUCCUCCUCUUCUUCUACUUCUUCCUCUUCUUUCUAUUAAGCUAACUAACUAACUAACCUAACUAACCAAGCUAACUAAACCUAUCGCCAAACCUAUACAACACUAAGCAGCAAAAAAAUAACAAAAACAUAAUCUACCACUAAGUAACUAAAAAAGAAUCUAGCUACCACUAAUUAACAAAACAGAAUCUACCACUAAACUACCUACUAAAUCUACUAAUUAACUAACUAAAUCUACCAACUAACUAAACUACCAACUAACUAAAGAUAAUCUACCAACUAACUAAACUACCACUAAAUCUACUAAUUAACUAACCUACCAACUAAACUAUAUAUACCACUAAAUCUAUUAAUUAGCAAAAAAAGGAAAAAAUCACCUUGGUUAGUAGUUGGCAGCCCGGGCGGUAACGGUUGGGGCGGUGGGUGACCUGGCCGGAGCUGGUGGAGGAGGGGGUCGCGGGGAGGAGAGGGCACCAGGGCAAGGGGUGGUGCAAUGGGGGAUGAGAGGGGGCCACGGGGAGGAGGGCACCAGGGCGAUGGUGGAGCAGGGGCACGGAGAGGAGGGGGCGGUGGUGGAGCCGGGGCACGGUGGUGGAGGAGGGGGUCACAGGGAGGAGGAGGGGCGAGCUCCGGCGGUGGGUCACGGGGAGAAGGGAAGACAAGCUCCAGCGGUAGCGUGGGGAGAGAAGACAAGCUCCAGCGGCAGCGCGGGGAGAGAGAAGGGGGCUGUGGUGAAUCGUUAUGGGGGAGAGAGAGGGGGUGGGGUGGGGGUUGACGACGUUAGGUCUAGUUGCCUCUUUGCUGUCUGCCCCCGACGGCAAAGUGGUAAUAGGCUGACGGCAAAGUGUUGGACCGUUAUGGGUUAGAGGGCGGUGUUGGGUGGGUUNNNNNNNNNNNNNNNNNNNNNNNNNNNNNNNNNNNNNNNNNNNNNNNNNNNNNNNNNNNNNNNNNNNNNNNNNNNNNNNNNNNNNNNNNNNNNNNNNNNNGAAGGUCCUUGGCCUUCUCCUCCUUCUCCUCCUCCUCCUCCUCCUCCUCCUUCUCCUUCUUCUCUUCCUCUUCUCCUCCUCCUUCUUCUCCUUCUCCUUCUCUUCUCUUUCUGUUCUUCUUUUUGUUCUUCCUUUUCAUUUCUCCUCUUCUUGGAGCUAAAUUAGCUAACUAUGUCUUUUCGGAGCUAAAUGGGCUAAUUAUCCCAUUUUAGAGGAAAACAAGCUAUGUAUAUAAUAUUAAUGAGCUAACCAAGGUUCUUAUACCAUUUUGAGCUUANNNNNNNNNNUUCAUUGUUUGGGAAAUUAAGACAAGGAGAAUAUGAAAGAGGAGAAGAAAGAGGAGGAGGAGGAGGAGAAGAAGAAGAAAUAAAUAAGAAGGAGGAUAAGGAGGAGGAGGAGGAGAAGGAAUAGAAGGUCCUUGGCCUUCUCCACCUUCUCCUCCUCCUCCUCCUUCUCCUUCUUCUUCUUCUUCUUCUUUCUUUUCAUUUUUCCUAUUUCUUCUCCUCUUCUCCUCUUCUUGGCGCUCAAUUAGCUAACUAUGUCUUUUUGGAGCUAAAUGGGCUAAUUAUCCCAUUUUAGAGGAAAACAAGCUAAGUAUAUAAUAUUAAUGAAAUAACCAAGGUUCUUAUGCCAUUUUGAGGUUAUUAUGGCAUUUUGGAGCUAACUGGGCUAAUUAUGUCAUUGUUGGAGAAAUUAAGGCAAGGAGAAUAUGAAAGAGGAUAAGAAAGAGGAGGAGGAGAAGAAGAAGAAGAAAUCAAGAAGAAGGAGGAGGAGGAGGAGGAGGAGAAGGACUAGAAGGUCUUUGGCCUUCUCCUCCUUCUCCUCCUCCUCCUCCUCCUCCUUCUCCUUCUUCUCUUCUGCUUCUUCUUUCUUUUCAUUUUUCCAAUUUCUUCUCCUCUUCUCCUCUUCUUGGAGCUCAAUUACCUAAUUAUGUCUUUUUGCAGCUAUAUGGGCUAAUUAUCCCAUUUUAGAGGAAAACAAGCUAAGUAUAUAAUAUUAAUGAACUAACCAAGGUUCUUAUGUCAUUAUGACGUUAUUAUGGCAUUUUGGAGCUAAAUGGGCUAAUUAUGUCAUUGUUGGGGAAAUUAAGGCAAGGAGAAUAUGAAAGAGGAGAAGAGAAACUUACCGUAGUGGUGAUCAAGGAGGAGGAACACCUGGAGAAGGGUCGUGCGAUGCCGCUCAGGAGUUAUUCUGUAGAAUAGAUAUUUUACAAUGUCUCGCUUAGCAUGAUGACACUCAAUUAUUUAUACUACUUUAUAAUGAAACUCACCGUGUCAAUCGAAGAGAAGACGGCCAUCGACGGAGGGACUUGACCGCUCUUCUCGCACAGACCUUGAAGAGUGGGUCAUAUUAGUUAGUAAUGAAACAGACAUUACAAACAUGAUUUGGCUAAUUUGAAAAAAAAACUUACCACAAAAAGCUCGUACAGGGCCCGUUGACCCGCCUCAUUUUGGGCCCUCUCCUCCUCAAUCAAUCGUGUCGUGGUAUGGUCCCUCUCAUCAAGAGCAGCCUGGCUUGCCAAUCUCUCUUUCUCAAGAGCAGCCUGGUUUGCCGCUCUCUCGUUCUGAAGAGCAGCCUGAAACACCAUUCCUCGGUACCACAGUAAUGAUCUAUGGUGACACACAUAAUGAAAUGGAUGAAUUUUUCUUAGUCCGUACAACUAACCUCGAUGGCAAGAUUGACUGGCCGUGGACGACGCGUUAUCUCAGGACAGCUGCUCGACUAGCACGCCUUGAUCUCCGGGAGAGUGAGUGGACAACGUAUUAUCCCAUCUCCAAUGGCUAUCGAGCCAUGGGGCCUCCCGCCACCAGAUAUCAUCACCAGCUCUAGAUCCAAAGGUUCCUGGCUAGGGUUGAAGUCAUCCCCUUUGGUAGCCUUCCCCGUGUCCCUGUAUGUCAUGAGCUUGUGGUGGGUUCAUAUGUUGGUGAAGUUAUUUGGAUCAUCCAGGUCAGACUCAGAGAAUGCCUUCCCCUUCUUGUACGAGGCAGUAUGGGCUGUGCCAUAAAGGUCAUACAAGUGUGGCAUCUCCGUCUUAUUGUGAUGCGCCUAAAAGAGAGGANNNNNNNNNNAUAUUAGCAUGAAGAAUGAAUUGCAUGAAUCAUGAAGCAAAUCACAUACCCAAUUUCGUCUGAACUGAAGUAAGUUGGCGUUGCUUUGAUGGUGUGGCACACCAACCAUUUGGCUACGCCGAUCCUUCGCAUUCUCGUGGACGGCUCGCCAGCUGCCUGUGCACCACUCAUCAACCAACGCCUCCCAACAAUCCAUCUUAUCCGCACACCAUAUCGGGGGCACUUGUAAGUUAUUAGAAAGAAUUUUGAGCGCUACGCCUAUGAAUGAAAUCAAGAAAACUACGUAGAAGGACUUAAGAAUAGGUAAUUACCUUCAUGUAUUGCUCCUUCUUCAGAAACUUUCCGCGGCAAUCCUUCUUCUGCUUCUUAAUACCACGCGUGGCGUAGUAGUCUCGAAUAGCCUGCGGCCGAGCCUCGUGGCGUAAGUUAUGUAGUAACCGCCUACACUCGGCGUCGAGAACCUUGGCCGCCUCCUCCUCAUAUCCAGCCUCACACCUAUAGAAGGUCUGCAAUCAAACGUGAAAACACCGAUUAGUACAAUAAUUAGCUAUAUUGUUAAUUUUAGAUUGUGUAAAAGGAUAAUUUACCCAAAAGCUCUUGAUCACCAUCUCGGCCCUCGUGUGGCACANNNNNNNNNNGACACCAUCUAUAAUCUCCUCCGGCGGGGCCUGCGCAGCCUGGUAGUGCUCCGAGGAAAAUCCUAGUGUAGGAACCUGACCCUCACCACGCAACAUGACAAACCCCAGGAAAUUUGUCCGGCAAAGCACACCAAGGACGGAGUUCGGCCUGCGGACUCCACGAGGGUGUGCCCAUCCCCUGCAGUAUGAUAAGGUCAACGCAUUAGAUAUUUGAACAAACUUGAAGGCAAAAGCUAAAAAAAAAGAGUAAAUGUACUUACCUAUCUCCUUCAGGUUUAAUCACCGGCCUCUGCACGCGGGUAGCCGGCAUGACCGGGAGACGUGUACUACCACGCUUGUACACGGUGGCCCCGUCCACCUGCACAUCGCCCUCACUAUUCGUAAACUCAUCCCCGCCAUCCUCGCCCCCUGAGCCACCCGGACCCUCGGUCCAAUCCGGAAACUCGGUCUCAUUCGGCCAGGUAUCCCAUCCGGGCCUCUCCACGUCGGGUGAAGCCUCCGGAACCGUAGUAUCGUGGGCCGAAUGCACCUCGACCCGAGGCUGAUCCUGGCCCGCAGUCUCAUGGGACGAAUGCCCGUGAACACCAGACUCCUGGACCGGAGUCCCCGUAGCCUCCUCCACAAACGGGUCGACCAUAGUAGUCCUAUGCUCGGGUGAAUGAGCUGGUGGUGGUGGCGAGGACGGCUCAACAGUCCUCCUGGAUCUUCCGCGGCAACCACCUCUCCAUGUACCCUUCCCCUUCUUCCCUACCCGACCAGCACCUCUCCAAGUGGGAAAUGCCGCCAACGAAGAAGAACGCACGAGUGGUGUCGACAGACUGUCUGCCAAGUCUCUACGGAGAGAUAGGGGUGGAAGGGAAGUACCACCCCUCGUGCGGGGCAGCUGGGAAGAACCCGUCGAGCGCUCUAGACCAACGCCCACCAUCUUUCAACACCUGGUGACCUGCCAUGAUAAAGAUUAAAAGAAAUUAGUACAACAUGCAAAAAUUGAAUAACUGACAUGAAAAAUAAUAUGUACAUGAAUAAUAAAGAUUCAAAUAUAUAUCAUUUAUCUUACAAACUAAUAAUCAUCAUCAGUAAAUGCAUCAUCAUCACUAUCACGCAUGUCUUCAUGAAUGACGUGCUCAUCGGGUUCAACAACGUGAAGUUGUGAAAGGCCUUUCUUUAAUCGUUGAAGCAUUCACAGGUCAUCGCAUCAGUAACCUCUACGAGUUCCAGGUCUUCUGGUUCCGGCGAGGGGUGGAGUCGGAUUCAUUGUUGCUGUUUACUUCCAUGUUCUUGGGUGAAGCACGUCGGUUCUUGAAAUGUUUCUUGGAAAGACGUGUUUCCUGGAAGAAUUCUCCAUCAUAUGUGUCUGGGUUAAUGUGUGCUUCAUAAUCCUGUUCAUUUGGGAGAGGUGGUCUGACAUGUGGCGGCACUUCAUAAACAACAUACCAACCUUCCAGAUUCUUAUCCGUUUGGCAUGCCCAUGGUAGAUAGAAAACUUGGGUCGCCUAUUGAGCCGUAAUAUAGACAUUGGGAACAUCUAAAUGGGUGUUUGGAUUGAUUUCGACUAGCCCUAUAUGUUCAUGAGUCCUUCUAGUCUCCUUCGGCUGGAACUAAUAACAUUUGAAGACUACGAUGUUCGGUGGGUUUUCACCUUAUAAUUGAAGUUCAUAAAAUGCUUCCACUCUUCCAUAAUACUCGAUAACACCUUCGCCGAUAGCACAGACACCACAAUUUUUAGAUUUCCGGUCGGGCAUAGAUAGCUCUUUGCCAAAGGUACGAAAGAGAUACCCGUUGACAUUGUAUUUCUCAAAUGAACGGACCUUAUAGUCAAAACCAUUAGCGACCUGUCUCAAUUCGGCGUCCAUAGACUCUGAAUUAGCCUACAUGUUUAAUACGAAAUGAUUGUUGCAUUAGCCGCAAGUUAGACAAAGAAAUGAAAUGGUCCAUUAUUUAUAAUUACCGUUUGUUUGAACCAAGAGAUGAAACAAAGAUAGCUGCCUCCUGUCUUUGACAGAAGCUCAUACUCUUCGACGGAAUCAUUUUCGAUCACCGCUCCAUCCAAGAAUUGGCGACGUAACGGCCGUUUGAAAUAUCUGGGAAUAAGAGCAGUUCAAAGGAAUUAGAAUUUAUAGGAAAAUGUGCCGAGAACUCACUCGAUGUACCGCCGCAUUUCUGUUAGGUUGUUGAAGAUAUACAAUGAAAUGUUCCGCCAUUCUUGGACAUCCAACGUUAUUGGUUUCGAAGCACCGGGUAGUGCGAGCUUCCCUUUAAAUAGGCUGAGGUUGGACCCACGUUUUUAGGGUCUGCAUCAUUGUGCCGAGGCUUCGGAUUAUGCAAAUGAUGAUUUUUGGCUUCGUAGUGUGUUGUCACAAAGUUUGCCACCUCCUCAGUAAUGAAUGCCUCAGCCAUCGAUGCUUCAAUUCUAUGCUUAUUUUUACAUUUAGCUCGAAGGGUCUUGUGCAUACUCUCAGUUGCAUAGCACCAACGAUCUUGCACGGGCCCACCCAAUCUUGCCUCGGUCGGUAGAUGUAAAAUCAAAUGCUGCAUUGGAUUAAAGAACCCCGGUGGAAAGAUCUUCUCUAACUUGGACAAGAACUCCGGUGCAAACUCCUCCAUGUCUUCUACCACGCCAGGUGACAAUUCUUUCACACAAAGAACACGGAAGAAAUAGCUCAGCUCCGCCAGUACUAGCCAUUCAUCCUCAGGAAUAAAGCCACGUAACAUCGCCGGCAUUACGCGCUCUAGCCAUAUGUGCCAAUCAUGAUUCUUGAGACCAAAGAUUUUUAAUUUUUCAAGACUCGCUCCCCUCUUUAGAUUCGCGGCAUACCUAUCGGGCAACAUCAAGUGCAUUUUGACACACAAGAUAAUUUCCCUCAUAGCUGGCCUUCCAAGAUUGAACCAGGCCUUUGUCUUCGACCACUUCUGCUUUCCUUUGCCUUCUCGCAUGUUUUGUAACGGUCUAUGACAUAGAUUCUCUUGAUCGACUCUAGCCUUAGUAUUAUCCUUUGUCUUUCCAUCUAUGUCAAACAAUGUACCAAAAAUAGCCUCUCCGAUAUUCUUUUCAGUGUGCAUCAUGUCGAUAUUGUGUGGAAGAAGGAGGUCUUUGNNNNNNNNNNNNNNNNNNNNNNNNNNNNNNNNNNNNNNNNNNNNNNNNNNNNNNNNNNNNNNNNNNNNNNNNNNNNNNNNNNNNNNNNNNNNNNNNNNNNCCUUCUCCUCCUUCUCCUCCUUCUUCUUCUUCUUCUUCUUCUUCUUCUUCUUCUUCUCCUCCUUCUUCUUGAUUUCUUCUUCUUCUUCUCCUUCUCAUCUUUCUUCUCCUCUUUGUUAUUCUUCUUACCUUAUUUUCCCCAACAAUGACAUAAUUAGCCCAUUUAGCUCCAAAAUGACAUAAUAAGCUCAAAAUGGCAUAAAAACCUUGGUUAGAUCAUGAAUAUUAUAUUCUUAGCUCGUUUUCCUCUAAAAUGACAUAAUUAGCCCACAUAGCUCCAAAAAGACAUAAUUAGAUAAUUUAGCUCCAAGAAGAGGAGAAGAGAUAGGCAAAAUGAAAAGAAGGAAGAAGAAGAAGAAGAGGAGAAGAAGGAGAAGGAGGAGGAGGAGAUGAAGGAGAAGGAGGAGGAGGAGGAGAAGGAGGAGAAGAUCACCUCCUCCUUCUCCUCCUUAUCCUCCUUCUUCUUCUUCUCCUUCUUCUUCUUCUCCUCCUCCUCCUCUUUCUUAUCCUCGUUUCCUUAUUUUCCCCAACAAUGAGAUAAUUAGCCCAUUUAGCACCAAAAUGACAUAAUAAGCUCAAAAUGGCAUAAAAUCCUUGGUUAGCUCAUGAAUAUUAUAUUCUUAGCUUGUUUUCCUCUAAAAUGACAUAAUUAGCCCAUAUAGCUCCAAAAAGACAUAAUUAGAUAAUUUAGCUCCAUCAAUAGGAGAAGACGAGAAGAAAUAGGAAAAAUUAAAAGAAGGAAGAAAAUGAAGAAGAAGAGAAGAAGAAGGAGAAGGAGGAGUAGGAGAAGAAGGAGGAGAAGAAGGAGAAGGAGGAGAAGACCUUCUCCUCCUUCUCCUUCUUCUUAUUCUUCUCCUUAUUCUUGAUUUCUUUUUCUUCUUCUUCUCCUCCUCCUCUUUUGUCUCCUAUUUCUAAUUCUCCUUACCUUAUUUUCCCCAACAAUGACAUAAUUAGCCCAUUUAGCUCCAAAAUGACAUAAUAAGCUCAAAAUGGCAUAAUAACCUUGGUUAGCUCAUGAAUAUUAUAUUCUUAGCUUGUUUUCCUCUAAAAUGACAUAAUUAGCCCAUAUAGCUCCAAAAAGACAUAAUUAGAUAAUUUAGCUCCAACAAGAGGAGAAGACGAGAAGAAAUUGGAAAAAUGAAAAGAAGGAAGAAGAAGAAGAAGAAGAAGAGAAGAAGAAGGAGAAGGAGGAGGAGGAGAAGAAGGAUAAGAAGGCUCCUCNNNNNNNNNNNNNNNNNNNNNNNNNNNNNNNNNNNNNNNNNNNNNNNNNNNNNNNNNNNNNNNNNNNNNNNNNNNNNNNNNNNNNNNNNNNNNNNNNNNNAAGAGGAGGAGGAGGAGAAGAAGAAGAAAUAAAGAAGAAGGAGGAGAAGGAGGAGGAGGAGGAGGAGGACUAGAAGGUCCUUGGCCUUCUCCUCCUUCUCCUCCUCCUCCUCCUUCUCCUCCUCCUCCUCCUCCUUCUCCUUCUCCUUCUUCUCUUCUUCUUCUUCUCCUUCUUCUUCUUUCUUUUCAUUUUUCCUAUUUCUUCUCCUCUUCUCCUCUUCUUGGAGCUAAAGUAGCUAACUAUGUAUUUUUGGAGCUAUAUGGGCUAAUUAUCCCAUUUUAGAGGAAAACAAGCUAAUUAUAUAAUAUUAAUGAGCUAACCAAGGUUCUUAUGCCAUUUUGAGCUUNNNNNNNNNNNNNNNNNNNNNNNNNNNNNNNNCUAAGGCAAGGAGAAUAUGAAAGAGGAGAAGAAAGAGGAGGAGGAGAUGGAGGAGAAGGAGGAGGAGGAGGAGAAGGACUAGAAGGUCCUUGGCCUUCUCCUCCUCCUCCUCCUCCUUCUCCUUCUCUUCUUCUUCUGCUUCUUUCUUUUCAUUUUUCCUAUUUCUACUUCUCUUCUCCUCUUCUUGGAGCUCAAUUAUCUAACUAUGUCUUUUUGGAGCUAUAUGGGCUAAUUAUCCCAUUUUAGGGGAAAACAAGCUAAGUAUAUAAUAUUAAUGAGCUAACCAAGGUUCUUANNNNNNNNNNNNNNNNNNNNNNNNNNNNNNNNNNNNNNNNNNNNNNNNNNNNNNNNNNNNNNNNNNNNNNNNNNNNNNNNNNNNNNNNNNNNNNNNNNNNNNNNNNNNNNNNNNNNNNNNNNNNNNNNNNNNNNNNNNNNNNNNNNNNNNNNNNNNNNNNNNNNNNNNNNNNNNNNNNNNNNNNGGGAGAAGAAACAGGAGGAGGAGGAGAAGAAUAAGAAAUAAAGAAGAAGGACGAGAAGGAGGAGGAGGAGGAGAAGGACUAGAAGGUCCUUGGCCUUCUCCUCAUUCUCCUCCUCCUCCUCCUCCUCCUUCUUCUUCUCUUCUUCUUCUUCUUCUUCUUUCUUUUCAUUUUUCCUAUUUCUUCUCCUCUUCUUGGAGCUCAAUUAGCUAACUAUUUCUUUUUGCAGCUAUAUGGGCUAAUUAUCCCAUUUUAGAGGAAAACAAGCUAAGUAUAUAAUAUUAAUGAACUAACCAAGGUUCUUAUGUCAUUUUGAGCUUAUAAUGUCUUUUUGGAGCUAAAUGGGCUAAUUAUGUCAUUGUUGGGGAAAUUAAGGCAAGGAUAAUAUGAAAUAGGAGAAUAAAGAGGAGGAGGAGGAGAAGAAGAUGAAAUAAAGAAGAAGGAGGAGAAGGAGGAGGAGGAGGAGGUGAAGAACUAGAAGGUCCUUGGCCUUCUCCUCCUUCUCCUCCUCCUCCUCCUCCNNNNNNNNNNNNNNNNNNNNNNNNNNNNNNNNNNNNNNNNNNNNNNNNNNNNNNNNNNNNNNNNNNNNNNNNNNNNNNNNNNNNNNNNNNNNNNNNNNNNCUAAGGACCUUCUAGUCCUUCUCCUCCACCUACUCCUUCUCCUCCUUCUAUUUUAUUUCUUCUUAUUCUUCUCCUCCUCCUCUUUCUUCUCCUCUUUCAUAUUCUCCUUGCCUUAAUUNNNNNNNNNNNNNNNNNNNNNNNNNNNNNNNNNNNNNNNNNNNNNNNNNNNNNNNNNNNNNNNNNNNNNNNNNNNNNNNNNNNNNNNNNNNNNNNNNNNNNNNNNNNNNNNNNNNNNNNNNNNNNNNNNNNNNNNNNNNNNNNNNNNNNNNNNNNNNNNNNNNNNNNNNNNNNNNNNNNNNNNNNNNNNNNNNNUUGUGCUCCAAGAAGAGGAGAAGAGGAGAAGAAAUAGGAAAAAUAAAAAAGAAAGAAGAAGAAGAAGAAGAAGAAGAGAAGAAGGAGAAGGAGGAGGAGGNNNNNNNNNNGCUUAGCUUGUUUUCCUCUAAAAUGGGAUAAUUAGCACAUAUAGCUCCAAAAAGACAUAGUUAGCUAACUGAGCUCCAAGAAGAGGAGAAGAGGAGAAUAAAUAGGAAAAAUGAAAAGAAAUAAGAAGAAGAAGAAGAGAAGAAGGAGAAGGAGGAGGAGGAGGAGGAGGAGAAGGAGGAGAAGGCCAAGGACCUUCUAGUCCUCCUCCUCCUCCUCCUCCUUCUCCUCCUUCUUCUUUAUUUCUUCUUCGUCUCCUCCUCCUCCUCUUUCUUCUCCUAUUACAUAUUAUCCUUGCCUUAAUUUCCGCAACAAUGACAUAGUUAGCCCAUUUAGCUCCAAAAAGACAUUAUAAGCACAAAAUGACAUAAGAACCUUGGUUAGCUCAUUAACAUUAUAUACUUAGCUUGUUUUCCUCUAAAAUGGGAUAAUUAGCCCAUUNNNNNNNNNNNNNNNNNNNNNNNNNNNNNNNNNNNNNNNNNNNNNNNNNNNNNNNNNNNNNNNNNNNNNNNNNNNNNNNNNNNNNNNNNNNNNNNNNNNNGAGGAGCCUUCUUAUCCUUCUUCUCCUCCUCCUCCUUCUCCUUCUUCUUCUCUUCUUCUUCUUCUUCUUCUUCCUUCUUUUCAUUUUUCCAAUUUCUUCUCGUCUUCUCCUCUUGUUGGAGCUAAAUUAUCUAAUUAUGUCUUUUUGGAGCUAUAUGGGCUAAUNNNNNNNNNNGAGAAUUAGAAAUAGGAGACAAAAGAGGAGGAGGAGAAGAAGAAGAAAAAGAAAUCAAGAAUAAGGAGAAGAAUAAGAAGAAGGAGAAGGAGGAGAAGGUCUUCUCCUCCUUCUCCUUCUUCUCCUCCUUCUUCUCCUACUCCUCCUUCUCCUUCUUCUUCUCUUCUUCUUCAUUUUCUUCCUUCUUUUAAUUUUUCCUAUUUCUUCUCGUCUUCUCCUAUUGAUGGAGCUAAAUUAUCUAAUUAUGUCUUUUUGGAGCUAUAUGGGCUAAUUAUGUCAUUUUAGAGGAAAACAAGCUAAGAAUAUAAUAUUCAUGAGCUAACCAAGGUUAUUAUGCCAUUUUGAGCUUAUUAUGUCAUUUUGGAGCUAAAUGGGCUAANNNNNNNNNNNNNNNNNNNNNNNNNNNNNNNNNNNNNNNNNNNNNNNNNNNNNNNNNNNNNNNNNNNNNNNNNNNNNNNNNNNNNNNNNNNNNNNNNNNNUAUUACUCUCAUAACAACACCUUUUUAACACCACACACACACACACUUGGUUUAUGCGGAAACGCUGGACGUAGUUUAAGCAGCACCACCCAACUGUCCUUGACCGUGGACACGGCUAUUCGAAUAGUUUGACACUCUGCAGAGGUAGUAUGCUGGACCAACGAGAAACAAGAAACUUCCGUGUCAUCCACGACUCGCGGUAUAUCACGUAUACCCGAGGUAAGUACCCGUUCAUCAUCUUUCCCCAGACGAUACUAGACAAACAGGUCCACUCGAUUGGUACACAGCCCACAUGUUGUACGUCUUACGAGCACCGACUCUGGACUGUAUCAACCAUGGAGGGACCAACGGUGUGCCUGGAACUCAUAAUAAUGGCAUAGUCGUCCUACCUGGCACGGCCCCAUCACGAGAGUGACACCGAUCACUCCCGCCACUAGUAAUGUGGCUCUUUGCUAGUACCGACCAGAGUAAUCAACAAAGCCCCGUCCCAUAAAGAGGUAUCGUGGUCGUACUGGUAAGGUUGGGACGGUCGACACAUCAUAAAUCUAAUCCCAUUUCCGAAACCACACAUGCAAAAUACCCGGUGCACCACUUCUCCAAAAGUGGCCACCAACUCAUCAUCACCCUCGGGCAUUAGUGGCACCCGACGGGGUUUNNNNNNNNNNCAUCAUCAUGCUCAUGAUAAUAUGCUCUAGCUUUACUUGUCAACAUGGUAAUGACAUGACCCUCAAGGGGUAGGGUCAAGCUCAGUGCAAUGAUCUUACUCUACUAGUCAGCAUGACAGUAGCAUGAUCCUCAUAGAUGGUAGGGUCAAGCUCAUCAUGCUUGUGCUCCGAGGAGCCUUCGGUACCACCACCGCAAUGAUGAACCGGCAUCGUGAUCACAUGCAACGGGAAAAUAACAACUAUACUAGCAUGCAACAAUGUUUAUUAUUAAGUCAUGGUCAAAGGGCUGCUUGCCUUGGUCAGCUAGGUAUCCAGGGUCUUUGAGGUCUUCCGCUCCGGAUCCUCCGUCACUCGGUAACUCUACUGUCGAGAAGGGAAUAAAUAAAUAAUAGCUCACACCAAAACAGAUCACAAGGUGCUUUUAAAAAUGUUGCAAAGUUUGAAUAAAUUCAGUUUAUUAUUUUGGAAAAUGUUUCCUAUGGUUUUUAUUAGCUAAGCAUAUUUAUUUAAAAGCAAAGAGGAGAAAACAAUUGCUUUUAAUAUCAUUUUAUUAUACCAAAACAGAUUCUGUUUUUGAUAAAUGUCAAACUCUACAGAAUCAAUUACUACACAUUUUUAGAAAAUUCUUGGUGGAAGAAUCAUAUUUUUCUACUGGCUAAAUAUUUUUAUAAAAAUCAUUUAAGCUGCAGGUUAAAAAUAAAAGAAAAAGGCUAAGGGAGGGAGACCCAGUCGGCCCAGCCAGCAGACCGGCCACCAGGCGCGCGCCGCCUAGGUUCAAACCUGACCUGCGGGCCCCUGGGGUCAGCGUCAGCGGCUGCGCGCGCUGGCUGCCGCAGGACACCGACAGGUGGGCUCCAUCUGUCGGAUCCUUCUCCUACCUCCAGCCAGAGAGGUGGAGACGGACGCCGGCGAGGCUACCGUUGCCCUCAGGCCAAUCUAGGAGCGGGAACGGGUCCCUCGUUCCUCCGCCUACCUGCUCGUGGUCGGGACGUCACCGGAGGUGGUCUGGNNNNNNNNNNNNNNNNNNNNNNNNNNNNNNNNNNNNNNNNNNNNNNNNNNNNNNNNNNNNNNNNNNNNNNNNNNNNNNNNNNNNNNNNUCGCCGGCGACGAGGUGACCGUGGCAGAAAGGUUUCGGGGUGGCGUCGAGCUAGUGGCUAGGGGCACGGAUUCGCUCGGGAAAGUUGGGGAAAAUGAUCCUGGUGUCAAGGGGAGUGCAAUGGGAGGUCGGGCGGCGCAGGAGCCGGCGUGUAGCCGGAGAUCGACCGGAGCUCCGAGGCGGAGGGGCCUCGGUCGAUCUCGAGCACCAAGGCUCUGCGAGCUCGAUUGGGCGGCUAGGGGGAGUCUAGUUUUUGUGCUGAAGCUGCCUGGGGGGUGUUGGGGUGCCGGGGGGACCUAUUUAUAGGCCAGGCGGCGGUGAGCUGACUCGGGCGNNNNNNNNNNNNNNNNNNNNNNNNNNNNNNNNNNNNNNNNNNNNNNNNNNNNNNNNNNNNNNNNNNNNNNNNNNNNNNNNNNNNNNNNNNNNNNNNNNNNCCCCCGCGGCUGGUCAAUAAUGCGAUGGUGGCGGUCCCCCUCGGUGGUGGAGGGGGAUCCUCCGUGCCGCGCUGCUCGGAGAUCUUCGUACGAUAAGCCUCCGCGCGGAGUCGCUUCUUCCUGUUGCCGCCAUGGGCUGGUCGUGUCGCCGCCCGACGUUGAUUCCCUCCUUGGUGUGCCGUCGCGUCUCCGUUGUCGUAAUUCGUCUGUGCCAUCUCCUCCGCCCUCUGCAGGCUGCGUCGAAGGGAGAGUUCCUGUCUAUCUGCCCGGGCUGUCGAGGGGCGAACGGGUCUUGGUGAUGCAUGCCAGCGUGCACGUCAGUUGUCUCGCCGUUAGCUUCUCGUCCCUGGUGAUUGUCGGUGUGGUGCGCUUCAGGGCCGGUCGCUGUGGUCUGGAAGAGGUGGAGGGCAGCGUGGAGCGCGUCUCUCUCGGCCCCGCCAAGAGCGGGCAGGGCCCCAAAGCUUGCAGGUUUGGGGGCCGGCACGCGGUGCGAGCCCCCGGCGCCCGACGCCUGUGGCCUUGAAGAUGUACCAGGCUGGAUGGUGUUCUGGGCAAUGGCGAUUAGUUCCAUAAUGUGGUCCAACCAAGCAUCAAAGCCCCCUCGAGUCGGUCGUUGGCGGAGCAUCUCUCUUGAAAUCCGCAACGCGUCAUGUGCACUGAGGUCCCCCAAGUCGAUGCGGCACACUGCGGAUGCCCGGGCCGCCCCCAGCCCCCAUGCGCCUGGGUGGCGCGGGUGGCCGUCACGGCGGAAACAAUGUUGACGGCGUGGUAUGAGCCGCCUGGUCCCGCGACGCUGGUAUGAGAGCCUCCAGCCGCUGUGACAUGGUGGUCGGAGAUCAGCUCGUCGAGGCCCGGAGAAGCCGGUUUGUCGCCGGCCAUCGGUGCAGCAAUCUGGGACGGAAGAAGCUGCAAGAAAGCCUUCACACACCCCUACCUGGCGUGCCAAGUGUCGGAUUUCGGGCUCCGCAAAACCAUAAGGAUUCGAACACUGGGGUGUGAGCGUAGGUUCUUCCCUACUUCACCUCGCCCAGACUCUACUCGAUGGGAACGGCGAAAAACUCACUCGAAGGUGAGGAGAACUCAGAAGACAUAAGUUUACCCAGGUUCGGGCCGUUGCAAAGCGUAAAACCCNNNNNNNNNNNNNNNNNNNNNNNNNNNNNNNNNNNNNNNNNNNNNNNNNNNNNNNNNNNNNNNNNNNNNNNNNNNNNNNNNNNNNNNNNNNNNNNNNNNNAUAUGUAUAACAUCACUGUCAUGCAAGUGCUUCGAUGAAGCCUUCGGUACCAUCACACCAAUGAUGAACCGGCACUGUGAUCACAUGCAACGGAAAAGUACUUGCUAUUCUAGCAUGCAUCAAUUUAUAUGCUCAAGUCAUGGUCAAAGGGCUGCUUGCCUUGCUCACGUAAGUUCUCGGGGUCUUCGAGGUCUUCCGCUCCAACUCCGAAUACUCCGUCUACCGUCAACUAUCGUCGGAAACAACUAUAGUAAGCCAUAUAGCAAGCAGAAUAAAAGUGUUCUAUAAAUAGAAGUUUUAUUUUUCUUGGACCUCUCUGGUCAUAAGAAAAAUACCUGAAGCUUCUCACAGGAGAUUUGAAUCAUCAAGGAUUUUUGAAUAGGUGAAAGGAGCAAUAGGUAAUCAUUGAAGAAGCCAACGGAAAUCAUUCUGUUAAAAAUGAGUGGAGGCACCCAUUUAACAGAGAAGGAUUUUAGAAAUAUUUAGGAAGUGGUUUCACUGGAUUUGGAGAUGGUAUGAAUAUUAUAGAGAUUUUACAAUGAGGAAUAAAUAGCAAUAGGAGCUAUUUAUUUAUUGCAACAGAAUUAAGUCACACAAAAAUGUUGACGAGAGUCCCGAAAAUAGAGACUGAUUUUAUGAGGCUCUGGGAGUUUGAAUCACUCCAUUUGGAGUUGAUUUGCAUCCUAGGGAAAUUUCCAAAGUGGAAUCAAAUAUGGACAUAUCUGGAUUUUAAAUGAAAUGCCACAGAAAGUGGGUAGGGAAAAAUGUGCAAAGCACUUAUUUGGAUAGGCCUGAUUUUUAGGAUCCUGCAGAAAUUUGAAUCAAUGAAAUACGAGUUAGUAUGAAUUUAUGGGAGAUUUUGGAAGUUUUAACUGAAUAUGAAAAAGGGAAAAGACUCAGCUUUGGGGGGGCUAUCCUGCGCACUGGGCGCUUGGUAGGCCUCCAGGCCGGCCCAGCUGCGCUAGCUGGCCAGCUAAGUGGCCACGUUGAUGGCGUAGUGGAGGAAGGGCGCCUUCGGCCUUGAGGAAGCGGAGUCUUGGGGGUGCGCUUCCACUUAAAGGAGCGGGCCCAACUGGUGAGCAGCUAACGAGGGGGUCCCACACGUCAGCUCCUUCCCCUACCUCCUGUUCGCGCAGGGAGGAGCUGCAGGAGCCCGAGAGCUCGCUGGCUCCCGGUGCGGUGGCCACCCCCGAUGAGGCCUAGCUCACCGGCAGGCUCGGGCGGCCGAGCNNNNNNNNNNNNNNNNNNNNNNNNNNNNNNNNNNNNNNNNNNNNNNNNNNNNNNNNNNNNNNNNNNNNNNNNNNNNNNNNNNNNNNNNNNNNNNNNNNNNAGGAUCAUUGGGACCUAGGGGGCUGGUUCCUUCUACACAAGUGGAUAAAAGAACCAGAUUCUUUUGGAGCAUUACCCGGAGAAAACUUCCGGAGGACGUAAUGCUCCAGUGUCUUCAGUGCCCCCAAGUGUCGCUCACAGCAGAACAAGCUAUGGCUGGGUGGCCAACCAUAAUGGAAGACGCCUUGUCAGGCUCCUCUAUAGUCGAAGAACAUCGCACCCUUAUGGGUGUGGUCUUAAAAAGUAUUUAGUCCAUUAAUAGCGGACUGAACGAAGCCUUCAACGGCUUGCUGAAGGGUUUUAAGGUAAGUCGUGUAAUCUUGUUGAUUUUAUUUACAAAGUUAUAUAUGCCUUCAGGGGUAUAAUAGCCCCCGAGAUAGGGGUAAGUUUGACAAGCUUAUCCAUGGCUCAGAAUAACUCCUAGGCACGAAGAGUAAUCGUGAUAUUUUCCAAUUAUAAUGGAGUAUUGAAGUAAUUUCGGUCAAAUGCCUUGUAUGCCAAUAACUCAUAGUCGUUAAAAUUCGUAAUUUUGUCAUGCAGGCUUCAUGCUCCACUGCAAAUGCCAACACGCUGGAGAUAGCCGAGCUAAACCCGAAACUGAAGGUUUCCGAUGAUGAGCUCAGCUAAGUGCAUGUUCGGUUUGAUGAAAAGAUGGGUAAGUUGCAAGUACUGCUAUAAAUAGCAUUACUCUCUUUAAGAACAGAAGGCCUCUCCUCAUUUAUAAUGUAUGACCUCGUUAUGCCGAUUUGGUUAGCAGCAUAGGAUUAAGAGUUUGAAAAACAUAAGGCCGAACUGGAGCAGGCCAAGAACGAGGCCGCUGCUCACAAGGUGGUGACCGAACAAGCGGGUGCCAAACUGAUCUCAGUGAAGGUGGAAAGUAGCAAGCAUGAGGCCAGGGUGAUCGAGGUUCAAUAGGAGCUCCAGGAAGCCAGCUCUAAAUGUGAAGCUUUGGAGUAGAAGUCUCGGGAGCAGGUGACUGAGCUUUCCAAGCUGUCCACCGAGCUGAAAUUAGAGCUGAUGGAAUAGAGGUUCUAUGAAUAACAAGUGUGCCAGGCCAAGCAGAUGGCAACUAGUAAGCAAUACUUAUUGCAAUGUGCCUUUGGUGGAAACAGGUAUGCAUUUCUUCCACGGAUGUGGUGUUCCCCAGACGCCUCCAUGGACAUGUCAAGGAGUGUGGCGGAAGCAAACAAGCACUACUCGGCAUAUGACAAGGAUGCUGAGCGGAGGCUUUUCUGGGCUUAGUUUCAGACUUCUGAUCUCAACCCGAGUCUCAGUUAUCAAAUGAAACAACUGAUGGAGCUGCAUAGGAUGGCGGAGCCGGCCAUGAAGGAUCUCUGUAUCUAGCUAUGGCCCAGUGAGCCUUUGCCAUGCAGUUACUUCGGCUUAGUGCAGAAGUUGGUUGAUGCCAUGUCCUGGAUUGAGGCCCUAAAGCUCCCCGUCUGCAUAGAAGGAGCUCGGAUGGUCUUUGCGAGGACCCUGGUGCACUAUCCAGGGAUGAAGCCCCUAACGAUUGCGACCGGUCUCGAAGGAUCACACACGCCUCGAGCUGUAUUUUCCCUCCACGAUGGAGGGUGCUUGGGUUAUAGAGACCUAGUGCUCGAAAGAUGUAAUCUUCGAGUAAUUGUAUUGUCGUGUGCCUCCAGACCAACUUAUAUUUAUAAUGUUUAGUAUUUCUGUUUUGUGUAUUAUUUUGACUCCCAUCAGUUGGCUGGUUUAAUCUGGAAGUUACUAGUCGCCGGCUUCAGGCCCCAGGUAGAUACUACUCAGGGUGUUUCAUUGUUCGUAUUGUUACCCUUAGCACAUGAGUCGGUGCCCGAAGGUGGUAGUGUGCGGAGGAAACGAGGCAAUCAGACAUGCGGUAUUAUCGGUUUCCCUUAGCCUUAGAAGUUGAAAUUAGGGGGUUGACCGGAAGCCCCCAUGUUCUUUGAUGGUACUCGGGUAAGUCGAAUUUCAAAAUAGCUACCAUAGGGUCCAUAAAGAUGUAAACCCUCCAUGUAACAUGGAAUAACCUCCAAAGGCUUUUUAUUGUUGAGAUCGGGCUUGCAGACUAGUUCUCACUUAUUAUGACGAUCAGUUUUGGCCUUUGUCCACUAAGGUAUUUUAACCAGACUAGCGGGCAAUUCAAUUGCAGUGGUUCUCUCUUUCCCCUUAGCCGAACGAGCGCAACGUAAGGAGGUAAGCAUAGGAGCAUGGCAACACAACUCUAGACCCAAGACAUAAUUUAGAAAUGAUGCAUAUAACGCAAGACCCGAGAGACCGAACACUUAAGAAGCAGUGACGGUAUAGUAAUCGGGGUGGUGUUACCAUCCAAGCCCGUGGUCUAUCAUCAAUAGCACUUUAGCGUGUGUAAAAUAUAAUUUUAACCUGUCACCACCGAUAAGCAUAAAAUGGGUGUAUACAAAAGCACUUGGAAUAAUGUGUGCGAUAAUUUUUUAUAACUCGUAGCUCCAAGGCAGCUUUUACAGGUAACUAUCGAUCCAAGUUUUUAAAGCAACUUUUCCCACUGACCUUACAUGGGCGACUUGACAUCCGCCCAUUUUUGGGUCGUACUAUAUCUAUUACCCUUUCUAGUGGUGGACGUACUGUCCUUUUAUAGAAAGUUGUUGUCAGCAUGCGAAUCUUGAGUAUAGGGUCUUCAAAAGCUGCCGAUGAGGCGAAGGAGCUUGAUGCUUGGGGUUCUUCAUGAUACCAAAUCUUUGGUCCAUUGGGUGUGUUGGACCAUAGCUCGGUUGAACCUCCUGGCUGGUUGCUCCCACGGUUGGCCAUGCAAUUUUAAGGAUGAAAUUGUGGUUAUGAGGGACGUACCUUAAAGGUCUUCGGGCCAUGCCGUGUGAGUUGUUCCCAAUGUACUGUGUGCCAAAAAAGUAUCCGGCUUGUCUGAUUAAGCUUGGGCUCGCUUGCCUUCCCUCCACGCAUUUAUUGUUGGCAUGUGGCUUAAACUGUUGCUGUUGUGUUGGCACUCAGCUGCCAGUGCGGCCAUGUGCUCCUCCGUCUGGAGAGAACGCUUUGUAUUACCGUUGAUCGUGAUGACUCCCUUGGGUCUGGGCAUUUUGAGCAUCAUGUAGGGGUAGUGGGGUACAACAUUGAAGCGGACGAAAGCUAUGAGACCGAGCAAGGCGUGAUAUCCACUAUCGAAGGGGACAAUGUUGAAGAUCAAGUCCACCCGUCCGAAGUUGUUAGGCGAACCGAAUAUAACUUCUGGUGUUAUCAUACCCAAGCAGCGGGCUUCGACGCGUGGAACCACUCCUUUAAAGGUAGUGUGGCUUUGUUUGAUUCGUGUCGGGUCUAUGCCCAUCUUUUUCACUGUAUCCGAAUAAAUUAGAUUAAAGGUACUUCCUCUGUCCAUGAGGACUCGAGUGGGGUGGAAACCAUCGAGGAUGGGGUAGAGGACCAGGGCACCCGACCCUCCAUGACAGAUACUGGUCGGAUGAUCCCUGUGGUUGAAGGUGAUCGGGAAAGCCGGCCAUGGAUUGUAUUUCGGUGCUACGGUCCCUACGGUGUACACCUACCAAAGAGCACGUUUCCUCUCCUUUUUCGGUAUAUGGGUGACAUAGAUCAUGUUCACAGUUUUGACCUCAACAGGGAACUGCUUUUGGCCUCUAUUGUUUGGGCCACGGGGCUCCUCGUUAUCUUCACUUCGUGGGCCCCUGUUUUGUUCAUCAAUGGCUAGAUUGUCGGCCUGUUUGAACACCCAACAAUUACGAUUUGUGCGGGUGGCGGGCUUGUCUUGGGUACCAUGAAUCUGGCAUGGUCGUUCCAUGAUUUUGUCCAAAUGGAGUUGAUCCAUCCUUGUUCCCUUUGAAGGGUUUCUUCUGCUGUCCAGGUUUGUAUUGCGGAAUCCAACAUUUACUGAUGUGUCGUCGGCAUCACCAUUACGGUGGCAGCAUUUACACUUGUUUUUUCUUGGCUUUCCGUUUCCAUCCCAAACUUCAAGGGUUCCAGGGUCGUCCGCAUUAUGGCUGCGCCGAGCUAGCCAAUUAUCUUGACCCGCGCAAAAGCGGGUCAUGACGGAGGUAAGGGUAGACAUUGUUCUCGGCGUGUCUUAGCCGAGCUGUGUGGCAAGCCAUUCGUCCCGGAUGUUGUGUCGAAAAGAAGCUAUUUCUGCGGCAUCCGGGUAGUCUACGAUUUGAUUCUUGUUAGUGAGGAACCUGUUCCAGAGUUCUCUGGCUGAUUCUCCCUCCUUUUUGAAUGACGUUUCUUAGGUCGGAUGAAUCCGCUGGCCGAACAUAUGUUCCCUAAAAUUUAGAUAGGAAAGCCUCCUCGAGGUCUUCCCGGCUUCCAACGGAAUCUUCAGGUAGGUUGUUUAGCCAAUGCAGUGCCGGUCCUUUGAGUUUUAGUGGCAAGUAUUUUAUGGCAUGGAGGUUGUCUCCUCUAGCCAUACGAAUAUGGAGAAGGAAUCUUCUAUCCACACGGCAGGGUGUGUUGUCCGAUUAUAUUCUUGAAUGUUUACGGGUUUAAACCCUUCCGGGAACUGAUGUUGCAUGACCUCAUCUAUGAAACACAGUGGGUGAGCGGCACCUCGUAUCCGGGAUAUGCUGUGCUAGAGAUCGGCUCCGGGUUGAACCCGGUAGUUUUCCCGUCAUGUGCUCUUGUAGCGACCCGAGGUUGUUCGUCAUCUCAUCAAGUGGGAGAAUUCCUCCUGGAUCCAUAGAUGGAUCUGUCGCGACCUGAAAUGACAUAUCGUGGGUCGGGUCUAUCCACUCGGUGCAUAUGCGCUUUGCCUUUUCGGUGCCGAGGUUCGGGUCUAUACUCGUUCUCUUCGGUCGUUCUGUCGCACCCUCGAGGUGGGCGAUUAGGUUUGUCAUAGUCGAUGCAUUAGUGGGACACGUGUUUUGGGGCCUCAUCGUCGAACCCUGGGAGCACGUGUCGGCGUGGGUAUGUUUUCUUCUGAUCCGGCCAUUCUGUGUCGUAUCCUUUUUUGGCCGCUAGGAUUUUGGUCCAGCUAUUAUUGAUGGUAUCCUGUUCGUCCUGGAGCUGUUGCUGCUUUGCUUUUAAGCUUUGGGUGGUGGCUAUAAGCCGCUGUCAGAAUUGCUCCUAGCCUAUAGGGUCUUCGGGAAUUAUUAAUUCUUCGGCUUCAAGUCCGUCUAGGUCCUUUAUGUGGGGGGAGGUAAUCGUCGUAUUCAUAUGAAUUGUUGCGGUCGUCGGGAUUGUCAUUGGUCGAGUCCUCUAAUUGGUGCUCGAGAGCCUCGGGGUUGCCGUCCCAUCAGGGGUCGUGUUCUCCCAUGUGGCUUGUGCGGAGCCCCUUCCCUCAUUUUCCUUGGAGCACUUACACAACUUUCAGCGUUUUGAGGGCUCUUCCGUGGGCUUAUCGCCAUUUUUCUUGGUUGUGACGUUAUGUGUAGCUCGAGGUGUGUCUACCAUGUAAACAUCAUACAUAGAUGCUGCGGUCCAAUGCCCAGUGUUUAUGGGGGUGGGGUAGUAGGCCUCCUCGUCUAUAUCCUCGAUCUCUUCUGAGGCAUAGUCCAAUACGUCGCUUAGAUCUUCGACGGUGGAGAUCAAGUGGGUGGUGGGUGGGUCGUAAAAGUCCCCAUAAUCCACCUCGGAGCCGAUCUCCAAAUAGUUUGGACUUAGGGUGAGUUAUAUUUGAAGCGACUUGAUGUGGUCGAGCGUCUCAUUUAACAUUGAGAGGCUGACGUGACCGAUUCAUUCAAGAUUUUUGGAGCUGACCUUCGUGACUUCCGUAGGAAAGUCGGUUCGACAAUGGUCGUUCCUGUUGUCCGGACACUAUGUUUGGUUCCGAGUUCAAGGCCUCCUUUCUGACGAGGAUGGGACCGAGACCGUGUCUAGACAAGGGACUUGAAGUCAACGCUUCGGGAUUUUGGGUUUCAUCGGCCGAGACCGUGACGUUGGUGGGGAACAUAUCGCCUCGUGAGUCGGUGGAGACUUCAAAGUCUCCGAACCUUAUUAGGUCACCGGGGACAACACCUCCAAUCUGGCCAGGACGACCGGUUAUGUUCGCACGCGGCGUGAAGCUGCCGAAUGCAGGGACUCCUUCGGGGGCGAAGAUGCCCCUGAUGCAGAAUCGGUCAUUGAUGAUCAAGCAAGCCAUCGAUCCUUUCAGUAAUCCAACUGCAGAACUCUCAAUGAAAGCACCAAUGUCGGCGUCAAAAUCGGUAGAUCUCGGGUAGGGGGUCCCGAACUGUGGAUCUUAGAUCGACGGGUUGCAGGAAAGAGGGAGAGACAAUGUUUACCCAGGUUCGGUCCCUCGUGAGGAGGUAAAACCCUACGCCUUCUUUGAUUAUAUUGAUGAGGAACAAUGGUUAUAGAGUUGAUCUACCUCGACAUCGUACGAGCUAAACCCAAGAUGAGAUUACCUGCCUAUACGCAUAAGAGACCCUUGUUUAUAUAGACACCAAGGCCCCUAAGGUUACAUGUUAGCGACUUAGAACAGGAGUAGAUGGGCCUAACUAGUCCUCCUGCCUUGGAGUGCACACCUAGUCUUCGGAGCUUUCCAUCUUCAUUACGCAGUUGUCAAAUAAUACGGUCUUCAAUAAGGCAACCCAUAUGAUCAGCCCAUAAGGUACAACCCAUAUGCCCGAGGACCCCAAAAUACGGAACUCCCUCAGGGGGGUUGGUACAGUGCAAGUGUGUCAAACAAAUGGUCGAAAGAUCCAUCGCAUAACCUUUAGAUAAGAUUAGCGAUGUAGGCGCUUACAUGCUGCCCAUGGGAAAUGCGCGACUUGCAUCAAAACACAAACAGAAAAACAAACAACAAGCACACAUCGUUUCAUAUGAAGCAUUACACGGACUCGACUUCGGAUGAAGGGUUCAUAGCUUGUCCUACCCAAGGGGUUCUCGGACUCAAGUAGUGGAGUGCUCGGUCUCAUACUCACGCUCUUUUGGGCCUUCCUCCUAGUCAUCGUGUGUAUGGGAAUCAUCUCCCCGUCAAGGGAGUCGGGGAACGGGGAAGUCCAUUCCGACAAUGCUUCGUCGGUGGAGCGGUAAAGAUCUCACGAUACUCCUUCGCACACAUGCGAUGAUGCUGUGUGGGUGUAUCUCUUGCUGGGGGUACUCCUCUGUAAGCGACAGCGGGUUGCCCCUCGGGGGCUCCAUCCUUAUUGAUCUUGCCUGGCUUCGUCUUAGCUUGAUGGAUCAGCUCACUGGUAUGGUGAAGUUCUUGGCGGAGCUUCACAGAAUCCUUGAUCACGUUGUGAGCUAGACUGUCGGCGGAGAGGCUCAAGUAGGCCUAGAAUCUGAGCGGUGUCCCAACUUUUGGGGAUGGGGUCAACGUCCAACUUGCUCCAACAUCAUCCUUCAUGAAAGGGAAGUGGUGAGCAUCUGGUUCGUCGGCCAUCUCGGGAAGGAUGUUGCGAACCUGGAUGAGUGCCUUCCGCGCCGUUGUCUCAAUGUCUAACACCAGAGUAUCCAUUUGUAGUCCUUCAAAGAACCAGCUCGUCGGUGAGUCGUUUUCCUUCACGACCACAUCAACGUGGUACUCCUUCGUCGUGGCAUUGACCCAGAGCUCGUCGUAGAGGAAAACUGGUGAUCGGCGGACCUGACACUUCUCCACGCUGUCCUCAAAGAGUAGGGGAAAGCCAGAUUCUAGGAGGAUUUCGGGUACGACGGCCAUCUACAAGGUUUAUGGACAUGUGUUAGUAAGGGGGGUUUGAAAAUAGAGGGGAAGAGAGAAGAAAUGUAGAAUCUCCUAUGUGUAAAAGCUAGUUAUUGUUUUUGAAAGCGGGUUAGUCCUAUCUGAUGUGAAUGCUAGCUAAGGCUUCCUACACUCAGGUUGGAUCUGAUAGUAGCUCUGUGGGGACCCCGACUUGUAAGUCGAGAUCGCCGAAUGCACAUGUACAGUGAUCCCAGAUAUCAAUGCUCACUAAACACGCAGAAGCUGAACAACAAGAGUUUUACAUCCAUACAUACAAUCGGGUAAAAAGAAGGACCAUUAAGGCCAAGUCGUUACAUAGAUAGGGCCUCAAAUGCUACCACACGAAUUAUAACUAAUAGCAGAUAACUUGAUUGAAAGCGUGAACCCAUGACAUCUGCGUUAACCUACACGCAUUCUCGCUGGGAAACGUCCUAGUUCGCAUGUAAUACGCCGAAUUCCUGCUCCUCCAUGCCUUCCCAAUGUACUCGCAAGCAGCCCAUGAUAUGGAUCAGGGCAAUAAUGAAGUAUGAUAUAACAUUGUUAAACUACUUUGCGGAAAGAAGAUUUUUCCCUGGUGCACUAACAUGAUCAACUUCUUGUACGACAUGUAUCAUAUGCAAGUGGUACCCACGUGAACAGGUUACAAAUAUCAAUAUCAACUAAGGGUUGAACAACCCAUGUUCAUAAAUCCUCCCAAGUCAUUUGGCCUAGCUCAUUGUUCGUACUGCCACCAUUCCCCCCCACCCGCCCACACACACACACACACACACACACUUCAUUUAUGCAAAAACCGCUGGACGUAGUUUAAGCAACACCACCCAACUGUUCUUGAUCGUGGAUACGACUAUUCAAAUACUUUUACACUCUGCACAGGUUGCACACUUUACCCGCAAGACUCGGGAAACUUCCGUGUGAGAACACAACUCGCAGUAUUUAACAUACCCGAGGGAAGUACCCAAAGAUCACCUUUCCCAUGAUGAUACUAGCAAAGAGUCCACUCUUUGAUGACAGUCCCUCGUGAUGUACAUCACAUGUAUCAUCCACGAGGGAAUGCAACGGUGUGCAUGGUGUUUGUAAAAACAGCCCAUGGUCAACCUUUUUCCUGGCCCGACCUCAUCUCAAGACUCACCUCGUCACUCCCACCACUAGUAAUGCAAGCUCUGUACUAGUAUCGACCAUAGUAAUCUGCAAAGCCCCGUCCCAUAAGGGGUAUUGUGGUCGUACAUGUAAGGUUUGGAUGGUCGAAGAAUCUUAAAUCUAUUAUGGUUUUUCUAAACCACUCACACAACUAGCCUUGGUAUACCACUCCCUGAUCAAGUGCUUACCCAGCUCAACACAUCACCCUCCGGCAUUAGUGGCACCCGGCAGGGUUUUUGUAUAACAUUUGAAAUCACCUCCUUUUACCGUCUCCAUGCAUGUACCCAAUCCCAUGCGUAGCACUAGCGGCAACCUAACUACUUCCCACCCGCACAACCCUCAUAGGAAGUAUCAAUGAGGAGUUAUCGGAAACAACCCACCAAGGUGGUCACCGAUUAAACAUGAUUCAACGCAUCGAAACGAAGUUCUAUUUGACAUGCAUGAAAGUAGUUUCUUACACAUGGUCAAAGGUCUGCUUGCCUUGCUCAACAAAGUCUCCCGGGUCUGUGAGAUCUUCUCGUCCAAGCCCCUCGUUAGCAGCGCAAUUUAUCGCCGCAAUAUAAAUGGUCAAAAAUAAGCACUCAACCAAAAACAGGGAAAAUAUCUGAUGAGGACACGACUACCUUGGAUAUUAUCAUAAUCAUUGCAUAUGCGUAUUUAUUUGAGGUGAUUUCUGAUAAAAGUCAUGCAAUAAUUUAUUUAUGUUAUUCUAAACAAAAAUACUUCACCUUCUUUUAUUUCAUGCCUAAAUACAGAAUGGUCGAACACUUGUAUGAACCACGUGUGAUGACACGGGAAGAAUAAAUGGUUGGAUGCUAUUCAAUAGGUCCUCUCAUGUCAAACGAAAUAAUUAGUUGAUGUUCAAGAAAUUCUCUCACGUCACUUUUAGUCCAAGGAAAGAUAGAGUCCAAGUCUCUCACGUCACUUUUAGCCCAAGAGAAGAUAAAGUCCAAGUCUCUCACGUUAUGGACUCAGAUUCGGACUGCACAGACAUGCGUGUACGAAAACGCCAAAAACUUCUACAUCCAAACUCGUAAUUGGGUGCUUCUUUGUGGGCUCCAAAGUAGAUUUUAUGUGCUUUCCAGUCAAAUUGGAAUCACCAUCAAAUUCGUCCGGAGCAUGGAGAUAUCGACCAAACAAUAUGACGUUGCACCAGAAUACGAGUCAAACAACAAGUCCAAAGGUGUUGCAUCAUCUCCACUUGGGCCCAUAGGCCUUGUACGACCUAGGGUUAGUUUUAGGCUGCCUUGGGACGUCCUCCCACCUCCUUGGGCGCUAGCAUAUAAGUAGAUCAAUCUAGUAGCCUUUUUGCUUUGGAUUUGUUUAGUUCAAAGUUAGCCAUUGCAACUUCAUGUACUUCGUUUGUGUCCAACGACAAGACUAAGACCGCUUUUGGAUCCCCACCCUUAUCAAUACUUCAUCUAUAUUCGCAAUAUUCAGAUUGCAAUAUCAUAUUCUUGCUUGUUAUUCGAUUGCUUGCAGGAAUAGACCUUCGUGGUUAGGUUGAUCGUGCUUCGGCGUGGUUAAUAACCUAUUGUAGAUUGGUUUAGCAAUUGCUAAGGCGCAAUGUCAUGCAUGUUUGUAGUCAGAUCGUCAAAGUCAUCUCCACAAAAUCGAUAGUCACCUUCUCAUCGAAAGAUCGGGAUAUCCUCGCCUCUAUCAAGUGGCUCUGAUACUAUAUUUUACUCUUGAUAGAGGCGAGGAUGUCCCGAUCUUUCGAUGAGAAGGUCAUCAUCAUAAUCGUCAUUCUCCUCAUCCAUAGAAACCUCGGUAGUAGCAGCAGGAGGAGCAGCAGCAGCAGUAGUAGCAACAACACCAAAAUUCUGCACUUGGCCGACAGGCACACGCCGCGCUCGUAGCCGUUGUGGAUGUGGUUGAAGAGGGACAGAAGCUGCAACUAGUGGUGGUAAACGGGGAAGCACCUGAGAUAGGCGAGAUUGUCCCGAUCUUUCGAUUAUAUGGCGGCUAUCGAUUUGGUGGAGACAACUUUGACGAUCCGACUACGAACGUGCAUGACGUUGUGCCUUAGCAAUCACUAAACCAACUCCAAGAGGUUAUUGACCACGUCGGAGCACGAUCAACCUGACCAUGAAGGUCUAUUUCUGCAAGCAAUCGAAGAACAAGCACGAAUAUUAUAUUGCAAUAUAAAUAUUGCAAAUAUAGAUGAAGUAUUAAUAAGGGUGGGGAUCCGAAAGCGGUCUUAGUCUGGUCAUUGGACACAAACGAAGUACACAAAGUUGCAAUGGCUAACUUUUAACUAAACAAAUCCCAAGCAAAAAACUACUAGGUUGAUCUACUUAUAUGGUGGCGCCCAAGGAGGUAGGAGGACAUCCUAAGGUAGCCUAAAACUAACCCUAGGUCGUACAAGGCAUAUUGGCCCAAGUGGAGGUGAUGCAACACCUUUGGACUUGUUGUUUAACUCGGAUUUUGGUGCAAUGUCAUAUUGUUUGGUCUAUAUAUCCAUGCUCCGGACGAAUUCGAAGGUGAUUCCAAUUGGGAUGGAAAGCACAUAAAAUCUACUUUAGAUCCCAAAAAUAAUCAUCCAAUUAGGAGUCCGGAUGUAAAAGUUCUUGGUGUUUUGGUACAAGCAUGUCUGUGGAGUCCGAAUCGGAGUCCAUAACUUGGACACUAUCUUCUCUUGGGGCUAAAGGUGACAUGAGAGAACUUCUUGAACAACAACUAAUUAUUUCCUUUGACAUGAAGGACCUCUUGAAUAGCAUCCAACCAUUUACUCUUCCCUUGUCAUCACACGUGGUUCAUACACGUGUUCGACCAUUCUGCAUUUAGGCAUAAAAUAAAAACAGGUGAAGUAUUUUUGUUCGUGAUAAAAUAAAUAAAUUAUUGCAUGAAUUCUAUCAGAAAUCACCUCAAUAAAUACGCAUAUGCAAUGAUUGUGAUAAUAUAGAAGGUAGUCAUGUCCUCAUCAAUAUCCUACUUCGAAAAAUGUCACGCCAUUUUUGUAAAAUACUAGGAUGAGUAUAGGUUUUUUAAAAAUUAAUGUGUUUUCUAUUUGGACUGCAAAAUUUUGCAGAAAGUAUUUUAACAUAGUGUCAAAAUGCCUAAAACAGGGUUUAAAAUAAUAGAAUGCAUGUAACCUUUUGCAAAAAUUGCACAAGUGGCACCCAAAAAUACUACAUAAUAUUAAAAGAUUUGGGGUGGAGGAAUAUUUUAAUUUGAUAAAUUUUCAAUCCUGUUGGAUUUUUACAAAAUGAAAAGAAUAGGAAAAAAUAAAAAGGCCAUUGUUACUAAGCCAGAAGCUGCUGGCCGAAUUGGCCCAACCAACGAAAUCAGCGCACGCGGGACAGCAACGCGCACCCGCCAAGGUUUAAACUAGACAGGAGGGGCCCAGCCACCAGUGGCAGCGAUGGGAGGCGAGGGAGAGGUGAGGAUGACAUGUGGGCCCCUCCAGUCAUCUUAAACCUCGGGACAGAGAGAGUGGCGAGGGAGAGCUGAUGUCCACGGGCGAGUCGCCGUUCGACUAGUUGUGUAGAGAGGAGCCAUGGUGCCGGGAGUCGCUGUCGACGAGGUUCUUUGGUGGAGGCGCUUUGGGAGGGUGGUUGUCGGGGCCGAAUCCUAUAGGAAAAGGAAAGGGGAGAUAGGGGGAGCAUCCAUAAGCUGCUACGGUUCCAUUGGAAGAGAAAUGAGAAUCGAAGCAGCCUUGUACCCGAGAUUGCUGGAAUCCCGAUGCGGCGGAUCUGGAGUUCAAUCUCGAGCUCGGGGGCUCCUGGUGAUGAGUGGGUGGCUUGGGAGUGCGAUAUGGUGUAGCGGGAGGUGGAGUGGAGGAAGUAGGUGGCUUGGGGUGGUGUCAAAUAGAGGGGGCAUGGUUCACCAAAAGAUCAUGUGCGGCAAGGCCGUGGCGAUGGCGAGGGGGGGAGAGAGAACUUGGGAUGCGUCUGCAGUCUUCAUGGACACGGUCUCAGGUUGGAAAGAGGUCGAGGAGGAGCUGGAGCUGGCUCCUGGCGUGCCAUGAACAAAUCAGCCGGUCGGGGGCACGCGUAGCAGGGGGGAGGAUAAGGGGAGCAAGGACAGGCACGCCGUGGUGUAGGGUUCCUGUCGGUGAGGGGGUGUCGGGGGACAACAUGAGGGGUCCAAAGUUGGUCGGGGCCAGCCUCCCACAGUGCAAGUGCACACUCUAGCGGAUGCAGAGUGUAGCUUUGGCAUGCCACGACAUGCUGGCGUGCUUUGGCACGUGCCACCUUGUCCUCUAGUGUCUCGGGAUGUGGGAAUGUUCCUGGGAUGCUCUAGAGCUGAGGGGGAGACUGUGGUCAAAGGAAGAGAGGUAAAAGGCUUUUGUAAGGGUGGACCAGAGGGGUAAUUGGUUUUUUUGUAUAACCCCAUGGUUGAACCGGAGCUGGAUCUUUCUACUGUAGGUGAAGAGUGAGUCUAUGGGCUUGUGGUACAAAUUUGGAUGGAAGGCGAAUAGUGUAUGGGGUGAAAGUAGCAUUUUUACCAAAUCACGAGAAGGUGUUUGAUGCUAGUUUGAGCAACAUAAACCUCACCCCCUUGGAGUGAUAUUUAACAUGAUUAUAUUAUGAGCAAAAUCAAUAGGAUUCACCAAGUUUGAAAUCAUUUGAGCAAAGUUGACAAUGUAGACAUGAAAAACUCUACAAAUGGGCAGAAUAACUUUUCUAUGGACCAAGGUGAUCAAAUCAACUCCCACAAAUGCACAACUUGGUGUGGCAUCCUUAUUUGGUUGCUGGAUCAAUCCUUUAUAGUUUGGGAUCAAUUGGGUAAACUUGGCAAUGUAAAGUUGCUCAAAUUCGGUUCUAGACAAGAAGUGUUUUGGGAUUAAUAGGUGGAUCAAAUAAAUUUGGAUUGAUAUGAAACUUUGCAGGAUCACCAGAUUUAUCAUGUGUGAUUAGCUAUACUUUUUCUGAAAUUUAUUGAGAAUAUGUCCUAUGGAAAUAUUUCAAAAGCUUGAAAUAGGUAGAAAGAGUUUUGAGGGGUUUUGUCCAAUAUUUUGAACAUGGUCAUGUGUUCAAACUCUGAUGUAUGGAAAAUAUAUGUUUAGUGAGUUUCCCUAAAUUUUCUCAAAUAUUUUUUAAGCAAGAAAAUAAUUUUUCCCUAUGAAAUACCAAAUCGGNCCCUUCUAUAUUAGGGACUUGCAGUGCAAAUCUCAAAAUGAGGGGUUUUGGACAAUUUAAAAAUUAUUAAAUGCCUUUUGUUAAAAUAAUAAUUUAUAAAAAUGGUUUUUCUUGUCCUAUUCACAUGGCAUGAUCAUUGGCAAGGGCUUGGGGUCAAGGAGGUAGCUUUUAGAGAAGAUAGCAAAUAUAGUGAUUCAAGAACUCAGUAAGUCACACAAGCAAGUUGCAACGAAAAUCAAUCAUCACAAACAUGCAAAAAGUUUUCAUUGGUUCCCAAUUUUCGUAAAAACAACAUGUGCCAAAAGUGGUACAAGCACAGGAUGUGAUAGAUGUCUAUGUUCUUGCUUCUCUUAGUGGUGUCGUAUGAACGUCGACUACACGACACUUCACCAUGUUAUGGGCCUAAGGGAAGGCAUUGUGGAGUAACAAGUAGAUGAUGGGUUGCUUGAGUGAAAGAAGCUUAAACCCGAGUUUAUGUGUUGCUUCGUACGGGGCUCAUUUGGAUCCAUGUGUUUCAUGCUAUGGCUAGAUUUAUCUUAUUUUUUCUUUCGUAGUUGUGGAUGCUUGCGAGAGAGGUUAAUCAUAAGUGGGUUGCUUUUUCAAGUAAGAACAACACCUUAGCACCGAUCCACCAACAUAUCAACUUAUCAAAGUAACGAACGUGAAUGAACUCAACAUGAUGAACAUGACUAGGCAAUAAUUCCAAUGUGUCCUCGGGGGUGUUGUCUUUAUAUAAGAGUACUCUCACGCCUGUACUUUGCUAUAAAAAUGAUUGGGCUACCUUGCUUUACACUUUCUACUCUUAUUUCUUAUCACUUGUUAUGAAUUAUCUUGCUACAAAACUAUAUUUCACUAUUACUUAUAGCACGUGCAAAGAAUACCGUGCUGAAAACUGCUUAUCAUUUCCUUCAUCUCUUCGUUGGGUUCAACACUCUUACUUAUCGAAAGGACUACGAUUGAUCCCCUAUACUUGUUGGUCAUCAAGACUAAAAGAAAUAUCUAUGAUAGAGAAAAUGAAACAUGGUCCCAAAUUUGCUACUUCUCCUAUAUUCGUUAAUGAUAAGGAUUAUGAAUUAUUUGUGGACCCUAAGUGAAUCCCUAUAGUAGAAUCUGAUCCUUUCCAUGGUUAUGAAAAUGAAAUUGUUGUUGGACAACUCACUAAAUUGAAUAAUAUUGUCGCUUUGUUUACUCAUGAGGAAGGGAUGCACUACUAUUAUAUCCUUAAGCUUUUUUCCUUUCUCGCUAAAAGGUGAGCCUAAGGAAUGGUUCCUUGCUCUUGCUCCUGGUUGUGUGCGUAGUCCCCAUGAUAUGAUUUAUUACUUGUUUGAAAAAUAUUUUCCUGCUCAUAAGAAACAAGCUACCUUACAUGAAAUAUUUAACUUUGUGCAAAUUUAAGAAGAGAAUAUCCCUCAAGCUUGGGGGAGGCUUAUCUAGUUACUUAGAGAUUUGCCCAAUCAUCCUCGUAAGAAAAAUGAAAUACUUGAUAUCUUUUAUAAUGGACUAGCAUAUGCUUCUUGGGAUUUCUUAUAUAGUUGCCUAGAUAGCUGUGCUCGUUGUGUUUUCACGGAGAGAACUAUUGGACAAGCUGAAGAAUUAUUUAAUAACAUAUUUCCAAAUGUUGAUGAUUGGACGCUUCCUGAACCACAGCGUGAUCCUAUUCAAAAGAAGUGAGGUAUUCUAUUCCUUGGUCCUAAAGAUAUGGAAGAAUCCAAGAGAUCUAUGGAAGAGAAAGGUAGUAAAAAUGAAGAUGCCAAGAAUUUACCACCUAUUGAAGAAAUACAUGGACUUGACACCCCAACACAGGUUGUAGAGUUUAAUUCUAUUCGUACCUUUAAUGAAAGUGAUAAAGUUUAUACUAAGACUACUAUCCUAUGGAAGGAUGAAUUUGACAUUUACAUUCUUAAGCAAGAGCAUUUCAAUAAUUAUAUCAAAGAUCAAUUAAGACGUAAUGCUCUGAUGAUAGACCGCUUGAGUGACUUGAUGUUUAGAAUUUCUAAUGAUGGUAAGGGUCUUGGUAAACAUGCUUGUAUGGUUCAUACCCAACUAGACCAAGUUGCUAAGUCACAAAAUGACUUGCUUGCUGAAAUUAAUGGUCUUGAAUGAUCAUGUCUUUAGAGUAAUGACUAGAGGAGGGAAAAUGACUUAAGAACCACUUUUUCCUGAAGGUCAUCCUAAAACUAUUGAACAAGAUUCUCAGGGAGAGAAUGAUAAUGCACCCAGUCCAUGUAAUAAGAAUACAGACACGGAAAUUAAUAGGACUCUGCAUGCUUCUAAUGAACCUGUUUUAGAAAAACCUGCUGAAAACAUAAUGAUGUUUCUAUUUCUGACGCUGAGACACAAUGUGGUAGUGAACAUGCACCUAGUGAUAAUAAGAAUGAUAAUAUCUAUAAUGAUGAGAUUCAUGUUGAUGCUCAGCCAGAUAAUAAUAAAGAAAAUGAUAACUAUGUGGAAAUAGAACCUCCUGAAGAUCUUGAUAACCCACAUCCCAAAAAUAAACGCGGUAUGAGAAUAUAGACUUUCUUGCUAGAGAACAUGGUAAGGAAAGAGAACCAUGGGUUCAAAAACCCAUGCCAUUCCCUCGUAAGACUUGUAAGAGUAAGGAUGAGCAGGAGUCUGAACACUUUGCUAAAAUGAUUAGACCUGUCUUUUUGCGCACUCGCUUGACUAUUUUGAAAAUGCCUCCAUAUGCUAAGUAUAUGAACGAUAUUAUUACCAAAAGAAGAAAAUACAUGAAACUGAAAUUGCUACCAUGCUAGCUAAUAAUUCUUUUGAUGGUGGAGUGCCUAAGAAGUUGGGAGAUUCGUUACUCUUUCAAGAAAUUAUGUUAAAAACUGCUUUAUGUGAUCUAGGAGCCGGUGUUACUAUUAUGCAUUUCUCUUUAUAUGAAAGAGUUGAUUUUAAUAAGCUUACACCCACUGAGAUAUCUUUAAAAUGGUUAAUAAAUCCACUACUGUAAUUACUGGAAUUUGUGAGGAUGUUCAUGUUGUGACUGCGAUCGUGACUAUCUUAACAGACUUUGUUAUUCUUGAUAUGCAUGAGGAUGACAACAUGUCGAUCAUCCUUGGUAGACCCUUUCUGAACACUGCAGGGGUUGUUAUUGAUUGCAGCAAAAGCAAGGUCACUUUUCAUGUCAAUGGAAACAACAUACCACACAUUUUCCAAAGAAGAAAAUCAUGGUUAAUAGUACUAAUGUAAUUGACCCUAGUGCCAUAAUCAUCAUUGGAGGUUUUAAAAUUCUUCUUGCUAGUACCAAUAAGAAAUAUGAUAUUCUUAUUGUUGGGGAUAUGCAAAUCCCCAUUGAGGUAACUUACUGUCAUACGAAAAUUCUUCGGUUUCAUCUCAACCUCAAAUGGUUAUUAAUAAGACUUGACCAACCUUGUCGAUAGAUCAUUUCUGAAAUACAUGUAGUUCAUGAAUUUAGUAAGCACAACUUUUUGUACCAUUAGCCUACUCUUUGUUAUUCUUAGUUAAACUAAAUAAAAUACCGUGAUUAACCUAUUUUCCUGAGUUUCUAGUGCAUUAAAAAUGACACAAAAAUAAAAUUCUAGAAUUUUUAAGAAUUUUUAACAUGAAUUUUAACAUGCUUUUUUGUGGAAUAUUUAAGAACUUUUGGUGAUGAAAACACAUUAUAGAGGAGCACCUGUGGGCCACAAUCCAAUAGGGCAUGCACACCCCCCUAGGCACACUGUCAUCGCUUGUGGGGCCCACAACCCCCUUCCUUAUCUCUUCAGCUCAUGCCAUCCCUUACCUCGAGCACAAAUUCAUACUCUAUCUCUCUCUCUCGUGUUCUUUCUCCCGAAACUGAAAAUUUCGAUCUCUUUGCUUGGUUCAUUUUCAAAACUGUUUUGGGGACUUGCUCAUUGAGAUGUGACUCGUCCAUUCCUAUAAAUAUUUUUUUCGUUAGUGGUUUAUAUUUUGAUGCACUUAGUGCUACUGAAAAUAAGCUUGCAUGUUGAGAUCUUUCGGUUCCAAGUAGUAUGAAUGCUUGAUAUGGCCUCUAGUUUAUACUAUACAAGUAGUUGCUACUUGUCUUGCAAAGUUUUACUGAUAUAAAUUUUUGCUCCAAAAAUUUCAGAAAUUUGUGCUUAGGAAAAUGAAUUUAGUUAGGAGGGGUUCUUCAAGAUAAAGUACCAAAGGAGUUGUUGGGAGGACCGACGACUAGGACAUCAACAUCUUUUGCAACGUGGAAGUUAGGCCGUGUGAAUGGCCACACGUCCCCUUCAUGAGCCUAGUAGGCUUCCAUCAAGAGUUCAUGCAAUUAAUUGCAAAUGUCGGGAUGAACAAAUUCCUCGUAGAUGAGUAUGAUCUAUACUAUUUCCUUACAAAUUCCUUCAUGCAAAUUUCUAGUUCACAAAUAGGCCCGAUGCUCCCAUGCUACGUUUCGAUUUAUAUGCAAUGCACUAUGAAAUACCACUCUUUGUUAUUUGUGAAAUAUGAUUGCUUCCUUGUGAUGGGGGAAUGCGUUAUACCAAACCAGAGGAGUCUGACAAAUUCCUCCUUACCUUAAAUGUGGCAGAUACUAGAGGUGUCUCAAAGGCUAGGGCCACCGGUUAACAUUUCCCGUCUGUGCAUUACUUUGCUUUAUUCGUACGGAAAUGUUUAACUGCUAUCAAUCAGGUUGGUGGUCUCAGUUCCGCCACCCUUGCUAUAUUGCAUCGUGUCGUAUAUGGUGAUAGCACUUACAAUUUAGGAUCUAUUGUCCCGUACUGCUCGCAUCUAAACCGAGCCAAGGUCAAGGUUCAGGGUGGAAUUGUGCCACCCGUUUAGUGAAAAGUUUUAACAUCGAUAUACUCCACACCAAUCACUUGUUGCCUAAAUUAUAUCUCAAUCAUCAAUCUAUGAUAGAACACUAGUUCAUUGAUGAACCCAAGCACCCACACCACAUUCAUUACAACUUAGUAUAGAACGAGGACACUCAUGAUUUAUUGUGUUGCAUGCACCUUCUUUGAUUAACAUUCAUGUCAGGAGCGGACAUAUCAUCAUGCCACCAGAUAUAACUGCUUACCGAAAUGAGUUGGCUGAGGUGGAGGGUGCAACUCACGUGUUGGACGCUCAAGUCCUUGAGUCAAAUUACUUUGCUCCGGGACCAAAUGGCUACCACGGAUGGUGAUCACCAAGCUCGGAAAAUGCCUAAUCUGUGGGAGUACAUAUUUCUCACUUACAUUACAUUCAUGUUCACACACUUCAUAUAAAUUGUUAGUGCUCAUCAUCUUUCAUUGUAUAUCCAUGUUAGCUUUUAUUUUUCUUCUUUCGUCUUGUGGGUUUCAAAAACUUUGAAAAUCAAUAAAUAUUUGUCGUUUGUUAUCAAAUUUUCUUUCUUAUUUAGUUAUUUGUAGUAUUAAAAUAAAAUCCAAAAAUAUUUCACUUUCAUGUUGGUAGCUUUCAUGUGUUAAUAAUAAAAUUUUCGAGCUUUUGUUUUUCCCUUGUUUAUUUGCUUUUUUUGAGAAAAAAGUCUAAAAUAAUUUAGUGCGUUUCAUGGAAUUUCUUUUACUUCCGUUUGAGUCAUUGAAAGAAGAAGAGCACGAUGAAAAUGCUGAGUGGCUCUCAUAUGCAUGAAUGUUGAUUUAACAAAAGAGCCCAUAUUACCACGUAUUCUCCUUUGUCUAAAUUGUUUCACAAGUUCCAGCUUAGUCCAAGGCAGACCUACCCUAUAUUUAUCAUCAAAUCAUUCGGUUGUGCAAGUGAAAGGCAAUAAUGACGAUAUUUGAUGAAGUGAUCGUGGUAAAGGAAGCUGGUAUGGAAUCUUCUUGUUUUCCGUUUUUGUAAAUAUGUUUAGCUUGUUGGUUCUUGAUUUGAUAUAUCCUGAGAGAACAUGUUUAUGAUGACAAUUAGAGUAUUUUUUUUUCAUGCCAUGCUUAAAUAGCUACGAGUGGGUAAUGAUUUACCUUAUGUGUCAACAUGCAUUAAAAUGUUUAUGAUGCGGUAUGGUAAUAAGGUAUUUCCCUCUAAGUAAUUCAAGUAUCCUGAAUUGGACCAUGUGCGAACAUGUAGAUGAUUCAAAACUAAUGGAACCUUCAUGACGUUUAAAUUCAGAGUGUUUUAUAUCCUACUCAUGCUAAUGAUCAAUGUUAACUAUUCGCAAUGCAUGAUUAUGACCGUUUUGCCUCUCUAGCUGGUCGCUUCUCAAUCUAUUGCUAUCCUUCACCUGCACUAAGAGGGAAUACUGCUCAUGCAUCCAAAAUCCUAAACCAAAGUUAUGCCAAAUAAGUCCACCAUACCUACCUAUAUGCGUUAUUACCCCCCCCCCGGUCCAAGUCAAUUUGCAUUUGCCACCUUUGAAUAUUCCAAUAAACAUCUGUUUUAUGUCCCUGUACCGCUAAUGGAGCGAUGGGGAGGUUGGUAUCUUGCAUGCUAAGUGGGUUAUUCUCAAGAAGGACAUUUACUCGCUUGUUAUUUCAUGAGAGCGGCUCGUAAAAAGGAUACCCAGUCCUGUGUAAUCAAAAAUUAAUGAAACAUAACUCCAUGGAUAGUUGAUAUGUUGGCACGCACCCGUGGAUUCGGUCUGCCAUGGUUUGUGUAUGGAUGGUAGAAAGGAGUAAACUUUACAAUUCUUUUUUGGAACCACCAAUAAUUUGGUUAGCAUGGAAUAUAUCGCAAACUCUAUCGUAACAUUGACAGGAAAAGCACACCACUCAAAAUCACAAUUCAUCUCCGAUUUAAACUCUGAGCUUUGGCGCCUCUGCAAAUCAAUGAUGCCCUCUCUGAAGGGCAUUUCUAUUUACUUUCAUGUUAUUUUAUUUUUACUCUCGAUCCAUCAUCUUCUUAUUAAAAUCACCAUAUCUAGAGCAGUAUGACCAUUCAUACGCAUUGAAUCUAGUUAAUGUUGUAGUUGAGCAUGACUGGAUCAUUCCUACACUGAAUUAUAAUGUUUAGUUGGUAUUUGAAUCUCAGAGGUGCUACACAUUUAUGUUUUGCACUCUCAAAAAGGUCUAGUGAAAUACGAUGCCAUCAUACUAUAUCAUGAUUGUUUUGACAAAUUGUUUGCAUGGGAGAUAUCCUAUUACUGCUUGUUAGUUGGUUAUGUACUACCAUGAGUGAAUAUGAUGUUUAAUUGUUAUCACGGAUAUGUUUAUUUAUUAUCCAUGCUAAAAACCUGAAUACUAGCUAAGCGUAUGUAUAACAACGAGAACGAAAGAGUUUGUAAAUGUUUUCUUUAUCAUUUUUACUUUAUCGACUUAAUUGCUUGAUGACAAGCAAUGAGUUAAGCUUGGAGGGGUUGAUACGUCUCAAAUGUAUCUACUUUUCCAAACACUUUUGCUCUGGUUUUGGACUCUAAUUUGUGUGAUUCGAAUGAAACUAACAUAGGACUCGCGUUGUUUUUAGCAGAACUACCAUGGUGUUAUUUUUGUGAAGAAAUAGAAGUUCUCAGAAUUGGAUGAAACUUUUGGUGAAUUAUUUUAGGAAUCUCUGAAGAAUUGUGGAGUGACGAACCAGCGAAGGGAGCUACCUGUGGACCACAAGCCAACAGGGCGCUCCCACUGUAACGCCCAAGACAUGGCCCUAUCCUUAAUUUGGCACGAGGACCUCGUCAGAGAUAGAAGCACAUCUCGUUGUUUCGCAAGAAUGGAUAUCAUUACAGUUACAUGUACUGAAGAGAAGAGUAUAUGGAAUUGGCUUACACUCGCCACAUGCUACAUCAGAGUCACAUCAUUACAAUACAUAAAUAUUAUGAAGAAGAGCAGGGUCCGACUACAGACGAAAACAAACGAUAAAAGAACGACGUCCAUCCUUGUUAUCCCAGGAUGCCGGCCUGGAACCCAUCCUAGAUCGAUGAUGAUGAAGUAGAAAAAGCAACUCCAAAUGAACAAUCAACGUGCUCGCGUCAAGUGACCUUUAACUAUAGCUGCAACUGGUGUUGUAGUAAUCUGUGAGCCACAGGGGACCCAACAAUCUCAUUUCCAAAGGUAUCAAGACUAGCAAAGCUUAACAGGUGAGGGGUGGUUAAGUGGUGAGGCUGCAGCAAGCGACUAAGCAUAUAUUUGGUGGCUAACUUACGAGUACAAGAAUAAAGAGGGGGAUGAUCUACGCACAGUUUACGUGAACUAAUGAUGAUCAAAGGAAUGAUCCUGAACACCUACUUACGUCAAACAUAACCCCACCGUGUCCUCGACCGGAGAAGGAGCUCACGAAAGAGACAGUCACGGUUACGCACUCGGUUGGCAUAUUUUAAUUAAGUUAACUAAAAGUUAUCUAGAACCAGUGUUAAACAAAGUUUCCACGUUGCCAAAUAACCGCGGGCACGGCUUUCCGAAAGAUUUAACCCUGCAGAGGUGCUCCAACUAGUCCAUCACAAAUUACCACAAGCCGCAUAGAAAUCCUCGAUCACCAAACUCGCGAUCUCGUCAGACUCCUUAGUGGAAAACUUCAACUCUGAGAUUACCCAAAGCAUCACCGGAAUCCCGAUGCACAAGAUAUUCCGUAAAAGGUAAAACUGAUCCAGCAAGGCCGCCCGACGUGUCGACGAACCCGAUAGGAGCCGCGUAUCUCGUUCUCAGGACACGACCGGAUGGGAAAUCCUAGAUGUACCAAACCUCGAGUUGCCCCAUGGUGGCCCCACAGUCUGCCCUUUUUGGACCAACACUCAUGAGGAGCUCUGGCCCGGGGGCUGAUUAAUUACUCCGCGGGUGCCGGCGGGUCCCUAUGCAUUAUUUAGUUAUUAGGCAAAAGUAAAACCAAAGUUGGGCCUUGUUAGACCAGCUUUAAUCUAAAAACAAUUAUCAAGGGGGUCCCCAUAACAACCCCGAUCGUGUUAGGAGUGCUCAAUUAUGGAACAUAACACCAGUAGCCGAAACUAAGGGGGCAAAGGUGGAACAAAACACCAGGCUUGAAAGGCCGAGCCUUCCACCUUUUACCAAGUAUAUAGGUGCAUUAAAUUAAAUAGCAUUAAUAUAGUGAUAUAAGAAGGAACCCAUGUUAUCACAUGGAAGCAACUGCACCUGUAACUAGCAACGCUAACACAUAGUUAUGCAAGCGGUAACAUAACCAAUCCGUGGUUUGCUAGGUUUUGAACAUGUUAAAGGUUGUCAUGGCAAUGUUGAGAGGCUGAUAUUUAACAUGUGGUAGGCAAUGAGACAUAGCGACAGAAACGAUAAAAUUAGCAUGUCAAUUAUAGUAACGGUAUGUAGGGAAAAGGUCAUCUUGCCUCAGAUCCCGCUUGGAAGAAGAACGACUUCGUGAAGCAGACGAACCGAUGUAGUCGAACAAGUCCUCACUUUCCGACACGCUUGCGGAACUCUAUCGAUACGAAGCAAACCAGGAACAAGAAUCAACACACGAUAUACACUACACGAUGCACAACACAUAUGAUGAUGGUAGAGGCUAGGGUUCUACCAGGUCUUGGACGUAGGUUGUAGGGGUGGAAGUGCGGGCUGCGAGGUUGGGGACGUCGGCGCAAGCGGUUGGGCGCCGUUGCGGCGUGAGAGAGAGAGAGAGAGAGAGAGACGGCUAGGGUUUGGGGAUCCCGUCUCGUGAGGGAGACGACAACAGAAUACUGUUUAUUGUCUGCUUAAUAUCGAAGGGGUACAUGUGUUUAUAUAGGAGGACAGCCUCCACUAAACCCUAGAUAACCUGGACUCUAAUAUAACUUGGACUCUAGUAUAACUUGGACUUCUAAUAUAACUUGGACUUGUAAUAUAACUUGGACUCUAAUAUACCUAAGAUAACUAGGGCUAAGCCCGUAACUAACCCUGCCCAUUGGGCAUCCUCCGUUGGUAUGUUGUACCGGUCAAAACAUCUCUCCCCGCCUUCUCAAACAGCUCGUCCUCGAGUUGAACAUCUGGACACUGCUCGCAGAAAUCAUCGAGCUUCUCCCAAGUCGCUUCCUCCUCUGGCAGUCCGGUCCACUGUACCAAGACAUGCCACACGCUGCGACGUUGCUGUGCCUGCAGCACCUUCGCCACCUGUGCGGAAGCAGGAAGGAGGCGGCCAUCCGAAGUAGGAGGAAGGGCCGGCGUCGCUACAGGAGGGUCCCCGCGGUAGGCCUUCAGUAAGCCGACAUGGAAGAUGUCGUGGAGGCGAGAACCAGCUGGCAGCCCCAAGCGGUAUGCGAGUGUGCCGACACGCUCCAGAACAUGAAAGGGACCGGCAUAGCGAGGUCCUAAUUUGCGCUUGGAGCGCGGGUCCCGAGACUGUGUGGUCCUGUGGAGGAGGCGCAGCCACACCCAAUUGCCCACCGCGAACUCCGCCUCGCGAUGAAGAGCAUCGUAGUGCUUCCGACCUAGCUGCUGUGCUUGGAGAAGAUGCUAGCGUGCCUCAGCCAGAAUGUCGUCGCGGGUGCGGAGUAAGUCUCCUGUCGUCUCGGACCGAGCCGUCCCAGGCUCGUAAGGGAGCAUCGCCGGAGGUGGGCGCCCGUAGACCACCUCGCAAGGCGCGGUGCAAAGGGCAAAGUGAUAGGAGGUGUUGUAGCAGUAGUCCGCCCACACCAACCAGUCCACCCAAGCUCGUGGACGAUCACUAGUAACAUAGGGAAGGUACAUGGCGAUCACCUUGUUGACCACCUCGGAUUGGCCGUCUGUCUGAGGGUGGAACGCCGUGCUCAUGCAGAGUUCACGCCCGCCAGUUGAAAGAGAUCACGCCAGACAUGUCCCGUGAACACGGGAUCACGAUCGUCGACGAUGGACGAAGGAAAACCGUGGAGGCGGACGAUGCCGUCGAAGAAGGCCCGCGCCACGGAGGCGGCUGUAUAUGGAUGACCCAGGGUGAUGAAGUGCGCGUACUUGGAGAAGUGGUCAACCACCGUGAGGAUGACGGACUUGCCGCCCACCUUGGGAAGACCCUCGACGAAGUCCAUGGAAAUAUCCGCCCAUACCUAGGAGGGUACUUCGAGCGGCUGUAGUAGACCCGCAGGUCGUGGUUUCUCCGUCUUGUUCCGCUAUCACGUCACACACGACCGCACCCAGUCGCGAACGAUCGCGCCAUCACCGGGGAUGUAAAAAUCAGCAUGGACAUGAUGGAGAGUCUUCUGCACGCCCUCGUGCCCUGCAGAGUCCGCCAAGGUCAGGACCUGGUAGCGCAGGUCGCCAUGGCCGGGCACGAAUAUGCGGCGGCCAUGUAGGAGCAGCCCCUCGUCCAAGCGCCAGGGCGCGUCCAGCUCUCCGAUGUCAAGGCGCUAGCGCAGGCCCUGCGCGUCCGCAGCCGUCGAAGUUUCCCGGCGAAUGUCGUCGAUGAAGGCGAAAGAUGGCCCGGAGCGGAUGCAUAUGAUAGUGCGAGCCAUGGCGACGUCGUCCGCGAGAUCCUCAGUGUCGCGGCGGGACAAGGCGUCGGCGAUUGUGUUGAGACGGCCGAGGUGGUACUCGAUGGUGAAGUCGAAGCCGAAGAGCUUCCUUAUCCACUGAUGCUACGGAACGGUGGAGAGGCGCUGGUCCAGCAAGAACUCGAGGCUGUAGUGGUCUUUGCACACACGGAAUGACCAACCCCAAAGAUAAGGCCGCCACUUGCGCACCGCCUGAACCAGCCCAAUAAGCUUGCGCCCGUAGGCCGCGAGCUUGUGAUGGCGAGCGGCGAAGGGCGGCUGAAGAAAGUGAGCGGUCCAUCGUCCUGGUGGAGGACGGCGCCGAAGCCGAUGCCAAAGGUGUCGCAGUCCACCACGAACGGCAUAUCAAUGUCCGGCAUCUAGAGGACGGGUCCCGUCGUUACCGCCCGCUGGAGAGCCUCAAAUUUCGUAGUCGCCUCCUUGUCCCAGGAGAAGGCGUCGCGUCGAAGGAGAUGCGUCAAUGGCGCGGCAAUGAGGCCGAAGUCCCGGAUGUACUUCCGGUAGUAGCCGGCGAGGCCCAAGAAACCGCGGAACGACCGCGGUGACCGCGGGGUCGGCCACGCGGCGACGAUGGCGACCUUGUCCGCGUCCAUCGCUACCCCGUCCACCGAGAUGACGUGCCCCAGGUACAAGAUGGAGGUCGUGCCGAACGAGCACUUUGAGCGCUUGAGGUGAAGACGAUGUGCUCGAAGCUCGUUGAAGAUGAUGGCCACGUGCUGUAGGUGCUCCGCCCAAUAUGCACUAUAGAUAAGAAUAUCAUCAAAGAAAACAAGCACAAAGCGGCGCAAGUAUGGGUUGAGCACGUCGUUCAUCAGGGUCUGAAAGGUCGGCGGCGCGUUGGAGAGGUCGAACGGCAUCACCAGGAACUCGAAGUGGCCAUGGUGAGUGCGGAACGCCAUCUUCUCGAUGUUUUCAGGGUGCAUGCGCACCUGAUGGUAGCCCGAGCGAAGGUCGAGCUUGGUGAAGAAGCGCGCUCCGUGUAGCUCUUCCAAGAGCUCAUCCACGACGGGAAUGGGUAACUUGUCCUUGGACGCCAGGGCAUUGAGGACGCGGUAGUCGAUGCAGAAGUGCCAUGUGCCGUCGGGCUUGCGCACAAGGAGCACCAGGGCGGAGAACGGCGAUGUCGAAAUCCGGAUGAUGCCCUGCGCGAGCAUGACCCCCACCUGACGCUCGAGCUCGUCUUUCUGCAGCUGAGGGUACCGGUACGGGCGGCAUGGCGACAGGUGCCGUUUCCGGCAGCAGGUGGAUGUGGUGGUCACCGGGCCGCGCGGGAGGGAGGCCCUGUGGCUCGUCAAAGAUGUCGUUGUGCUGCUGCAGGAGGUCGGCCAGGAGGGGAUGCGCCUCUUCUAGUGCGGCCGCCAUCAACUGGAGCUGCGGAGUCGCGGCGCCGGAGCCGCCGAUGCCUGUCCACUGAACGCGACGGCUGCCCUCGCGCCAGAAGAUGAGGGACAACACAUCGAGGUCCCAAAGGAUGGGGCCGAGAGUGGACAGGAAGUCGAUGCCGAGGAUGAAGUCAUUGCAGCCAAGGUCGAUGCUGACGCAGUCGAUCGAGAAAGGCUCGUCGCCGAUGAGGACGGGAACCUGCUGCGCCACCCCGUGGCAAGCAAGGCGGUCCCGGUUUGCGACGGUGAUGCUGAACUUCUCCGAGCCCGCCGGUUGGAGUGCGAGGCGGCGCAUGGCGUACCCGGAUAGGAAGUUGUGCAUCAAACCCGUGUCUACGAGCGCGGUGAUACGCUCCCCGUUGAUCGUCACCGGAAGCACCAUCGUCUUUGUCGUCUUGAUGCCAGCCAUGGCAUGAAGGGAGACGACGAAGGCGGUCGCAUCGACUGGCCCGCAGGUCGUGACGCCGCCCUCGGAGAGUGUGGUGGCGUCGAGCUCCGCGGUGAGGGCCUCCACCUCCGCGUCGUCGACGGUCUCCAAGUAGAACAGGCGGGUGCACGUAUGACCCGACGUAUACGGCUCGUCGCAGUUGAGGCACAGGCCCUUGCGGCGCCGCUCGAGCUGCUCACCGACGUCAAGCGCCGGAAGGUGCGUGUCGGCGCGGGGGCAGUCGCAGUAGUGGCCGGCAGGGUUGGGCGUGUCGGGGUGGCGACCGUCGGGGCGGGGCGGGUUAGGGGACGCGUGCCGCGGCCCGGGAAUGCCUGUUGUAGGGCGUUGGUGCGCUGCUUAUACGCGUGUGCGUAAUACAUGGCCGUCUGCAGGUCUUGGGAUCAUGCAUCUCGACGUCGAUGCGGAUGUCGUCGGGAAGGCCGCCGACGAAGAGCUCGGCGCGUUGGCGAGCCGUGACGUCAGGCGCAUGGCAGGCCAACGUCUGGAAGCGGUCGGCAAAGUCCUGCACCGAGGUGGUGAAGGGAAGGCGACUCAGCUCGGCCAGGCGGCUCUCACGUAUGGGGGGCGAACCGGAGGAGACACGGGUCGCGAAAGCGCUCCCACGGAGGCAUCCCGCCCUCGUCCUGCUCGAGGGCGUAGUACCACAUUUGGGUGGCGCCACGAAGGUGGAAGGAGGCGAUCCACGUGCGGUCGGACGCCAUGGUCCGCUGCCCCCUGAAAAACCGGUCGCACUGAUUGAGCCAGUUUAGAGGGUCGACGGUGUCGUCGUAGGUGGCAAACUCCAGCUUGGUUAAGCGGGGUGGCUAUUGCACGUGUGGCGAGCCCGCUUAGGCGCCCUUGUGACAACCCAACACAGCAGAAGGAGAGUGUUGCCGAACCACGGAGCAUCCGGCGUAAGGGUGAGUGGACCCGCCGAACCCCCCGAAGGUGGGGGCGGGUGGAUGCAAUACCGUCGGCUGUAGGGGCGCCGUCGUGUAGGUCGGCGUGUCGAUCCACAUCGGUAGCGGGGACAGCGACGGCGGCCACCGGACCUGGGUGAUCGGCAGGCCCUGGGUCGCGACGGUGGCAGGGGGCGGUGGCGUGAAGGGCGCCGCCGGCGGAGGCGGUGGUGGCGGGGUUGCGUACGGAGCUUGGAGGAAAGUCUGGAGGUUCAAGACCGCUAGGGUGAGGUCGCGGAUUGCCGAGGACAUCUCCGCCGGGGGGAGGACGGGGGCGGCUUCGGCCACCAGGGCCGCGGUACCACAGGCGGCCGGACCUGAGGUGGCCAGCGGCGGUGGCGGCUGCUGCGAGGUGGAGGGGAAGGCGGUGGUGGCGGCUGCGGUGGUGGUGGAAAGGUCCAACAAAUUCAUCGAACCCAAGCUACCUGAUACCAAAUUGGUAGAGGCUAGGGUUCUACCAGGUCUCGGACGUAGGUUGUAGGGGUGGAAGUACGGGUUGCGAGGUUGGGGAUGCCGGCGCCGGCGGUUGGGCGCCGUCCCGGCGUGAGAGAGACAGAGAGAGAGUUGGCUAGGGUUUGCGGCUCCCGUCUCAUGAGGGAGACGACAACAGAAUAUUGUUUAUUGUCUGCUUAAUAUCGAAGGGGUACAUGUGUUUAUAUAGGAGGACAGCCUCCACUAAACCCUAGAUAACUUGGACUCUAAUAUAACUUGGACUCUAAUAUAACUUGGACUUCUAAUAUAACUUGGACUUCUAAUAUAACUUGGACUCUAAUAUACCUAAGAUAACUAGGGCUAAGCCCGUAACUAACCCUGCCCAUUGGGCCUCCUCCAUUGGUACGUUGUACCGGUCAUAACAGAUGCAUGAACGGUUGGAUAUAUGCAAGACAUGGCAUGUCAAUUCACAACAAUCAACUACUACACAUUAAGUGAAGUUCAAUAUGGAACGAGUUGCAUAUUAACGAAACUCCGCAUACGAAUUAUUUAGUUAUAUCCGAAUUAGGUACACAGCAAUAUCUAAUGUUGGUUAAACAUGGCAAGAGGUGAAGCGUAAUUAAUUUACCUAUCUAGGCAUUUUAAAUGAGGUCGGAAACGACUUAUAGCAUCUCCGAGAUGACCCCACAUGUCAAUUUAUAAUUCUGUCAAGAUCUGAACUACCAUGUUUAAAUAUUUGUGAAACUGAAAAAUAAAUAAUUUCACGUGAUUCUACGCGUCAUUCCAAUCAAUUUACACAUAGAGAAUAUCUCCAACGGAGCUAUGGAUCAAAAGAUACAAACACCGCAAGAUAUGAUGGCAUGAAUGCAAUAUGUGUGCAACGACAGUCACAAGCAUUUCAAAACAUACAACCAGCAAGAUAAUAUGAAACUACACGAGAUUUUAAGCAAGUUUCAUAUAGGACACGAUCAAAAUGGAGCAACGAUUCAAUAACUACAAGCUAAACAAGAAAUCACUACAAUCUGCCAAAAACAGCCACGUAGCAUUUUCUACACCCUUGAACUACAAGCUACACAAAUCCAAAAUGCUCAAACAAGGAAUGAGACAGUAGAGGGCAAGAUGCACUACAACAUACUACUAAUAACAUCUAGCAUGGAAGCAUGUAUCACAAGGAAAAGGACUCACAAAAUGGCAUCUCACACACACUUUUAGACUUAGUGAAAAUGUCAGUUUUAGACAGCGCAGUUUUCGAUCUGAAGGCAUAUUGACAGCAGAAAAAAUAUAUGCUACAGGGAACCAAAUGACAUGAAAAUUCACAUCAUGCUAGAGAAUCUUAAGGACGACAACUAACUCCAUUGCACCAACCUCAAAAGAACUACAGAUCACCAGAUAAACUCAUGGAAAGACAGCAACAAAAUAUAUCAGAUUUCAGACUUUGAAAUAUUUCAGCAUCUCCAAAUCAGCAUUAUUUUCUAGCAUGUUGAGAGCAAGCAAACAACACCUAAACAUGGAUUUCUAUUGCAACCAAAAUUACCAGGGGCUAGCCCACACAUCCAAGGGCAUAUCUCUAGUUGACAACUCAUUCAUAUCAUGCACGGAUUACAUCCCACAAAAUAAACAAAAGGGCAACAUGGCAAAAUAUUAGCGCACUAACUUGCUCAAAAUCUAAAACUAAUUGCACAAUUAAAUUCUACCCCGGAAUCAAAUAUAAUAUGUGGGGUUGCAAAAUAAAAAUAUCGCCACAUGAAUAUGCGAGAAUAUGUCCUAAACGUGAUAUAGCAAACUAGCGAUCGAACCCACAUGCAAAAUUGCAAACAACUACUCUGAAAUACUUGGCAAAAGGUCCCUAAAAACAUGAGCAUUUAAACUACGGGGUUCGAGCAAUCCAGACACGCAUGAAAAUAAAUACGGGACAAUCAACCUAUUAGGCCAACACGCGUUUCUAGUCAUAUGGCAAGUAAAAUCACUUCAAACAUGCAUGCCAGUUUCCAAUUAUGAAUCUACGCGAAAAAAUAAUCAAGUUUCAUAUUUAAAACAUUCCGAUCCGAUGCACGAGUAAAAAGAUACGAGCGUUUGAAAAACUAGCAUUUUUUGAAAUAAUAGUAAAUCGCAGGACCUAAAUAAAAUACUAAACGGGCCGGAUGUCGACUAUCCGCCUAAACUGUGCACGCGCAAGAUACUACCUAGCGCCUAGUGCACAAAAUAGAGGCGGCAUGGGGUUUUUACCUCGGGCCACUUCGGUCGGCGGUGGAGACGAGGGGCGGCCUGGCCGGGGGGUUGGAGGAGGCCUGGGCCAGGAGGCGACUGGGCACUGGGCCGGUGCGGUCGCUCUGGGCGGCGGCCCACCUGGCGCCAGCGCGCGACGUGUAGGACCUGGCUCCCCGUCCCCGAAUAGGACGCGAGCCAGGCAUGGCGGCGGCGCACCUUCGGCUGGCCGGCGCCGGCGCAGGCCACGGCGGCUGGAGUGCGGGUCGGCGGCGGAUCUGGUGCGCCUCGCGGAUCUGGCCGACCGGCGGGCUACGACAACGACGAGGGUCGGCGCGGGGACCGAAGAGGGCGGCGGGGCGGUGCUCAGGUAGCAGGAGGGAGCCGGCUGGGGGCUAUAGAAGAGCGGCGACGACGGGGAUCCGGGCCGGGGCGGGCCCGGUGGAUGAGGAGGGAGACAGGGAGGUGGAGGUGGCGGCUAGGGUUAGGUGGGCGCGGAAAACGAGGGAGAGAGAGGGUUUGCUGCCUAAAAUGGCAUGGGGUCUAUUUAUAAGAAUGGGGGGGCUAUGUUUAGCAGUUUUUUUGCCCCGGUUUCAAACGCGUGAGCGGAAUCGAACGAUCUCGAACACGGGACGGGCUAAGUGGCCGUGUAGAUUAGGAUAGCCGGAGAUGAGAGGGAAACGGGCACCCGACUACUUGAUUUUUAAAUCACCGAAAAACGUCCGACGAUAGACGGGAUACGGUGCCGCUACGGUCGACCGUUCAGGUACCAGACGGACCCCGACUGCGACGAAAAUUGGCAGGCGGCCUAUCUAUAUUAAAAUAACACCGCACACCAAGUUUCCAACCCAGUCAGGGAAAGUUCUAUACACACUUUUAAAAACAAGGAUUUGACGAUGCCGCGGGCACGUGCGUGUGUGGUCGGGCUCAACACAGGCAACGACGAACACAGAGAACCGACAACUAAUAACGGAUGCUACUUUUGAAAACUGGCGGCAAUGUAGAUGCCAAUGCAAUGCAGAUGAUGCACAUGAUGCGAUGAUGAAGCGACAAAUAAAAAUAAUCACAUGACGAAAACGGAAUAAAAGGGGAAUCUUGUGGAGCGUCGGUCUCGGGCUGUCACACCCCCCCCCCGUUGGGCAUGCCCUAUUAGCUUAUCAUGCCCACGUGGCUCCCUCGACCCUAAUUCCAUUCCUAUAAAUUCACAUCUUCGGAGAAAAAAUCAAAGAGAAAAUUGCAUUGUGAUUUACGAGAAGGAGCUGCUGCCACCUCCUAUUCUUACUCGGGGGGGGCUGAUUUGGAGUCCAUUUGCGGCUACGAAGAGAGGGAUUUGUCCCCGUCAUCAUCACCAACCCUUCUCCAUUGACAAUUCUGUAAUUCUCACCAUCGUAAUUGAGUAAUUCCAUUAUAGGAUUGCUAUACAGUGAUGGGUUUUGGAUGAGAUUGAUCAUGUAUUCGAGUUAAGUUGAUAGGGCUUGAUCCAUAUUAUCCACUAUGUUCUGAGAUUGAUGUUGCUAUGACUUUGCUAUGCUUAAUGCUUGUCACUAGGGCCUGUGUGCCAUGAUUUCAUAUCUGAAACUAUUAUGUUUUCUCUGAAUAUGACAGUUUUUAUAUCCUAUGUUGCAACUUGUAUGCACCUAUUAUGUGUUAUGAUCCGCAUACCCCAAGGUGACAAUAAUUGGGAUUCUUUCUGGUGAUUGUCGUAGUUUUAGGAGUUCGUGUAUUCACCAUAUGUUAAUGCUUUGUUCUGGUUCUCUAUUAAAAGGAGGCCUUAAUAUCCCUUAGUUUCUUUAUGGACCCUGCUUCCACGGGAGGGUAGGAUAAAAUAUGGCAUGCAAGUUCUUAUCGCAAGCACUCAUGAAUAUAUACAUAAUACAUGCCUAUAUUAUAUUGAUGAAUUAGAGCUAGUUCUGUGUCGCUCUAGUGUGUAACUGUUACAUAACGAAUGUCAUCCAUAUAUAUCCAUCGCAGAUCCAUGUGCCUAUGCUUUACAUACACCAAAUCUUGCUAAAGUUACUACUACUACUGCUACGGUCACAACUGGUGCAAAAUUGCUCCUGCCACUAUUACUACUACAACUAUUACUUUUCAUUUCUACUAAAUCUUUGCUGUAGAGAGAUAUCCUAGGUGUGGUUGAAUUGACAACUCAACUACUAAGGCCAUAAAUAUUCUUUGGCUCCCAUGUGUCAAAUCAAUAAAUCAAGGUGAAAUACUACCCACGAAGACGGUUGCGAUCGCCUAUACUUGUGGGCUAUCACAGGGUUUUUGGGUGAGACAAGAUAUGUUCGAGACUCGGGGAUUUAUGCUCGAAUUAACAAAUUGGUUUGGGAAAAUUUAGAGACAAGAAAUAUAACAAGCCUGAAUUUGAUUCAAACUUGAUGCAUUUUAAAAUCCAACCAAAACAAUUUGGAAACGACUGAAAUUUGGAGGCGGGCUUCUAACCAUGGGUUAGGAGUUUUAGAAUAAGGGUGGAUAUCUAAAUAAGGAAGAAAGAGCACACUUGCCAAAAUAAUAAGGAAUAGGGAGGAAAGGAUUUUUGUUGGGAAAUUUGUUUGAGGUAAUUUCAAACAAGAUCAUGCCACAAGGUUGCAAGGCACAUGAUCACAACACACUUUCCCCCAAACAUAGAAUGAUUCAACAAAAUGAAAUGGAUGCCAUGAUGGCACAAUGCAUAAUGGAUGUCAUGAGGAUAAAAUUUAUGACUCAAGUCAAACCAUGGAAUUCAUACAAGCUUGGACUCAUGGAAAUGGUUACAAGAAUGGAGUGUUUCUCUUGGGCUGUUACACAAAUCAUGACAACAAUCACGAUCACAUAUCGAAGCUUCUUAAGGUUUUCUAUCUUGGCUCACAACUUGUUGCUUUGGGUGUCUAUAACUUCAGUUGGUAUUCAUUGCUCAUGCAUCUUAACUUGAUCCUCAUCCGUCUUCACUUUCUUCUCACGUGCGUCUUUCAAAGGAUCAUCAAAUCAGACUCUGGGUGAUCGAGUACGGUACUCGAGAAACUGGUUUACGUAAACCAUUAAGAAACCAACCAAUAUCCAUGUGUGACAAGAGAAUGGGUCAUGCAUCUGUGUGUGCAUAAUUAAUGCCCUGUGAAACUAGGGUUACAAGCAAAAUGUAUAAUUAAUUAAUUAAGAGGGAAAUGUGUUUUGUCGUAUGUUCCUCCAUUCCCUUGUGUGCACACAUGAGAAAUUCUCGAGUUGGAUUUAUUUUGUGUGCGAGGUUUUCUUUGGAACGUGGCAUUUGCAGCCGCAAAAUAGCACAUGUGGGAUGCUUGGACUUGGAUGAGCUUCAUUGUCAAUGGUGUAUGAAAUGGAGCCAGAUCCAACAGACGAUGUGUUGUUGUGAUGUGAUGAUAUGUUGGAUACGUCUGAAAUUAUUGGUCUCACUGAAGAACUCAUGCUGGGUACCUGAUGUUGAGAGAAGAAAUGUACAAGGGGACGAGCGAGGGGAGAUAGAUCUAUUAAUGAAAAUGUUUGGGCGGAUAGAUGUAGUAGUGAUCUACAUAGAUUAUGGAGAGAAAGUGAAGAUGGAGAGUGGGGGUGGAAUAUCGAAACAAAGUGGGGAUGGUGGGAGAGAAGUAGAAGCAUAGAAAAAGGAAUGGUCAAUUAUAGGAUGCAACGAUUAGCUGCGUGCAAAGAAAGCGAACACUGCUAAUUCAUAAUAGUUGCAAGCGUCCAUGUGGUGGAAACUUUGCUUGUUUGGAAGACGCACGUAUGUGUUAGUACACAAGAGGUGAGAUAUGCCAUUAGCAGCGAUCAGUAACAAAGACAUGUUGCUACUUCGUAUGACACUAGGGGCGUGCACCUCGACUGCACGCUUCUAGUGAUCUAUGGCACAACGAAUACAUGCAUAUGCCUACUAGCAUCAUUCACUAUCGUUGGACACCACUAUUGCCUACACAUGCACCACUCAUGUUUUAAGAGGACGUUGCUGGUAGUUAGUCAUGUUAGCGGCAACGUCUGCUCCUGCAGGAACGUUGCUAGUAUAGUAAUCCAAUAAGGUGUUCCUACACUACCGCAAUCCAUUAACUCGAUACGUGGAAAGGUGAAACAUAGAAUCUAGCACUCGAACAUCCUCACUUGCUUUGCAGGUAGAUAUUACGGGCACAACUUAAAGUUCAAGGUUGACUCCGAUUUCUUUAGUUUACAAACCCAUUACUAAUAAAGCUAAACAAUCUAUCCUUCAAAAACUCUCAAGGUCUUGCAUAUUCCUAUGAAACAUCCUUAAUGAACAACAACAAUCAUAGUCACAAUGUGGAUCAACAGAACUUCAAUCUAGAAAACUUGAACUUGGAAUGGAUAAGGAAAUGACAAGCCUCUCGCUUACAAUAGCAAACAUAAAACAAGACCCCCCAAUAGAAUAAUGAAAGAUUUUAGAGGAGAUCUAAUAAGAUUUUGGUAUGAUCUUGCUCUUUCGAAACCAUGUAAUAAUGCAACCUAUCUCAUAGGAAAUCUUCGACAUAUUACACUAUAAAAAAUACUUCCAUGCCGGUGCAAGUUUGUCACAAUGGGUAAUGUUUUCCGUCACGUAUGUACAUCCGUGAUGAUUCUAUGACAAAACAAGAUAGUCAUACAUGUGUUGUCAGGAAAGAGUUCCAUGACAAUGUUCCAUUAUCAUCAUAGAAAAUUUCACUUCCGUGAUGAUAAAUGGAGCGCCAUGCAAGUAUUUUCGUCUAGGUUAACCAACAUGUGGCAUCCACCAUAAUGGGGCAUUGUUAAGCUAUCGAGUGUCAAUUUUGGAUUAGAUAUCCGUUAACAGCCCCGAUCAAUGCCAAUUUCCCACGUGUCAAGUUCUCACUCGCCAACGGACACACAAGAUAUUACGCAAUGAGAAUGUGAUAUUAGCCAAUGAAAAUGUGACCCAUGGCAUGGCCCAAAAAUGGCCGACUUUAGGUAAAAAGGCCAGCCCAGUUAGAGGCCAACAAGAUUUAGGACAUAGUUAGCGGGCCGGCCUUCUUGCACAUGGCCCAUUUGUAGUCACGGUCCGUACGAGCUGUUAAAAGACUGCAAAUGUAGCCCGUCAUCGGUUUGUUGUGCAUUUUCCAUCAUUUCGGCUCAUGGUCGCUUCUGGUCCACUAAGAUCUCAUUUGGGGCCAAUUAUGCCCGGUGAAUAUCCAACAUGUGAAAGUUCAUAGUAUAUUUGGGUGUGGGGACCCCGACUUACGAGUCGAGAUCGCCGAAUGAACUUGCUCAGUGAUCCCAGAGAUCAAUGCUCACCGUACACAUAGAUGUUGAAUAUUAAGAGUCUUAUAUCCAAGUACCAAAAUAUUACAAAACAUGACCGAUAAGGUCAAGUUCACAAUGUAGGGCCUAUAAGGCCAAAUCACAAUGAUACAACUAGUAGAGGAAAUCUUAGGGCUAAGCGGGUGCCCAUGCCAUCAGCCUACACCAACAGACAUUCUGACUGGGAAGCGUCCUAGUUCAUAGGGCCGUCUCCGAUGACAUACUCUUCUCCCAACUCCGGUCCUUCCAUGUCUGGUCAAUAAUAUAACCACUGUCAAGCCAAUGAGUACUUUGAAUGUACUUGCAAACAGCCCCUGAUAUGAACAAUGCAAUUUAUGGAAUAACGAGUAACAUGCAGUAUUGGUGGAUAGCAGCUUCUAUAAAUAAACAUUAUCAUGGAUGUGCAACAUAAGCUAGAUGAUAUUUAGAAGAACAGGUUACAUAUAUCAAUAUAUCUGUUAAGGACCGAACACUCCGGGUUCACCUGAUAUGCCAAGUCACCAAACUUGGUCAUAUCCACUCUUUCUCAGAUAAGACCAUUAAAUACACACACACACACACUUGGUUUUUGUGGAAACGACUGGACGUAGUUUAAGUAGGAUUACCCAACUGUCCUUGACCGUGGACACGGCUAUUCAAAUAGUUUUACACUCUGCAGAGGUUAUACGUUGUACCCACGAGAUCCGGGGAACUUCCGUGUCAUCCACGACUCGCGGUAUAUAACGUACCCGAGGUAAGUACCCGAUCAAUGCCUUUCCCCUGACGAUACUAGACAAAGAGGUCCACUCGAUCGGUACCCAGCCCACAUGAUGUACGUCUUAGGAUCACCGACUCUGGACAGUAUCAUCCAUGCGGGGACCAACGGUGUGCCCGAAACACGUAAAAAUGGCAUAGUCGCCCUACCUGGAACGACCCCGUCACGAGACUGACCACACAUCACUCCCGCCACUAUUAAUGUGGCUCUUUGCUAGCACGGGCUAGAGUAAGCAACAAAUCCCCAUCCCAUAAAGGGGUAACAUGGUCGCAGAUGUAAGGUUGGGACUGUUGACACAUCAUAAAUCUCAUCCCAUUACCGAAACCACUCACACCAAAUACCCGGUGCACCACUUCUCCAAAAGUGGCCACCUAUCUAUCAUCACCCUCGGGCAUUAGUGGCAUCCGACGGGGUUUUCAUAAACCUUUGAUUUAUACCAUCAUCAUGCUCAUGCUUCUACUAUGCUUAGCUCUAGUUGUCAACAUGGUAUUAGCGUGACCCUCAUAGGUGGUAGGAUCAUGCUCACAAUGCAAUGAUUUACUGAUACUUAUGAUCAUAUGCAACGGAAAUAUUUGUUCUACUUAGCAUGCAAUAUAACAUAUGCUCAAACAUGGUCAAAGGAAGGCUUGCUUUGAUCAGCUAAGUAUCCGGGGUCUUCGGGGUCUUCAAGUCCAACUCCUUCGUCAAACGUGGUUUCUAUCGGUGUAAUAAAUAAAAAAGCAAUAAGUGGUUCACUCUAAAAUAGAUCACAAAGUCACUUUCAAAAUGUUUUUAAUUCUGAUAAAUCCAUAUUGUUAUUUUAAAAAUAUUUGUCUCUCGUUUUAGUGAAAGGAUUAUUUUUUAAAGUAUUUUAACAGAAGCAAAACUAUUCCAAAUAGCCUUUUUAAUUAUUAUAAAACAGAAAGUUUGUCUCAAAAAUUGUUCAAAAGUCUCUCUUAACUACUACUCAUUUUUAGAAGAAUUAUGGUGGAAGAAUAAUAAAAAAAUAUUGAAUAUUUAUUUUUAUAAAAAUCUUUCAAAAACAUAUUUAACAGAAAAAGGUAAAGGGGCUAGGCUCGGGUCUGGCUUGGCCCGAGACUAGGGGUGGAAUUCAGGCUGUGGAGAGGUGGGAUGGAGGUGCUGGAGCGAGGGGGAAGCUCUAUUUAUAGGCUUCCGAUGGUGUACUGAGCAGGGUGGCACCAGUGGUUCCACCGUAGCUCGCAGGAGGAGCAGUGUGCCUUCGGGGUCGAAACCACAGUGUGCGGACGUGGUUUAGGACCUGCAUGACCCACUAAGAGGGAGAGAGAGCAAGGAGGAGCGUGCACGCAUGGCCACGGUCUUCUGGAGGAUCUGGCGGGUGUGGGCACGCGCCGCUCUGGUCAAGAGAGCGAGGGAGGAGGGGCCGUGGAGCUGCGCUGAUGCAGAGAGGUGGUCGGGGACUCGAAAUGGCAAAAGGGGGAGCCUUCAACCGGCCGGGCUGGCCACCUUAGCUUCGGGUGUGCCCAACAGCGUGCCCAAAGCGCAGUUUUGGCAUGCCACGACAUGCUGGCACACUUUGGGCGCUUUGGCCUUGUCUGGGCUGUCCUGGGGUUUGGCUUGGAGAUGCCUAGUCGUUUGGGAGCAGAGGGGUUCACUGUUGCCCAUGGGAUGAGAGGAAAUAAGAGAUGCCAGUGCUAGACCGGAAGUUAGAAUGAUGAUUUUGGGACCUUCUGCUUCGAUUCAAAGAGGGGCCACUCUCCUGCAGUUUUGGAGUGGUGCUGGCUACUUGGUCAAAAGGUUUGGAGGGAAGAGCUCAAGUGUGGAGUGGGGUAGGAGCUAUUUUUCUAUUAUGGCAGUAGGUGUUCGACGGGUGUUUGGAGUAGCAACACUUCACCACUAGUGGUGAGAGUUAACAAGAUUAGCUUGGGUGCAAAAAUAAGAUACUCCACCAAAUUUGAGCCUCGUUGGAUGGGUUUGGCAAUUCAAACUAGAAAUCUCCCCCAAAUGGCAGUUAUGUCCCUUCUAAAGGGAUUGUGGGUAGAUUGCCCCCUACAAAUCCCAUUUUUGGUAGAGACUACUCAUUUGGGGUGUUGAACACUCCUGCAAAGUUUCAACCCAUUUGGAUAAACUUUGCAAUGUAAAGAUGUUUCAACUUGGUUAUGGACACAAAGGGUUUUAGAAUUAUUCCUUGGACAAAGGUGAAACUUGGUGUGGCCACUAAAUAUAGCUUGGGAAGGUUGCUGGAAUUUUAUGGGCUUUUAUUGGGAAUAUUUCCUUUGGAAAUAUUCCAAAAGAUCAAAACAGACAAAAUAGGUUUUCAAGGAUUUAAUCAAAUAUUUUGAAUAUAAAUAGGGGUUGAAAAUCUUAUGUAUGGAAAAUAUAUGUCCUCCGAGUAUCUCCAAAUUUUCUCAGAUUUUUCUAAGGCAGAAAAGUAUUUUUCCAUAUAGGAAUAUCAUUUAUGGCCUCAGAAAUAGACAUGCAAAUAAAAUAGGAAAAUAAUUUAUAAAAUAAUUAUUUUAUGGUUUUGGUGAGCUAAAAUAGUUUUAAAACCAGAUCACCAUCUUUGGGUGAAAGCACUCCCUUGCUGCCAAGGACUUGUAGUGCAACCCAAAGCAGGGUUUUGAAAUAGUUAGAAAUAAGAAAAGGAUUUUGAGAAUAUUUAGGUUAUGGAAAAUAUGGUUUUGAUGUUACACAAUCAAGCAUACAAGCAUACAAUGACAACCAUGGCACUCACAGUAUUGGUUUUUGAAAAGUUUUAAUAAACUCGGAUUUUUGAACUACAGUAAAAGUGAAGUGAAAAUAGGGUGUGACAGACAUAUCCCCCUUACAACAAUCUCAUCCCCAAGAAUCCUAAGCUAGUUCCUAAAAAGGUACAGAAAUUCAGAUCGAGAUAGUCUUCACGUUCCCAUGUUGCUUCUGCUUCGGUGUGGUUGCUCCACUGAACCUUGAAAUACUUGAUGGUGUGGCUUCUGGUGCAAAGCUCUGCUUCAUGAAAAAUGUGGAUCGGCCUCUCUUGAUAAGUGAGAUCUGGUUGGAGGUCAAUGGCUUGAUGGUCAAUGUCCUUAUAAAGAUCUAGACGGUUCGGCGCUUACUGACACUUCUGGAGUUGUGACACGAAGAAGACGUUCUGCACACCCAAUAGUUCUGGAGGUAGCUCCAACUAGUAAGCAACUUCUUCACGCCUUGUCGUGAUCUUAAAAGGUCCAAUGAACCUUGGAGCGAGUUUCCCUUUGAUGUGGAAAUGCUUGGUUCCUUUGAGAGGUGUGUCGCGGAGGUACACGUGGUCUCCGAGAACGAACUCCACUUCUCUACCGUGAGAAUCCGCAUAGCUCUUUUGUCGCGACUUGGCUGCCUUCGGGUUUUCUCGGACAAGUUGCACCUUAUAUUCUGCCUCUUGCAGAACUUCUGGCCCGAAAAUCAAUCCUUCGCCGGUUUUGGACCAGUUUAGCGGGUUGCAGUAUUUCCGUCCAUACAACACUUCAAAUGGGGCCAUCUGGAGACUGGACUGACAGUUGUUGUUGUAUGUGAACUCAGCGAACAACAGACAGUCUUCCCAUUUGGCACCAUGUCACAAGACACAUGCACGGAGCAUAUCUUCAUGUAUCUGGUUUACUCUCUCCGUUGUCCGCCCGUCUGCGGGUGGAAGGCGGUGCUCAAAGUGAGCUUGGUUCUGAGAGCUUCUUGGAACUUCUUCCAGAAUCUUGAGGUGAAUUGCGUGCCUCGAUCAGAUAUUAUCUCCUUGGGGACUCCAUGAAGGCUUACAAUUCGCUCAAUGUAGAGGCUAGCUAGCUUGUCGCCCCCAUAGGUGGUACUGACCAUAAUGAAGUGAGACACCUUGGUCAGAUGGUCGACGAUGACCCAUAUAGAGUCAUGGCCUCUGCUGGACCUGGGUAAGCCCGUGAUGAAAUCCAUGCAGACCCGGUCCCACUUCCAUUCGGGCACCUGGAGAGGUUGUAGCAGUCCAGCAGGUCGUUGGUGUUCAGCUUUGACUCCCUGGCACACGUCGCACUUGGCAACAUAGCACGCUAUUUCCCUCUUCAUGACGUGGCACCAUAAUUUUUCUCGGAGGUCCUGAUUCAUCUUGGUGCCACCGGGGUGAAUUGAGUAGGGUGUGUCAUGAGCUUCCUGCAGGAUCAAGCCCUUGAGUUCUUCCUUGUUGGGUAUGCAUAAACGUUUCCCAAACCACACUACUCCUUGCUCAUCCACCGAGCAUUCUGGGGCCUUAUCUUCCUUGAUCUUCUUCUUGAUUCCUUCCAUGCUCUUGUGCCCCUUCUGGGCCUCCUUGAUGUCGUCUGGCAGCAUUGGUUUGAAUUCGAGGUUGGCUAGGAAUCCUGGUUCAACUAGUUCCAACCCGAAGCUUUCCAUUCCUUCAUACAAGGCGAGUAGCCUUUCCUUGAGCAUAACAUUCAAGGUGCUGGCCUUCCGGCUUAAGGCAUCGGCCACCACAUUGGCCUUACCGGGGUGGUAUUGAAUGUUGAGGUCAUAGUAUUUGAUCAACUCCAACCAUCUUCGCUGCCACAUAUUCAAUUCCCUUUGAGCAAAGAUAUACUUCAGACUUUUAUGGUCAGUGUAUAUUUCACAUCGCUUCCCCAGAAGGUAAUGUCGCCAUGUCUUUAGGGCAUGCACUACUGCUGCCAACUCAAGAUCAUGGGUGGCAUAGUUCUCCUCAUGCGGGCGUAGUUGUCGUGACAAAUAUGCCACAACCCUGCCCACUACUGGAAUCAUAGAAUUUGCCAUCAGCUGCUUCUUUGCCGUCUGCUGGCUGAUGGCAAAGACACUCUUUGCCAUCAGCUACCCAAAACCUGACGGCAAAGAGCAGGCUGAUGGAAAACAUCCUCUUUGCCAUAAGUGUACUCUUUGCCGUCUGCAAGAUGACGGCAAAGCACAUGCAGGCAGACAACAAAGNNNNNNNNNNNNNNNNNNNNNNNNNNNNNNNNNNNNNNNNNNNNNNNNNNNNNNNNNNNNNNNNNNNNNNNNNNNNNNNNNNNNNNNNNNNNNNNNNNNNNNNNNNNNNNNNNNNNNNNNNNNNNNNNNNNNNNNNNNNNNNNNNNNNNNNNNNNNNNNNNNNNNNNNNNNNNNNNNNNNNNNNNNNNNNNNNNNNNNNNNNNNNNNNNNNNNNNNNNNNNNNNNNNNNNNNAGAGAGAGAGAGAGAGAGAGAGAGAGAGAGAGAGAGAGAGAGGAGAGAGAGGAGGAGGAGAAGAAGAAGAAGAAGAAGAAGAAGAGAAGAAAAAAAACAAGAAGGAGAAGAAGAGAAGAAGAAGAGAAGAAGACAUAAUUAGCCCAUUUAGCUCCAAAAUGCCAUAAUAAGUCCAAAAUGGCAUAAGAACCUUGGUUAGCUCAUGAAUAUUAUAUUCUUAGCUUGUUUUCCUCUAAAAUGACAUAAUUAGCCCAUAUAGCUCCAAAAAGAAAUAAUUAGAUAAUUUAGCUCCAACAAGAGGAGAAGAGGAGAAGAAAUAGGAAAAAUGAAAAGAAAGAAGAACAAGAAGAAGAGAAGAAAAAUACCUUCUCCUUCUUCUCCUCCUCCUCCUUCUCCUUCUUCUUGAUUUCUUCUUCUUCUCCUCCUUCUCCUCUUUCUUAUGCUCCUUACCUUAUUUUCCCCAACAAUGAGAUAAUUAGCCCAUUUAACUACAAAAUGGCAUAAAAACCUUGGUUAGCACAUGAAUAUUAUAUUCUUAACUUGUUUUCCUCUAAAAUGACAUAAUUAGCAUAUUUGUGUUGAUCGGGUGGAUUUUCAAGUGAUAGUUGUCUCGUCGCUAUUAGGUCUGCUGUGCGAAGACCUCCCCGUGCGUUGUACGAGCUCCGACCCUGCAUUCGUGGGUCAGUACAAAUUUCAUCUCCUCCUCGCCCCUUCAUUUACUGUGGCUAGGUUUCCGGAUGAAACUUUCUAGAUUUAAGUAAUUAAAUUAAUUUAUCAGUAUGCGUGACCAGUAUGCGUCUCCCGUUCGAAAGGGUGACAUCUAUAAAUAUGCAUGUCUUUGCAUAUUUAUAACCGCCAUCCUUUCGAAUUGUCCAACAUUAUCCAUGGACAGCCCGAGUAUGUGUAGAUUGGGUUCGUUUUCCCGUAUGUUGUGCUCUGGAUCCGAUGCGGAAUUUCGUCAGCGCCUCCUUGUUGUUCUCCGGAUGCACAUCCUCUCUGUUUAUUGUGGAGACGUGUAUCACGAGAACAACGGGGAGGUGCUGCCAAAAUUUUGUGUUGGAUCCGGAGCAGAGCAUGGGAAAACGAACCCAAUCUACACAUACUCGGGUGGGAUUAGGACCUAUCUUUACCUAUUGGCGUGUAGGUUGCCUGCACGUAAUAAAAAUGGCGAACCUGAUUAACGGAUGAAUAUAAAUGCUAAAUUAUAUAUAAAUAUAUUUCUUCUGUCUUUAGUAGCUAGGCAAGAUGAGUGAUCAUGUGUGGAUGUAUACCGGUCACCCUAGUCAGAAAGAGAUGGUGAAAGAAUGGUUUGUAAAAACAAAGGAAUUUGUGAAAGUCGCAUUCGCAAAUGGUCAGGAAAGAAACUAUUGCCCCUGUCCUGGAUGCGACAACUAUAAAAAUACGACAGAGGCUGUAAUGAUUAAACACCUGUAGAGGAGGGGUCUUAAGCCUAAUUAUACGGUGUGGACAUUUCAUGGUGAGUCUAUACAACGCACAAGAGCUGACGUGGUCCGUCGUCGCACCGACGAGCAUGGUACCGGGAUCGAAGACAUGGUGCAAGACUUUGAUGAUGCUCGGGAUUCGGAAGAUGAGAUGGAGGAAUCUGCAAAGGCCUUUUAUGAAAUGUUGGAGUCUUUAAAACGUCCUCUCCAUGAGCACACUGAGCUCUGUCAGCUCGAUGGAAUUGCACAAGUAAUAGCUCUGAAGGUUCAGUUCAACUUGGGAAGAGAAUGCUACGACGCGAUGAUCACACUAUUUGGACGCUUCCUACCCAAAGGCCAUGUCAUGCCUGCAAACCUGUACCAGUCGGACAAAAUACUUCGUGUACUUAAGAUGCCCUAUGAGAAGAUAUAUGCAUGCGAGAAAGGAUGCGUCUUAUUUAGGAAGGAGUAUGCACACUUGGACUAUUGUCCCAAUUGCGAGUCUUGCAGGUAUCUUGUGGUAGACAAUGGUAUGGAUGAGAAGAGGCAGACCAAACUCGCAGUUAGUGUUCUUCAGUAUAUGCCGAUCGUACCAAGACUUCAACGUAUUUUCAUGGUCGAAGAGACAGCCAGACAGAUGACAUGGCACAAAUUGGGCAAAAGAACCAAACUAGAUGCGGAUGAGAAUAAGAUGGUGGUACACCCAUCGGAUGGGGAAGCGUGGCAACAUUUCGAUGGAUUGCAUCAGGAUAAAGCGGCAGAUCCAAGAAAUCCUCGAGUCUGCAUCGCCACGGAUGGUUUUAAUCCCUUUGGCAUGACGGCAACCAAAUAUAGUUGUUGGCCUGCAUUUGUCAUUCCACUCAAUCUGCCCCCCCCAGACAGAUUAUGCAAAGAAAGAACAUAUUUCUGACGUUGAUAAUUCCAGGGCCCAAUUACCCGGGGAAGAAUAUGAAUGUGUACCUGCAGCAAGGAUGAAUUGGAAGAAGCUUGGGAUAAUGGGGUCAAGACAUACGAUGCCGCUAGAAAACAAAACUUCAAAAUGCAUGUGUGGUACAUGUACUCAAUGCAUGACUUGUCGGCGUAUGCACAAUUCUCUGGAUGGUGUGUGCAUGGAAGGUUCUUGUGCCCCCAAUGCAAGGCAGCUCUUCAGUUUCAUUGGUUGCAGGAAGGUCGGAAGUAUUCUUGCUUUGACUUGCAUAGACAGUUCCUGGAUCCUGACCAUCAAUUCAGAAAAGACAAGAAGAACUUUACCAAAGGUAAAGUUGUCAAAAACUUGGCACCACCUGUGUUGACAGGCCAACAGACCUGGAUCAGUUAAACGCCCUCGAGCCUGAUCCAGAGCGUCUAGGGUAUUUCAAGGGGUAUAAUUCAAAACACGCUUGAACUCACAAGCCAUGCUUCUCGGAUCUGCCUUACUUCAAAGACCUCCUUCUUCCACACAAUAUCGACAUGAUGCACACUGAAAAGAAUAUCGGAGAGGCUAUUUUUGGUACAUUGUUUGACAUAGAUGGAAAGACAAAGGAUAAUACUAAGGCUAGAGUCGAUCAAGAGAAUCUAUGUCAUAGACCGUUACAAAACAUGCGAGAAGGCAAAGGAAAGCAGAAGUGGUCGAAGCCAAAGGCCUGGUUCAAUCUUGGAAGGCCAGCUAUGAGGGAAAUUAUCUUGUGGGUCAAAAUGCACUUGAUGUUCCCCGAUGGGUAUGCAGCGAAUCUAAAGAGGGGAGCGAGUCUUGAAAAAUUAAAAAUCUUUGGUCUCAAGAGUCAUGAUUGGCACAAAUGGCUAGAGCGGGUAAUGCCGGCGAUGUUACGUGGCUUUGUUCCUGAGGAUGAAUGGCUAGUACUGGCGGAGCUGAGCUAUUUCUUUCGUGUUCUUUGUGCGAAAGAAUUGUCGCCUGGCGUGGUAGAAGACAUGGAGGAGUUUGCACCGGAGCUGUUGUGCAAGUUAGAGAAGAUCUUUCCAUCGGGCUUCUUCAAUCCAAUGCAACAUUUGAUUUUACAUCUACUGACCGAGGCAAGAUUGGGUGGGCCCGUGCAAGAUCGUUGGUGCUAUGCAGCUGAGAGGAUGCAGAAGACCCUUCGAGCUAAAUGUAAAAAUAAGCGUAGAAUUGAAGCAUCGAUGACUGAGGAAUUCAUUACUAAGGAGGUGGAAAACUUUGUGACAACACACUACGAAGCCAAAAAUCGUCAUUUGCAUAAUCUGAAUCCUCGGCACAAUGAUGCAGACCCUUAAAAAGGUGGAUCCAACCUCAGCCUAUUCAAAGGGAAGCUCGCACUAGUCGGUGCUUCGAAAUCAAUAACGUUGGAUGUCGAAGAAUGGCGGAACAUUUUGUUGUAUAUCUUCAACAACCUAACAGAAGUGCGGCCGUACAUCAAGUGAGUUCUCGGCACAUUUUCCCGUAACUUCUAAUUCAUUUGAACUGCUCUUAUUCCUGGAUAUUUCAAACAGCCGUUACGUCGCCUAUUCUCAGAUGGAGCGGUGAUCAAAAUUGAUUCCGUCGAAGAGUAUGAGCUUCUGUCAAAGACAGUAGGCGGCUAUCCCGGUUUCAUCUCUUGGUUGAAACAAACUGUAAUUAUCAAUAAUGGACCAUUUCAUUUCUUGGUCUAACUUGCAGCUAAUGCAACAAUCAUUUCUUAUUAAACUUGUAGGCUAAUUCAGAGUCUAUGGACGUCGAAUUGAGACAAGUCGCUAAUGGUUUUGACUAUAAGGUUCGUUCAUUUGAGAAAUACAACAUCAACGGGUAUCUCUUUCAUACCUUUGGCAAAGAGCUAUCUAUGCCCGACCAGAAAUCUACAAAUUGUGGUGUCUCUGCUAUCGGUGAAGGUGUUAUCGAGUAUUAUGGAAGAGUUGAAGCAAUUUAUGAACUUCAAUUCUAUGGUGAAAACCCACUCAACGUCGUAGUCUUCAAAUGUUAUUGGUUCCAGUCGAAGGAGACUAGAAGGACUCAUGAACAUAUAGGACUAGUUGAAAUCAAUCCAAACACCCAUUUAGAUGUUCCCGAUGUCUAUAUUACGGCUCAGCAGGUGACCCAAGUUUUCUAUCUACCGUGGGCAUGCCAAACGGAUAAGAAUCUGGAAGGUUGGUAUGUUGUUUAUGAAGUGCCUCCACAUGUCAGACCACCUCUCCCAAAUGAACAGGAUUAUGAACCUCACAUUAACCCAGACACAUAUGAUGGAGAAUUCUUCCAAGAAACACAUCUUUCCAAGAAACGUUUCAAGAACCGUCGUGCUUCACCCAAGAACAUGGAAGUAAACAGCGACAAUGAAUCCGACUCCACCCCUGAGCCGGAACCAGAAGACCUGGAACUCGUAGAGGUUACUGAUGCGGAUGACCUGUCAAUGCUUCAACGAUUACAGAAAGGCUUUUCACAACUUCACGCCGUUGAACCCGACGAGCACGUCAUUCAUGAAGACAUGCGUGAUAGUGAUGAUGAUGAUGCAUUUAUUGAUGAUGAUUAUUAGUUUGUAAGAUUCACAACUUAGAUUAUAUAUAUUUUAAUCUUUAUUAUUCAUGUACAUAUUAUUAUUCAUGUCAGUUAUUCAAUUUUUUUAUGUUGUACUAAUUUAUUUUAGUCUUUAUCAUGGCAGGUCACCAGGUGUUGAAAGAUGGUGGGCGCUGGUCCAGAUCGCUAGACGGUUCUUCCCAGGCGCCUCGCACGAGGGGUGGUACAUCCCUUCCACCCCUAUCUCUCCAUAGAGCCUUGGUAGACAGUCUGUCGACACCACUCGUGGGUUCUUCUUCGUCGGCGGCAUUGCCCACUGGGAGAGGUGUUGGUCGGGUAGGGAAGAAGGGGAAGGGUACACGGAGAGGUGGUGGUCGCGGAAGAUCCAGGAGGACUGUUGAGCCGUCCUCGUCACCACCACCAGCUCAUUCACCCGAGCAUAGGACUACUAUGGUCGACCCGUUUGCGGAGGAGGCUAUGGGGACUCCAGUCCAGGAGCCUGGUGUUGACGGGCAUUCGUCCCAUGAGACUCCGGUCCAGGAUCAGCCUUGGGUCGAGGUGCAUUCGGCCCACGAGACUACGAUUCCGGAGGCUUCACCCGACUCGGAGAAGCCCAGAUGGGAUGCCUGGCCGGAUCGGACCAAGUUGCCGGAUUGGACCGAGGGUCCGGGUGGCUCAGGGGGCGGGAUAGCGGGGAUAAGUUUACAGAUAGUGAGGGUAAUGUGCAGGUGGACGGGACCACCGUGUACAAGCGUGGUAGUACACGCCUCCCGGUCGUGUCGGCUACCUGCGAGCAAAGGCCGGUGAUUAAACCUGAAGGAGAUAGGUAAGUACAUUUACUCUUUUUUUAGCUUUUUGCCUUCAAGUUUGUUCAAAUAUCUAAUGCAUUGACCUUAUCAUACUGCAGUGGAUGGGCACACCCUCGUGGAGUCCGCAAGCCUAACUCCAUCCUUGGUGUGAUUUGCCGGACAAAUUUCCCGGGGUUUGUCACGUUGCCUGGUGAGGGUCAGGUUCCUACACUAGGAUUUUCCUGGGAGGACUACCAGGUUGCGUAGGCCCCACCGUAGGAGAUCAUAGAUGGUGUCUUGUGCCACACGAGGGCCGAGAUGGUGAUCAAGAGAUUUUGGGUAAAUUAUGCUUUUACACAAUCUAAAAUUAACAAUAUAGCUAAUUAUUGUAAAAAUCUGUGUCUUCACGUUUGGUUGCAGACCUUCUAUAGGUGUGAGGAUGGAUAUGAGGAGGAGGCGACCAAGGUUCUCGAGGCUGGGUGUAGGCGGUUUCUACAGAACUUACGCCACGAGGCUCGGCCGCAGGCUAUUCGAGACUACUACACCACGCGUGGUAUUAAGAAGCAGAAGAAGGAUUGCCGCGGAAAGUUUCUGAAGAAGGAGCAAUACAUGAAGGUAAUUACCUAUUCUUAAGUCCUUCUAGGUAGUUUUCUUGAUUUCAUUCAUAGGCUUAGCGCUCAAAAUUCUUUCUAAUAACUUACAGGUGCCCCCGAGAUGGUGUGCGGAUAAGAUGGAUUGUUGGGAGGCGUUGGUUGAUGAGUGGUGCACAGGCAGCUGGCGAGCCGUUCACGACAAUGCGAAGGAUCGGCGUAGCCAAAUGGUUGGUGUGCCACACCAUCAAGGCAGCGCCAACUUACUUCAGUUCAGACGAAACUGGGUAUGUGAUUUUCUUCAUGAUUCAUGUAAUUCAUUCUUCAUGCUAAUAUUUUGUUCCUCUCUUUUAGGCGAAUCAUAAUAAGACGGAGAUGCCACACUUGUACGACCUUUAUGGCAUCGCCCAUACUGCCUCGUACAAGAAGGCAAAGGCAUUCUCUGAGUCUGACCUCGAUGAUCCAAAUAACUUCACCAACAUAUCAUCCCACCACAAGCUCGUGACAUACAGGGACACGGGGAAGGCUACGAAAGGGGAUGACUUUAACCCGAGCCAGGAACCUUUGGAUCCAGAGCUGGUGAUGAUAUGUGGUGGCGGGAGGCCCCAUGUCUUGAUAGCCAUUGGAGAUGGGAUAAUACAUUGUCCACUCACUCUCCCGGAGAUCAAGGCGCGUCAGUCGAGCAGCUGUCCUGAGAUAACGUGUCGUCCACGGCCAGUCGAUCUUGCCAUCGAGGUUAGUUGUACGGACUAAGAAAACUUUCAUCCAUUUCAUUAUGUGUGUCACCAUAGAUCAUUACCGUGGUAAUGGGGAAUGGUGUUUCAGGCUGCUCUUCAGAAAGAGAGAGCGGCAAACCAGGCUGCUCUUGAGAAAGAGAGAUUGGCAAGCCAAGCUGCUCUUCUGGCUGGUCUUGAUGAGAGGCACCAGACCACGGCACGAUUGAUUGAGGAGGAGAGGGCCCGGAAUGAGGCGGGUCAACGGGCCCUGUACGAGCUUUUUGUGGUAAGUUUUUUUCACAUUAUCCAAAACAUGUGUGUAAUGUCUGUUUCAUUACUAACUAAUACGACCCACUCUUCAGGGUGUGUGCGAGAAGAGCGGUCAAGUCCCUCCGCUGAUGCCCGUCUUAUCUUCGAUUGGCACGGUGAGUUUCAUUAUAAACUAGUAUUAAUAAUUGAGUGUCAUCAUGCUAACUGAGACACUGCAAAAUAUCUUUUCUAUAGAAUAACUCCCGAGCGGCAUCGCACGACCCUUCUCUAGGUGUUUCUCCUCCUUGAUGACCACUACGGUAAGUUUCUCUUCUCCUCUUUCAUAUUCUCCUUCCCUUAAUUUCCCCAACAAUGACAUAAUUAGCACAUUUAGCUCCAAAAUGCCAUAAUAACCUCAAAAUGGCAUAAGAAACUUGGUUAGCUCAUUAAUAUUAUAUACUUAGCUUGUUUUCCUCUAAAAUGAGAUAAUUAGCCCAUUUAGCUCCAAAAAGACAUAGUUAGCUAACUAAGCUCCAAGAAGAGGAGAAAAGGAGAAGAAAUAGGAAAAAUGAAAAGAAAKAAGAAGAAGAAGAAGAGAAGAAGAGAAGAAGGAGGAGGAGGAGGAGGAGGAGAAGGAGGAGAAGGCCAAGGACCUUCUAGUCCUUCUCCUCCUCCUCCUCCUUCUCCUCCUUCUUCUUUAUUUCUUCUUCUUCUCCUCCUCCUCCUCUUUCUUCUCCUAUUWCAUAUUAUCCUUGCCUUAAUUUCCCCAACAAUGACAUAAUUAGCCCAUUUAGCUCCAAAAAGACAUUAUAAGCUCAAAAUGACAUAAGAACCUUGGUUAGUACAUUAAUAUUAUAUACUUAGCUUGUUUUCCUCUAAAAUGGGAUAAUUAGCCCAUAUAGCUGCAAAAAGAAAUAGUUAGCUAAUUGAGCUCCAAGAAGAGGAGAAGAAAUAGGAAAAAUGAAAAGAAAGAAGAAGAAGAAGAAGAAGAGAAGAAGAAGGAGGAGGAGGAGGAGGAGGAGAAUGAGGAGAAGGCCAAGGACCUUCUAGUCCUUCUCCUCCUCCUCCUCCUUCUCGUCCUUCUUCUUUAUUUCUUAUUCUUCUCCUCCUCCUCCUGUUUCUUCUCCCCUUUCAUAUUCUCCUUGCCUUAAUUUCCCCAACAAUGACAUAAUUAGCCCAUUUAGCUCCAAAAAGACAUUAUAAGCUCAAAAUGGCAUAAGAACCUUGGUUAGCUCUUGAAUAUUAUAUACUUAGCUUGUUUUCCUCUAUAAUGACAUAAUUAGCCCAUUUAGCUCCAAAAAUAUAUAGUUAGCUAAUUUAGCUCGAAGAAGAGGAGAAGAGGAGAAAUGAAAAGGAAGAACAAAAAGAAGAAGAGAAAGAGAAGAGAAGGAGAAGGAGAAGAAGGAGGAGGAGAAGAAGAAGUGAAGAAGGAGAAGGAGGAGAACGAGCCCUCCUUAUUCUCCUUCUUCUUCCCUCCUUCUUCUCCUCUUCUUCUCCUUCUUCUUCUCCUAUUCUCCUCCUCCUUCUCCUUCUCCUUCUCCUCAUCCUCCUCCUCCUUAUUCUUGUUUUUUCUUCUCCUUCUUCUCUUCUUGCUUCUUCUCUUUUUUUCUUCAAUUUAGCUUAUUUUUCAUAUAUAUGUUGUUGUUCUUCUUCUUCUGACUUUCUUAUUCCCAUUUUGCAGAUUGGAUGUACUACAUGCAUGGAAGCUGGCAUUGGAGUGCUUUAGUUCUCGUUUUUAUUUGAGUUGAUGAACAAUGUGGAACUAUAUGUAUAUGUAUAUAUGGAUGAACAAUAUAUGUGCAACUAUAUGUAUGUAUAUAUGGAUGAAACUUUGUAUGUGUUGGUUUUUUCGAUAUAUGGGAUGUACGUUGAUGAACAAAUGGCAUUGAUGAGCUUUAUAUGUAUAUCAUAUAUGUGUUGUGACCUAUUUAUCAUAUAUGUGCUAUGAAUUUUAUAUAUAUGUGUUGUGAAAUAGAAAACAAGUGUGACAAUAUAGGCUCUUUGCCAUCUGCCAGCUGAUAGCAAAGGCCUUUGUCGUCAGCUGACAGACGGCAAAGGUGCCACAUGGCACCCAGCUGUGCUCCCUGGGGGUCCAUAUAGUCUCUUUGUCGUCUACUUCCUGGGGGCAGAGGGCAAAGAAGAGGGCAUAGAGGAGGGGGGGAGGGGUAGGCAGACGGCAAAGCAUGGAGGGGGGUAGGAGGUGGAGCCAGACGGCAAAGAGUGGAGGUGGAGGCAGACGACAAAGAGUGGAGGGGGAGGAGGUGGAGGCAAAUGGCAAUGAAGAGGGCGAGGCAGACGACAAAGCCUUCGUUAGCCCCUAACGGAGGCAACGCCUGUCGGCUGGCGUCUCGACAUAUUUGCUGACUGCUCUUAUGAAAAGCUGACGGCAAAGCUAUUUGACGUCCGCUUCGGUGAGGCUGACGGCAAAUAAGCUACAAUGUCAUCGUAGGCUGACACAGAAUUUUUGCCGACACGGAUUUUCUUUGCCGUCUGUGUAUUACUAUUUGCCGUCGGUGGAUUACGCUUUGCCGUCUGUGAUGGCAGAUGGCAAAGAAGCUAAUUCAUGUAGUGGCCGUCUUGCAUUAGGACUCCACCAAUACAGUUUCUGGAGGCGUCACAAUAUAUCACAAACUCCUUGUUGAUAUCUAGAGUAGCCAAUACUAGGGCAGUAGUCAAUCCCUUCUUCAAUUCCUGGAAGCUUGCUUCUUACUCCCGCGUCCAUUCGAACUUCUUUCCUUUCUUCAAGAGCUGAGUCAUCAGUCCAGCGAUGCAGGAGAAUCCUUCUACAAACUUGUAGUAAAAUCCCGCGAGUCCGAGGAAGCUCCUGACUUCCUUCACAUCGAUUGGCGACUCCCAGUUGGUUACCGUGAUAAUCUUGGAAGGAUCGACCGCCCAUCCGUUUGCCGUCAUGGUAUGACCCAAGAAUCCAACUUCGUCCAGCCAGAAUUGGCAUUUGCUGAACUUGGCACAAAGUUGGUGCUCUCGAAGCUUCUCCAGCACUAAUCUCAAGUGUUGCUCAUGCUCUUCUUCGGAUUUGGAGAAGAUUAAUAUGUCAUCGAUGAAAACGACAACAGACUUGUCUAGGUAUUCCAUGAAGACCUUGUUCAUGAGGUGCAUGAAGUAUGUUGGGGCAUUCGUCAACCCAAAUGACAUGACAAUGCACUCGAACAGACCGUACCGGGCCAUGAAUGCAGUCUUGGGUAUGUCUUCAGGUCGGAUCUUCAGUUGGUAAUAUACUAAUCGGAGAUCGAUCUUGGAAAAUACCUUGGCUCCAUUUAACUGGUCAAACAAGUCUUCAAUCUUGGGGAGUGGGUACUUGUUCUUGAUCGUGACUUCAUUGAGAGAACAGUAGUUGACGCAGAGCCUGAUAGUCCCAUCCUUCUUAGACACGAACAGAAUAGGUGAUCCCCAAGGUGAUGCACUCAGACGAAUGAAACCCUUCCUGAGUUGCUCAUCCAGCUACUUCUUCAGCUCUGCUAGCUCUUCGGAUCCCAUCCUAUAAGGCUUCUUAUAGAUAGGCCUUGACCCGGGCAUGAGCUCAAUGAUGAACAAGACGUCUUGGUCAGGAGGCAUCCCUGGUAGCUCAUCAGAAAAGAUGUCCGGGUAUUAACGGACUAUCGACACUUGGUCCAGCUCUUCUCCCGAUAGGUAAUUUACGUGCGGGAUUUGAGGGAACGUAGGCUCAAGGACAUACUUGACUUGACCCCUUGGUCACUUCUCAUGGUAAUAGUCCUGUUGGCACAGUCCAAGAUGCUCUGGUGCUUGGCCAACCAAUCCAUGCCAAGGAUCACUUCUAAGCUUUGCGACUUAAUGAUGAUGAGAUUACUGAGAAGCUAAUCCCAUUAAUAUUGAUCCUGACUCCUCUACAUCGUAGGUUGGUCCUUAGCACUGCUCCCGGGGUAUGUACUUCCAUUUGCUCGUUCAAACAACAUUUUCCCACAAACUUGUGAGCAAAAGAAUGCGAAGCACCACAAUCAAAUAAUACUGUUGUUGGGGUGGAGUUGACGAGGAACGUACCUAGAAUGCAGUCCGGGUCUUCCUGUGCCUCUUUUGCGGAGAUGUGAUUAAUACGUCCCCUGCUGUGAUACUACUGGAUGCAGGGAGCUUGGUUCCUGCCUGGUGCUCCUUGACCUUGUCCCUGAUUUGGCGCAUUGGGGCGCGGUGCGUCGGGCUUCUUGUUGGGGCACUGCCUGGAAUAGUGCCCAGCAUGUCCACAUCCAAAAUAGGUAAUCUGUCCCGGGAUGUUGGUCUUAACUCCACUAUUGUUCGGUGGGUUGAAUGUUGGAUUGGUGUUGACUUGCUGCUGAGGCUGGUAGUUCUGGCGGAAUGUUGGCGCCUUGUACUGCUGUUGUUGAUAACUGGGUCUUGCUGGUGCUGAUUGCCAUGGGCGUGGUUUCGGGUUACUGGGUCCUCCACUACCCAUCAGCUUGCGGUUAUGGGUGUCGUCCAUUGCACGAUGCUUAUCUUCCAACAUGACGGACUUGUUAACCAGAUCGCAGAAGGUCCGGCAUUCACAAAUAACCAGUUGAUACUCGAGUGACUGCUUCUGUCCUUCCAUAAAACGUUCCACUUUUGUGGCCUCAGUGUUGACGUCCUUUGGUGCAUAUCUCAACAGGAGGUUAAACUUCUGCAGAUACUCCUUGACGAUUCCACUACCUUGCCUUAAUUCUCGGAAUUCCCGCUUCUUAAUGGUCAUCAUUCCGGGAGGAAUAUGAGUAGCGCGGAAUCCUUACUUGAACAAUGUCCAAGUGAUAGCUUGCCCUUCUUGCGCGAUCUCGAACCCGUCCCACCAAUCUCUGGCCGUGCCUCCGAGACAGUGAGAAGCAUAAAGGUCUUUCUCGGGAUCAUAGGUGCACUUGACUAGCACGAGGAGGUCUUCGAUAGUGCGGAUCUAGUCAUCGGCAUCCAAUGGUUCAGUCGUCUCCGUGAAUAUAGGAGGCGUAGUCUGCAUAAAUUCAGAUAGAGUAGAGCGACCGUUGCCAUUUCUGUUUUGUGGCGGAUUGUUCACCGAGACUUGAGCCAGUUGUUGGAUGGCAACAUUAUUGGCUGGACGUUCCUAUCGGUGGUCUUACAGGAACUGAGCCACAGUCAGGCUCUUUGGACGAGGCGGUGGCGGAGGAAUAUCGCCUUGCUGCUGCUGCUCGUGGUGAUCUCCAGCUUGAGCGUAGCCACCGGUUCCCUACUGCUCGCGAGAGGAGGCAGAGCCGUGGUUGCUGAAGGUGCUGGUGCGAGUUGAAAUCACUAUCCUGUCAGGGAAGUAGACAGGUCAAUAUGCCGAAUUGGUCGAGAAUCAUAAGGGAUGAUGCUCUAAUAAGGGGGUUUGGUGUCAUGCUAGUGCGAGAUUUUUAAAUAAAGGUUUUUGGGGAAAGCUAAUGCAUUAAAUUUAGAACAAGUGAUGUAGUCGCUUACAAGCUGCCUAAGGCAGAAAUGCGGCUUGCGUCAUACAUGUUCACACAACACUCAUGGUUCACAUGAACCGAUACAUGGACUCACUACGCUUGGGGAAGACUCCUGAUUGCCUAAGUCAUACUUCUAUGCGGCGGACUGCUCGAUCUCAUAGGCAUGUUCUGCAGGGUCUUCGUCUUCAUCCUCAUCGGUACUUUCCUCCUUCAGAGGUGUAUGAGACGGAAGUGGUCCAUCAUGGCGUCUCUUAGUCGGUGAAGUUGUGAGGAGCUCAGCAUACUCUUCCGUGGUUAGACGGUGACUCUGAAUAGGAGUGGCCUGGAGCGGUGGUAUUCCUCCUUGGAAGGCAAUGGCUGACUGCCCUCCGAGUGCUCCUUCAUUCUCGACCUUCCAGGUCUUCAUCUUUUCCAGGCGAAGUAGGUCCUUGACUUGGUGUUGCUCUUGGCGAAGCGUCAUCGACUCCUUGAUCAGAAGGUGAGUCAAGGUGUCGGCAGAGAGGCUGAAGUAGGUCUAAAACCUUAGUGGCGUCCCGUCCUCCGAAGAUGGGUAGAGUGUCCAACUCCCGUCAAUCCCAUCCUUAAUAAAAGGCAGGUGACAAGUAGCUAGCUCGUUAGCCAUCUCGGGAAGGAUGUCGCGGAGACGCACGAGUGCCUCUCGUCCGGCUGUCUCUACUGCAACAUCAGAUUCUCCAUAUGUGGUCCUUCAAAGAACGAACUACUUGGGGAGUCGUUAGCCUUCACUAUCACGCCCACGUGAUGCUCCUUGGUGUCGGCGUUGACCCAGUGCUCGUGGUAGAGGAAGAUGGUCGUGCGGCAUACUUGACACUUCUCGAGGCUAUCUCCCAAAAGUAGGGGAAAGCCCGUCUCUAGAAGCAUCUCAGGUACGGCAGCCAUCUACAAGUUGUAGGAGAGGGUUAGAAUUUAUUGGUGGGUGCAGAAAAUCUCAAGUGUAAGGGCUAAGUGCACUAAUCGUCUCGGCUAUCGUCCAUGCUACCUAAGGCUUCCUACAAUCAGGAUGGCUCUGAUACUAGCUCUAUGGGGACCCCGACUUACGAGUCAAGAUCGCCGAAUGAACGUGCUCAGUGAACCCAGAGAUCAAUGCUCACAAAACACACAGAUGCUGAAUAUUAAGAGUCUUACAUCCAAGUACCAAAAUAUUACAACACAUGACCGAUAAGGUCAACUUCACAAUGUAGGCCCUAUAAGGCCAAAUAACAAUGAUACAACUAGUAGCGAAAAUCUUAGGGCUAAGAGGGUGACCAUGCCAUGAGCCUACACCAACAGGCAUUCUGACUAGCACGCGUCCUAGUUCGUAGGGUCGUCUCUGAUGACGUACUCUUCUCCAAACUCCGGCCCUUCCAAGUCUGGUCAAUAAUAUAACCAGUGGCAAGCCAAUGAGUACUUUGAAUGUACUCGCAAACAGCCCAUGAUAUGAACAAAUUAAUUUAUGGAAUAACGAGUAACAUGCAGUAUUGGUGGAUAGAAGCUAGAUGAUAUUAAGAAGAACAUGUGGGGACCCCGACUUACGAGUCUAGAUCGCCGAAUGAACGUGCUCAGUGAUCCCAGAGAUCAAUGCUCAUUGAACACACAGAUACUGAAUAAUAAGAGUCUUACAUAAAUACAUACCGUUUGAUACAACGAAUGACCAUUUCGGUCAAUCUUACAUAUAUAGGGCCUUCGGGGCCAACACACCAAACUGGACCAGUAGCGGAAAUAUUGAUCGAAAGCGUGAACCCAUGCCAUCAGCCUUAACCUACAUGCAUUCCGACUAGGAAGCGUCCUAGCUCGUAAGAACGUCGCCGAGUUACUCUUCAUCAUAUCCUGUUCUUUCAUACGUGGUCAAUGAAAUAACCAGUGGCAAGAUAAUGACUACUUUUGAUUGUACUCGCAAACAGCCAUGAUAUGAACAAUGAAAGUGAAGGAUAACAUUAACAUGCAUCUCUGGUGGAUAUCUCUUGGUAGUAAAUAAACUUGAUCGCGGGGAUGCAUCAUAAGUUAAGAACUACCUUUGAGGAACACGUUAUAGAUAUCAAUAUAUCUGUUGAGGGAAGAACCAUCCAGGGUCACCCUAUAUGCCAAGUCACCAAACAUGGUCAUAUCAUUAAUGUCAUAAUAACUCCUUUUCGACACAACUACCUCACACUUGGUUUGUGCGGAAAUGACUGGACGUUGUUUAAGCAACACCACCCAACUGUCCUUGACCGUGGACAUGGCUAGUCGAAUAGUUUUACACUCUGCAGAGGUAGUACGCUGGACCCACAAGAUCCGGGAAACUUCCAUGUCAUGCACGACUCGCGGUACAUAACAUACUCGAGGUAAGUACCCGAUCAAUGCCUUUCCCCCGACGACACUAGACAAAGAGGUCCACUUGAUUGGUACCCAUCCCACAUGUUGUACGUCUUACGAGCACCGACUCUGGACAGUAUCAACCAUGCGGCGACCAACGGUAUGCGUGGAACUCAUAAAAAUGGCAUAGUUGUCCUACCUAGCACGACCCCAUCACGAGAGUGACCACACGUCACUCCCGCCACUAGUAAUGUGGUUCUUUGCUAGCACCGACCAGAGUAAUUAACAUAGCCCCGUCCCAUAAGGGUAAUGUGGUCGUACUGGUAAGGUUGGGACGGUUGACACAUCAUAAAUCUAAUCCCAUUUCUGAAACCAUACUCACUCAAAAUACCCGGUGCACCACUUCACCAAAAGUGGCCACCUAACUCAUCAUCACCCCCGGGCAUUAGUGGCACCCGACGGGGUUUUCAUAAGCCUUUCAUUUAUAACAACAACAUGCUCAUGCUAUUUACUCUAUCAUUACUUGUCAACAUGAUGAUAGCAUGAUCCUCAAAAGGGGUAGGAUCAAGCUUAAUGCAUGUGCUCCGGAGGAGCCAUCGGUAACAUCACCUUAGUGAUUUACCACCACUUAUGAUAAUAUGCAACGGAAAUACUUGCUAUCUUAACAUGCAAUUAUAACAUAUGCUCAGUCAUGGUCAAAGGGCUGCUUGCCUUUGCUCACAUAAGCCCUCGGGGUCUUCGAGCUCUUCCACUCCAACUCCGAGUACCCCGUUUACCCGUCAACUAUCGUCGGAAUCAACCACGGUAAGCCACACAGCAGGCAGAAAUAAAAGUGCUACAAAAAUAGAAGUUAUAUUUUUCUUGGACCCCUAUGGUCUUAAAAAAAUACGUGAAGCUUGUCAUAGGAGGUUUGGAUCAUCAGGGAUUUCUGAAAGGAGGAAAGGGGGAUUAGGGGAUUCUUUAUGAAGCCCACAGAAUAAAUUAUGAUAAAAAUAAGUGGAGGCACUCAUUCAACAUCGAACAAUUUUAGAAAUAUUUAGGAAGUUGUUUCACUAGAUUUGGAGUCGAAAUGAAUAUUCUAGGAAUUUUCUAGUAUGGAAUAAAUAUCAAUAGGAAGCUAUUUAUUUAAAUCAACAGAAUAAAGCCUCAUAAAAAUGUUAACCAAUGCUCUAGAAAUAUGGCAUGAUAUUAGAAGGCUCUAGAAAUUGGAAUCACUCCAUUUGGAGCUAAUUUGAACCCUAUAGGAUAUUCACAAAGUGGGGCCAAAUAUAUUCAGAUUUGGAUUUAAAUAAUAACACCAAAUAAAGGUUGCUUGGAAAAAUGUUCAAAGCACAUAUUUGGAUAGCCCUGAAUUUUAGGAACCUGCAGGAGUUUGAAUCAAACAAUUUGGAGUUAGAAUGAUUUUUGAUGGAUUUUUGAAGUUAUACAAAAUAGGAAAAUGAGAAAAGGAGCUUAACCUCGGCGUUAUCUUGCGCCCACAGGCACGGCUUGGCCAGCCGCGGCCACGCAGGAGGCGCAUUGCGCGAACUACGCCUUCCCGUGAGUAGGCGGCUUCUUACGGAGGCACAACCACUUAAACCAGUGGCCCCGGGUCUUAUACGCUGACUGUGGGGCCCACCCGUCAGCUCCUUUGUCCUCCUCCCGCUCGACAGAGAGGAGGGAAGGGGAGGCUGGGCCGUGCGGCGCCGGCACCGAUUUGGCCGCUCUGGGAUCCAAGAGCGAGGGCGAGCUCGGCCUUUGCCCGAGUUGGAGCGAGGAACGGAGGAGGGCCUCGGCCAUGGGGCUUACACGCCGCGGGGGAAAGAGCUAGCAGGCUCCAGGGAGAGAGCAGGAGUUGGGGAAGAAGCUAGAGAGGGUUAGAGGAGCCGAGAGGGGCUCGGGAAGAAGGAAUAAGAGAGGGAGAAGCGAAAAAGAGCUUAGGAGCUCUCAAGAGCUUCCUAGUGCAAGGAUGCCACGCGUGCCUCAGGAAGCUUCGAAGCUUGCUGAUGAUGGGGUGUGGUUUGAACAGUCAAAAGAAAGCUCUGAGACAUGCUGAGACAUCUUGGACCAGCUUGAAAUGGACUGGAGGAAGGAAACAAAGUGCACAACACCAUUUCUGCACUCUAGGGUGGUGGUCACCACCCCACUUGGUGUCCUGGGCCACCCUUUGGCCAGGCCAAGGUGUCAAACAUGCAAGGCAUGCAGGCCAUAAGGCACUGGUGAAAUUUGGCCCCAAGUGGAGAUGGUCUGAACAGGUUUCGAUUGGUGCUAAGUUUGCAGCAGCAAACUUAGGGCUUCUAAUGAAGGCACUAACAAGAGAGAUAAUGGGGGGAAAGCAUGUCUAACAGCCUUAGGCAUGGAAGGACUUCAUUUCUGCGAAGUUUCAACUCAAGCAAGGGAGGGUAGCUACUACUUGUUGUACAGAGUUAUGUUUCAGCCACAAUUCAACUUGAGGAUGUGCUGCUCAUUUUCUCCACAUGAGCAUGCCAACUCUUGGCUUUAAACAUUGCUUUGGGUUGCUAGGGACCCUCUGGCAAUAGGUGGGGCUUUAGCUUACACAGAAGUGGGGCAAGAGGGGUAAAGAUGGUGAUUCCAAGUGUAAAAUGAGGAAUAAUUACAUGGAUCCUCUCUCCAAUGAUUAACCAGUGGUCAUGUAAAUGUUACUGGAGGUAAGAUGUAACUAUAUGAAGCUCUUGUAGAAAGUUGAGCUCAAGGGUAAAAGUGGAAGGGGCCAAAGUAGCUAAUAAAGUGAAUGCACACAAGGUGUUUGAUGAGUGGCAGAGCAAUCAAAUGGACUUCAAUGGAUACGAAACUAAAUAGGAUCAAAUAAUAGAAGAAAAUAAGCUUGGACACCAAAUUUGGGAUUUGGUGGACAAGGUUUCCAAUCUAGACUUGGAAAACCCUUGAAAUGGGCAGAAAUACUUUCUUCUUACAAAUCCAUCCAAAUCAAUACCCACAAAUCCAAUAUUUGGUGUGGGGCAUUAUUUGAGAUUUAAGGCAUGCACACAAAGUUUGGGGUCCAUUGGAGAAACUUUAUAAUGUAAAGUUUCCCAAAGUCAGAAAUCAACAAAGAGGGUUUUGAGGGGCUUCGAACAAGUUCUUCUAUUCUCCUUGAUGCACCACUUAGUGUGGAUGCAUUAUUGGAGUAUUAGAACAUGCCCGCCAAAUUUGAGCACAAUUGGAGAUACUUGACAACGAAGAGCUGCUCAAAUUUAGAUCUGAAUAGAUAGGGUUUUAGAAUAAUUAGAGCAGUCAAAUCAACUUGGAUUGAGAUGAAACUUGGCAAGAUCAUCAAACAUAUCAUAGGUGACAUGCUGGAAUUUUACUAGAAUUUAUUCAGAAUAUUUCUUAUAGAAAUAUUCAAAAAGAUUGAAAUAGGCAAGAAGGGUUUUGGGGGGGUUUGCCCAAUAUUUUGAACAUGACCAUGUCUUGAAACUCAUAUAUAUGGAAUAUACAUACUCACUGAGUUUCCCUAAAUUUUCUUAAUUAUUUGGAAAGCAAUAAAAACAACUUUCCUUCAUAAGAGACCAUUUCUGACCUCACAGGAAGGCAUUUAAAUAAAAUAAUAAAAUAACUUUAUAACAAAAAUAUUAGGGUUUCUCGAAGACAUUUUGAUAAUAGGUUUUAAAUAAAAUAAUUGAUGCAAAAUAAAUUCCCUAAUUUGAGGACUUGUAGUACAAACCUCAUUUGAGGGGGUUUGAAAGCUUAAUUCAAGGAAAUGCAUUUUGGUGAAAAUAAUAUUUGGUAAAAAUUGUUUCUGGUCCUAAACACAUGGCAUGAUCAUUAGGUAUGAAUUUUGGGCUAGGGAGGUGAGUGUGGAGAGUAACAGAAAUUGCUGAGAAUCAAUCACAAGCAUACAAGCAAGCAAGCAAACAAUAGUCACUUCAAGCAUCACAAGUAUUCACAAAAAAAAUUAAUUGGUCCUAAUUUUUGAAAUAAGUUAAUUAGUAAGGAAAGCUAAACACAGGGUGUUACAGACAUUACCCCCUUAAGAAAAUCUCGUCCCCAAGAUUUGUUAAGGAGAAAACAAGGGCCUACUCCUGCUAUGUUGCUGGUUUCACCGGUAUCAAUAAUCUAAAACACUCGGUCCGACGUGGUCACUUCAAGAGUGCCACUUAUUGGUGCAUCUGUGUUCUACGAAGAUGUCGGAGAAAGGAAAAUUUGCAAUACCUGGUUGCUAGUCGUACCUGGUGCUUGGCCCCUACUCCGGCUGACAGGUGGGCCCAGGGGGCACCGUCAGCCUCUUCUUCUUCCUGUGAUGCUUCUUUCCUGAGUGAGUCCCAUGUGCUGCCUCCACUUGCAGUGCUUAGGGCGUAGGGCGUCCGGGGCCGCCCUGCGGUGGUGCGCGGUGAGCCAACUGCCGACGCAACGAGCACUCACCUCGUGGGCCUGUGCAUGUCGGCACUGCUCUGGGAUUCCUAGCGAGCACCGAUGGUCGAGCGGGAAACAGGGUUGGUGGCCUUGCGAGUGGCUCUCCGAGCCUGGCUAUAAAUUGGCCAGGGAGUCCUUCUCUUUUUCCCACCCGGCCUAGUUCCUUGCUCCUGCUCCGGUCCUCUUCCUCCUUCUUCUUCUCCUUAGAGGUGCUAGAGGAGGGAUGCCAAUGGCGGACAAGACCCCGGGGUGGCUCAUAAUAUUCCUGUCCAGGAUGGUGGCGUUGCUGGUCGGGGUCUCGACGCUAUACUAGGUGAUCAUCCACGAUGAUCAUCAUGAUAUUGUCGCCCACACGGCGGCUCUCUGCGGCAGCAGAGUUCGUGAUGAUUAGGCAUCUGCUCAGUGCACGUGUGGUGCUAGUGUGCUAGUGGUGUCUCUGUGAAUAAAUACAUGCGCGGUUUCUUCUUACGAAGGAACCGAGGUGCAUCAUUGUGGCAAGUGGUUAGGUGUUGAUGUGUGUGCGGCUUUGAACGCUGUUGUGGUUCGGGUGGAGGUUGCUCCCGGUGCAUCUAUCCUUGCUGGUCUUAUUGUCUUGCAUGUCGUAGUCGGCGUAGUUGACAUUGGAGCUGCAAUAAAAUGUGUUGUUCCCUCUCCGUUGCCGUGGCUGCUUGAUCAUGUUGACGCUUCAUCAUGCUGCAAGAAAUUGUCUUCGGUUGCUCGAGGGUUACAGUCUGCAGAGUGUGUGGCUCGUCUAAACAUGACUGAGGUAUUCAUCCUCUUACUCGUGAAUGAGCAUGUCAUUCGCGAGGACAACAACAUAUCUUUCCCAAGCAUCUCGUAAGUGCAGUCCUCAUGAGACAGGUGAGGGGAAUGGGAUCUUGCUAUGGGCGGGUACUGGCCAUAUUCCAACGACUUAGAGUCGUCCUCUAUGGUCGUAAUCCAUGCAUCUUGUGGCUCGGUGAAGCUUAGGGUCUCAAGGAACUUAGGAUGUGGGUGAACAGUUAUCAUUGUAUCUCUAAGCACACUCCUUAGAUGCCAGUAGUUCGACCUCUAACUUGGGACGACAUCAACCUAUUUCAGCAAAGAUUCCAUCUCACUUGGGUCAUCUCCACACUACUCAUGCUAGUCAACUCCAGGGUUGAGAGGAGAACUAAUCCCAAACACUACAAGUACGUCAUAGCUACGAUGCACAUACAUUCUUAUGCAAGAACCUCGGGAAGGCCUACAAGCUCCUAAGCUUGAAUUUAAGACACCACAAAUCCAAAUGUCCAGCUAGAUCAUCCAAUUGAUAGGGUACUGCAUUACUAGAUUAAGGGAACACAUAGUAUACCAAUCCAAUAUCGUGUUUCCUUUCUAUGAAUCCGAUCAAGUGAUCCAUCAAUCCGAUCAAUCAUUACUGGACCUAUCACUCCUACGAAUCCAAUAUUUAUGGGUUCUACAUAAUCUCUUCGAGUCCUCAUAAUUCACAAUUUACUGUAAGGUUUAUGUCAUAGUAUAUCCACCAAUUUCCAAUAUCAUGGCCAUCUAAUCUCCAAGGCCAGUUCACAUAGGUUCAUGAAUAAAUUUGACAACUCCAAGUAUACGCACUUAUAUACAUCGAGAAACAUGGUAUCACGAUUAAGAUCAUCAAGCUAAAUCCAAUUCACUCCGAACCAUGUGGCCUCAUAUAUCAUCAAUAGUCUUCCGGUCUACCUAUUUAAAUCCAAUCUCAAGUCCAAUAAAGAACUCUUUCUUGAUACUCUGAGUCAUUUUGGUAAAAGUAGCAAAUCAUGCCAACUACGUUCUAAAGUCAUGUAUACCACCAACAAUUUAUUGUUCACGAUCAUAAUCGUCCUACUAAAUCCAACCUUACUCCAGGAAUAUGUAGGUUAUGCUACUAUAUCAACUUGUUCCAGCAAAUUCACCUACAUUAUAAGGGUAUUCCGGUACACCAAGAUAGUCCGGCUAUAUCCUCAAGACACCUAUCAUCAUCACAACAAUCUUUAGUAUAAUACUCUUAUAUCACAGAACGGUCCUUCUUAUGGCAUCAGGGUUAUGGUGCUAGCUUGAGAAUAAUGAAUGCUCGUUCACCUUGAUCACCUGUUCCUUAAAGAACCUGUUGCUAAGCGGGGUUUUAAUCGGGGCUCAACGGGUGUUUCUGGCAAGUCUGUGUAGUAGACGCGUGACCAAAAAAUUUGAGACGGAAAGGCUUGUGGAGGUUAGUCUGGUCUAGAGUGGUUUUCCAAUCUUGGAGUAAAGGCAUAACUCCUACGGGUUGUGUGGUUAAUCAUGGCAUAAUCAGUGUCUUCAGCCUCAGUUGUCCGUCGAAGUGGAUUUCUGAUGCAUCAUGUCUUGUUGGUCUUCAGUUGUCGAGAGGGGUGAGAGAGAGUGUAGCACACAGGGGAGUGCCUAAGGGGUGCUAAAAUGCGAGUGCAAUCAAACAAGCGUUGGAAAGUGAACUCAAACAAGUGCCAAAACCAUUUCGAACAUCAAAAUAAGACAGGUGAUAUAAUUGCAUGCUUGUUUCUCAAACAAUAGUGUGACUUAUAUCAAAGCACAAACAACAAAAACAAACAACACACAAUACGGUCCAUUCGAACCAUUUCACGGACUCAACUUUGCAUAGGGGAUUUACGACUCAUCCUACCCUAGGGUUCUCGGACUCGAUAGUUGUGCCUGCUUCGUGCUUCGAGGAGGAGUCCCUAAGUCUUCUGGACCUUCUCAUGGUGUUGCCACUUCUCUUGUUGUUGCUCGCCAAACGUCUUGGGUUGAGUUGAAAGAAUCAUUGAUGACUUUUCGUCUGGGAAGUUGGUGACGAAGGUAGUUCUUCAUUGCUGUCAUUUACAGGGUCUUCUGUUGUCGUCAUGAUCCUGUCUUCGUCUUCUUGUCUUCUGAGAGUUCGAGAGUCUCAAGUGGACAUCUUCAUGCAUUGAUAUUUAAAAGACAUGAUCGAGUUCUGAUCAUCGACACCUGGAGUGGGGGAUGAAGAGAACCGUUUUCCUUCUCACUAAGGUGAGGCGGACCAGUUGGCGAGGUUGCCAUCCACCGGUUGUGGUCGACACAACCAUAAUGUUGACAUGGUCACUCUAUUAAAGAUGCAGAUAAUGGUCGUGCACAUAUUAUGUCCUGAUCAUCGUAGGUGGAAGUGGCGUCACUCUGGAACAGUGCCGAGGGUGUUGUCAUCUUCUAAGCCUCGAUGUCCUUGUUCCUCUUGGAAGUACUUCUGUUAGUGUCGUCUGGUCGUAGAGUUGUCUUCUUUCUCCUUCAGCACAGGGGUGAUUGUGUGGAAGGGUUGUUUCCUUCCAAGUUUCCCAAGAGAAUUUUGAAGUAAUCCCAUGGUCAGGAAUGAGGGUGCUAGCGGCUAUUUGCAAGUUUUGAAGAUGCACACGAGGGAUGUCAAGAAAAUAAGAGUGGAAAUGCUAAGGCAAAACUUUGCUUCCUUUGAAAAUUUAGGAGAGGUGAGAAAGAUACAGGUUUGUAAAUACCUUUGAAAAGUAUGGAAAGCGGUUUUAUCCUAACUAACGUUCGUGCUAACUAAGGCUUCCUACAAUCAGGAUGGCUCUGAUACCAGCUCUGUGGGGACCCCGACUUACGAGUCGAGAUCGCCGAAUGAACAUGCUCAGUGAUCCCAGAGAUCAAUGCUCACCGAACACACAGAUACUAAAUAAUAAGAGUCUUACAUCCAUACAUACCGUUUGAUACAACAAAUGACCAUUUUGGUCAAUCUUACAUAUAUAGGGCCUUGGGGGCCACGGCACCAAACUGGACCAAUAGCGGAAAUAUUGAUCGAAAGCGUGAACCCAUACCAUCAGCCUUAACCUACUUGCAUUCUGACUGGGAAGCGUUUUAGCUCGUAAGAACGUCGCCGAGUUACUCUUCAUCAUAUCAUGUUCUUUCAUACCUGGUCAACGAAAUAAUCAGUGGCAAGCCAAUGAGUACUUUUGAUUGUACUCGCAAACAGCCAUGAUAUGAACAAUGAAAGUGAAGGAUAACAUUGACAUGCAUCUCUGGUGGAUAUCUGUUGGUGGUAAAUAAACUUGAUCACAUGGAUGCAUCAUAAGUUGAGAACUACCUUUGAGGAACACGUUACAGAUAUCAAUAUAUCAGUUGAGGGAAGAACCAUCCAGGUUCACCCUAUAUGCCAAGUCACCAAACUUGGUCAUAUCAUUACUGUCAUAAUAACUCCUUUUCAACACAACGCACUCACACUUGGUUUGUGCGAAAACGACUGGACGUAGUUUAAGCAGCACCACCCAACUAUCCUUGACCGCGGAUACGGCUAUUCGAAUAGUUUUACACUCUGUAGAGAUAGUACAGUGGACCCUCGAGAUCCAGGAAACUUCCAUGUCAUCCAUGACUCGCGGUAUAUAACAUACCCAAGGUAAGUACCCGAUCAAUGCCUUUCCCCGGAUGAUUGUAGACAAAGAGGUCCACUCGACUGGUACCCAGCCCACAUGUUGUACGUCUUACGAUCAUCGACUCUGGAUAGUAUCAACCAUACGGGGACCAAUGGUGUGCAUGGAACUCAUAAAAAUAGCAUAACCGUCCUACCUGGCACGACCCCAUCACGAGAGUGACCACAAAUCACUCCCGCCACUAGUAAUGUGGCUCUUUGCUAGCACCGACCAGAGUAAUUAACAUAGCCCCGUCCCAUAAUGGGUAACGUGGUUGUACUACUAAGGUUGGGGACGGUCGACACAUCAUAAAUCUAAUCCCAUUUCCGAAACCAUACUCACUCAAACUACCUGGUGCACCACUUCACCCAAAGUGGCCACCUAACUCAUCAUCACCCUCGGGCAUUAGUGGCACCCGACGGGGUUUUCAUAAGCCUUUGAUUUAUACCAACAACAUGCUCACGCUAUUUACUCUAUCAUUACAUGUCAACAUGAUAAUAGCAUGAUCCUCAAAACGUGUAGGAUCAAGCUCAAUGCAUGUGCUCCGGAGGAGCCAUAGGUAACAUCACCUUAGCGAUUUACCCGCACUUAUGAUCAUAUGCCACGAAAAUACUUGCUAUCUUAACAUGCAAUUAUAACGUAUGCUCACUCAUGGUCAAAGGUCUGCUUGCCUUUACUCACAUAAGCCCUCGGGGUCUUCGAGGUCUUCCGCUCAAACUCCGAGUACUCUGAUUACCCGUCAACUAUCAUCGGAAACAACCAUGGUAAGCCACACAGCAGGCAGAAAUAAAAGUGCUUCAAAAAUAGAAGUUAUAUAUUUCUUGGACCUCUCUGGUUUCAAGAAAAAUACUUGAAGCUUGCCAUAGGAGGUUUGGAUCAUCAGGGAUUUCUGAAAGGAGGAAAGGAGGAGUAGGGUAUUCUUUAUGAAGCCCAUAGAAGAUACUAUGAUAAAAAUGAGUGGAGGCACUCAUUCAACAGAGAACAAUUUUAGAAAUAUUUUGAAAGUUGUUUCACUGGAUUUGGAGUUGAAAUGAAUAUUCUAGGAAUUUUCUAGUAUGGAAUAAAUAGCAAUAGGAAGCUAUUUAUUUAAUACAACAGAAUAAAGCCUGAUAAAAAUGUUAAGCAAUGCUCUAAAAGUAGGGCAUGAUUUUAGAAGGCUCUAGAAAUUGGAAUCACUCCAUUUGGAGAUGAUUUGAACCCUAUAGGAUUUUCACAAAGUGGGGCCAAAUAUAUUAAGAUUUGGAUUUCAAUAGUAACACCACAUAAAUGUUGCUUGGAAAAAUGUGCAAAUCACAUAUUUGGAUAGCCCUGAAUUUUAGGAAUCUGCCGGAGUUUGAAUCAAACAAUUUGGAGUUGGAAUGAUUUUUGGAUGGAUUUUUGAAUUUAAACAAAAUAGGAAAAUGAGAAAAGGAGCUCAGGGUUAUCUUGCGCCCACGGUGCUAGAUAGGCCUUCGGGCCGGCCCACUGGCUCGGCUUGGGAGCCGCGACCACGCAUGGGCCGCAUUGCGCGAAGUACGCCUUCCGCUCGAGGAGGCGGCUUCUUACGGAGGGGGCCACUUAAACCAGUGGCCCCGGGUCUUAGCCGCUGACUGAGGGGCCCACCCGUCAGCUCCUUCGUCCUCCUCCCGUUCGACAUAGAGGAGGGAAGGGGAGGCUGGGCCGCGCGGCGCCGGCACCGAUCUGGCCGCUCCGGCCACCUCCCGCGGCGCUCCGGCCACCAGCUUGCUCGGGGCAUCGAGUCGCGUCGACCUAGAGAUUCCGUUCCCGCACGGGAACCGCGAGGAGAGCGGGCCUUGGCCGCGGUUGAGAGUGGCGAUGGUAGCCGUGGGGCGGCGCCCCGGCCACCUGGAUGGAAGCAAGGUAGGGGAAAAAAAUGUCCCGGAGGGUCUAGGAGGGUUACAGGGAUCCAAGAGCGAGGGAGGGCUCGGCCUUUGCCCGAGUUGGAGCGAGGACCAAAGGAGGGCCUCGGCCAUGGGGCUUGCACGCUACGGGGGAAAGAGCUAGCAGGCUCCAGGGAGAGAGGAGGAGUUGGGGAAGAAGCCAGAGAGGGUUAGAGGAGCCGAGAGGGGCUCGGGAAGAAGGAAUAAGAGAGGGAGAAGAGAAAAAGAGCUUAGGAGCUCUCUGGAGCUUCCUGUUGCAUGGAUGCCACGCAUGCCUGAGGAAGCUUGGAAGCUUGCUGAUGAUGGGGAGUGGUUUGAACGGUCAAAAGAAAGCUCUGAGACAUCUGAGACAUCUUGGACCAGCUAGAAAUGGACUGGAGGAAGGAGACAAAGUGCAGAGCACCAUUUCUGCAAUCCAGGGUGGUGGUCACCAACCCACUUGGUGUCAUGGGCCACCCUUUUGCCAGGCCAAGGUGUCAAACAUGCAAGGCAUGCAGGCCACAAGGCACUGGUGAAGUUUGGCCCCAUGUGGAGCUGUUUUGAACAGGUUUUGACUGGUGUUAAGUUUGCAGCAGCAAACUUAGGGCUACUAAUGAGGGCACUAACAGGAGAGAUAAUUGGGGGAAAGCAUGUCUAGCAGCCUUAUGCAUGGAAGGACUUCAUUUGUGCAAAGUUUCAGCUCAAGCAAUGGAGGGUAGAUACGACUUGUUGUACAAAGCUAUGUUUCAGCCACAAUUCAACUUGAGGAUGUGCUGCUCAGUUUCUCCACAUGAGCAUGCCAUCUCUUGGCUUUAAACAAUGCUUUGGGUUGCUAGGGACCCUGUGGCAAGACGUGGGGCUUUGGCUUACACAGAAGUGGGGCAAGAGGGGUAAAGAUGGUGAUUCCAAGGGUAAAAUGAGGAAUAAUUACAUGGAGCCUCUCUCCAAUAAUUGUCCAGUUGUCAUGGAAAUGUUACUGGAGGUAAGAUGUAACUAUAUGAAGUUGUUGUAGAAAGUUGAGCUCAAGGGUAAAAGUGGAAGGGGCCAAAGUAGCCAAUAAAGUGAAUGCACACAAGGUGUUUGAUGAGUGGUAGAGCAAUCGGAUGGACUGCAAUGGAUAUGAAACUUAACAGGAUCAAAUAAUGGAUGAAAAUAAGCUUGGACACCAAAUUUGGGAUUUCAUGGACAAGGUUUCCAAUGUAGACUUGGAAAAUCCUUGAAAUGGGCAGAAAUAGCUUUCUGCUUACAAAUCCAUCCAAAUCAAUUCCCACAAAUCCAAUAUUUGGUGUGGGGGCAUUAUUUGAGCAUUAAGGCAUGCACAAAACGUUUGGGGUCAAUUGGAGAAACUUUAUAAUGUGAAGUUUCCCAAAGUCAGAAAUCAACAUAGAGGGUUUUGAGGGGCUUCGGACAAGUUCUUCUAUUCUCCUUGAUGCACCACUUGGUGUGGAUGCAUUAUUGUACUAUAAGAACAUGCCCACCAAAUUUGAGCACAAUUGGAGAUACUUGACAAUGAAGAGCUCCUCAAAUUUGGAUCUGAACAGAUAGGCUUUUAUAAUAAUUAGGGGAGUCAAAUCAACUUGGAUUGAAAUGGAACUUGGCAAGAUCAUCAAACAUAUCAUAGGUGACAUGCUGGAAUUUUACUGGAAUUUAUUGAGAAUAUUUCUUAUAAAAUAUUCCAAAAGAAUGAAAUAGGCAGGAAGGGUUUUGGAGGGGUUUUCCCAAUAUUUUGAACAUGACCAUGUGUUGAAACUGAUAUAUAUGUAAUAUACAUGCUCACUGAGUUUCCCUAAAUUUUCUUAAAUAUUUUGAAAGCAAAAAAAAACUACUUUCCUUCAUAAGAGACCAUUUCUGGCCUCACAGGAAGGCAUUUAAAUAAAAUAAUAAAAUAACUUUUAAAAUAAAAAUAUUGGGGUUUUUGGAAGUUUUUUUGAUAAUAGGUUUUAAGUAAAAUAAUUGGUGCAAAAUAAAUUCCCUAAUUUGAGGACUUGUAGUACAAACCUCAUUUCAUGGGUUUUGAAAGCUUAAUUCAAAGAAAUGCAUUUUGGUGAAAAUAAUAUUUUGUAAAAAUUGGUUCUGGUCCUAAACACAUGGCAUGAUCAUUAGGCACGAGUUAUGGGCUAGUCUAGAGAGUAACAGAAAUUGCUGAGAAUCAAUCACGAGCAUACAAGCUAGCAAGCAAACAAUAGUCACUUCAAGCAUCACAAGCAUUCACAUUUUUUUAAUUGGUCCUUAUUUUUGAAAUAAGUUAAUUAGUCAGGAAGGCUAAACACAGGAUGUUACAGAACAUGUUACAGAUAUCAAUAUAUGUGUUAUGGGUUGAACACUCCGGGUUCACCCGAUAUGCCAAGUCACCAAACUUGGUCGUAUCCACUCUUUCUCAGAUAACACCAUUAAACACACACACACACACACUUGGUUUAUGUGGAAACGACCGGACGUAGUUUAAGCAUGAUUAGCCAACUUUCCUUGACCGUGGACACGGCUAUUCUAAUAGUUUUACACUCUCAGAGGUUGUAUGCUGUACCCACGAGAUCCGGGGAACUUCCGUGUCAUCCAUGACUCGCGGUAUAUAACAUACCCGAGGUAACUACCCGAUCAAUGCCUUUCCCUUGACGAUACUAGACGAAGAGGUCCACUCAAUCGGUACCCAGCCCACAUGAUGUAUGUCUUAGGAUCACCGACUCUAGACAAUAUCAUCCAUGCGGGGACCAACGGUGUGCCCGGAACAUGUAAAAACGGCAUAGUCGCCCUACCUGGCACGACCCCGUCACGAUACUGUCCACACAUGAGUCCCGCCACUAGUAAUGUGGCUCUUUGCUAGCACCGACCAGAGUAAUCAACAAAGCCCCGUCCCAUAAAGGGGUAACGUGGUCGCACAUGUAAGGUUGUGACGGUCGACACAUCGUAAAUCUAAUCCCAUUUCCGAAACCACUCACAUCAAAUGCCCGGUGCACCACUUCUCCAAAAGUGGCCACCUAUGUCAUCAUCACCCUCGGGCAUUAGUGGCAAACAACGUGGUUUUUAUAAACAUUUGAUUUAUACCAUCAUCAUGCUCAUGCUUCUACUAUGCUUAACUCUAUUUAUCAACAUGGUAUUAGCAUGACCCUCAUAGGUGGUAGGAUCAUGCUCACAAUGCAAGUGCUCCGGAGGAGCCAUCGGUAACAUCACUUCAAUGGUUUACCGAUACUUAAGAUCAUAUGCAACAAAAAUAUUUGUUCUACUUAGCAUGCAAUAUAACAUAUGCUCAAACAAGGUCAAAGGGUUGCUUGCCUUGAUCAGCUAAGUAUCCGGGGUCUUCCGGGACUUCAAGUCCAACUCCUUCGUCAAACGUGGUUUCUAUCGUCGUAAUAAAUAAAAAGCAAUAAGUAGCUCACUCUAAAACAAAUGACAAAGUCAGUUUAAAAAUGUUGUUUAAUUCUGAUAAAUCCAUAUUGUUAUUUUAAAAAUAUUUGUCUCUGGUUUUAGUGAAAGGAUUAUUUUUAAAAGUAUUUUAAUAGAAGAAAAACUAUUCCAAAUACCUUUUUAAUUAUUAUAAAGCAAAAAGGUUGUCUCAAAAAUUGUUCAAAAGGCUGUGUUAAAAACUACUCAUUUUUAGAACAAUUAUGGCAGGAGAAUUAUAAAAAUAUAUUGAAUAUUUAUUUUUAUAAAAAUCUUUCAAAAACAUAUUUAACAGAAAAAUGAAAAGGGGCUAGGCUCAGGCCUGGCUUGGCCCGAGGCUUGGGCCGACCCAGCUAGCCAGCCAGCGAGCCGAGGCGCACGCGCGACUAGGUUCAAACCUGACGCGCACACCCCUGCGGCUUGCGGCAAAGAGGAGAGAGAGGGGGAGACAGGAGCCACCGACAGCUGAGCCCCACCUGUCGGGGUCGUCUUCCACCUUGGGACAGAGAGGAGGGGAGGCUCGCCGGUAAUGCUACCGACGGCCUCGAGCCCAACCAAGGGCAGAAAUGGAACUAGCCUACCGUCGCCUACCAGCUGGUGGUCGAGAGGUCGACGGGGAGGCCCUGCUUCACACGCGACGAGGUGGCUACGACGGAGCAGUUUCGGGAGGUCAAUGAACUGGGUGCUACGGGUGUGGAUAAUCUCAGGGAGGUGAUGGGGAAGCUCCUUGAGGUUGCAAGGAACUCGUAGGAGGUGAAAGGAGCACGAGAGCUGUCCUGUAGCCUGAGAUCGACGGAGCUCCGAAGCAGCGGGGCCUCGGCCGAUCUCGAGCAUAGGAGCUCGUUAUGCGCAAAGGGAGAGGCUAGGGGUGGAAUUCAGGCUUUGGAGAGGUGCGAUGGAGGCGUUGUAGCGAGGGGGAAGCCCCAUUUAUAGGCUCCCAACGGUGUACUGAGCCGGUGGUUUCACCAUAGCUCGCAGGAGGAGAAAUGAGCCUUCGGGGUCGAAACCACGGUGUGCGGAUGUAGUUUAUUACCUGCGUGACCCACUGAGAGGGAGAGAGAGUGAGGAGGAGCGUGCACGCGUGGCCACGGUCUUCUGGUAGAUCUAGAGCGCGUGGGCAUGCGUCGCUCCGGCCAACAGAGCAAGGGAGGAGGGGCCCUGGAGAUGCCCUGAUGCAGAGAGGUGGUCGGGGACUCGAAAUGGCUUCAAGGGGAGGCUUGAAUCCGCCGGGCUGGCCACCUUAGCUUCGGGUGUGCCCAACAGAGUGCCCAGAGCACAGUUUUGGCAUGCCACGGCAUGGUGGCACGCUUUGGGGCACUUUGGCCUUGUCUGCGAUGUCCUUGGGCUUGGCUUGGAGAUGCCUAGCGGUUUGGGAGCCGAGGGGUUCACUGUUGCCCAUGGGAGGAGAGGAAAGAAGAGAUACCAGUGCUAGACGAGAAGUUCGAAUGAGGAUUUUGGGGCCUUCUGCUUGGAUUCAAAGAGGGUCCACUCUCAUGCAGUUGGGGAGUGGUGUUGGCUAGUUGGUCAAAAGGUUUGGAGGGAAGAGCUUAAGUGUGGAGUGGGGUAGGAGUUGUUUUGCUAUAAUGGAAGUAGGUGUUCGACGGGUGUUUGGAGUAGCAAUACCUCACCACUGGUGGCGAGAGUUAAUAGGAUUAGCUUGUGUGCAAAAAUAAGAUACUCAACGAAAUUUGAGCCUCAUUGGAUGAGUUUGGCAAUGCAAACUAGAAAUCUCCCCCCAAAUGGCAGUUAUGUCCCUUCCAAAGGGAUUGUGGGUAGAUUACCUCCUACAAAUCCCAUUUUUGGUAGAGACUCCUCAUUUGGGGUGUUGAACACUCCUGCAAAGUUUCAACCAAUUUGGAUAAACUUUGCAAUGUAGAGAUGUUUCAACUUGGUUCUGGAUAAACUUUGCAAUGUAGAGAUGUUUCAACAAAACCACCUUGGAAUGACGUGAAACUUGGUGUGGCCACUAAAUAUAGCUUGGGAAGGUUGCUGGAAUUUGAUAGGAUUUUAUUGGAAAUAUUCCAAAAGAUCAAAACAGACAUAAUAGGUUUUCAAGGAUUUAAUCAAAUAUUUUGAAUAUAAAUAGGGGAUGAAAAUCUUAUGUAUGGAAAAUAUAUGUCCUCUGAGUAUCUCCAAAUUUUGUCAGAUUUUUCUAAGACAGAAAAGUAUUUUUCCAUAUAGGAAUAUCAUUUCUCGCCUCAGAAAUAGACAUGCAAAUAAAAUAGGAAAAUAAUUUAUUAAAUAAUUAUUUUAUGGUUUUGGUGAGCUAAAAUAUUUUUAAAAUCAGAUCACCAUCUUUGGGUGAAAACACUCCCUUGUUGCCAAGGACUUGUAGCGCAACCCAAAGCAGGGUUUUGAAAUAGUCAGAAAUAAGAAAAUGAUUUUGAGAAUAUUUAGGUUAUGAAAAAUAUGAUUUUGAUAUUACACAAUCAAGCAUACAAGCAUACAAUGACAACCAUGGCACUCACAACAUUGGUUUUUGAAAAGUUUUAAAUUUUUGAACUAUAGUAAAAGUGAAGUGAAAACAAGGUGUGACAUUGGGCUCAUAUACGACCUAAUGAUACUUUCAGCCAAUAAACGAUUUGUGUAGGAAUUGGGCCAUUUUUUGCCAGAUUUGCAUUUCAGCUUAUAAGCGACACAUUGUAACGUUGGACCAUUUGUAGCCUAAUGUGCCUUUCGGCCCGUUAAUGACCGGCGCUACACAUGGGUCAUGUGUGGUCUGAUGUAAGAUUGGGGCUAUUAAUGGCUCGUAUAUUCGAUGACAGAUAUCCAGCUCGCUGAUAUGUCUCCAAUGUAUCUAUAAUUUUUUAUUGUUCCAUGCUAUAAUAAUAUCAUUCUAUGAUAUUUUUGUGUAUUUAUUUGAUGAUUCAUAUUAUUUUUUAGCACAAACCUAUUAACCGAGUGCCAAGUGAGAGUUGGUGUUUUCUAAAUGUUUUUUAUUUUUCAGGUUUACAGUACCAAACGGAGUCAAAAUACCACGAAACGUUUUGAUGAUUUUUCUUGACCAAAAGAAGACGUGGAAGACUUGGAAGAAGGCCAGGGGCACACGAGGGCCCCACAAGCCAACAAGGCGCGCCCAUGGGGGUGGCUAUGUCCUGUUAGCUUCUGGGCUACCCCCUCAUCUACUAACCCCAUUCUCUGGCUUAUAAAUUCUCAUAUAUUUUGAAAACCCUAGGGGCUCCCCAAACAGUUCCUCCACUGCCACAAGUAUGUGUUCCGCCGUGUGCCCAUCUGUUGCCCUAUUCUUGUGUCAUGCCAGAGGGGGGUGGGGUCGACCAUGGAGGGCCUCUACAUCAACCUUGUUGCUCCCAUGGUGAUGUGUGAGUAGUCUACCGCAGACCUACCGGUCCAUAGAUAGUAUAUAGAUGGCUCUAUCUAUCUAUCUAUCUAUAUAUAUAUAUAUUUAUGUUUUUCAAUACAAAGUUCAUUGCAUCUUCACGAUGAUCUAUUCGUUGUAAUCACUUUGUGCGGUGCGUUUGUUGGGAUCCAAUGAAAUGUGGCUUUACGUUAAGAUUAUUCAUGAUAAAUAUUUGAGUCUUUUCUGAAUUAUAUGAUUCUUAUUUGCAUCAUUAUUUUAUAUUCGUAAAUAUCUCCAAACUUAUUAUUUGAGUUUACUCUGUCUACAUCAUGUCAUUGUUCUCCAAACAUUACUCUAUUUUACUUAAUACUCUAGAUGCAUGCUGGAUAGCGGUCAACGGAUGGAGUAAUAGUAGUAGAUGCAGGAAGGAGUCAGUCUACUUGCUUAUGGACAUGAUGCAUAUAUACAUAUGAAUAUUUCUGUGAAUGAAUAUUGCAUAACACUACAGGAAUUAGCUUCUUUGUCGUCCGCCAUAACAAAAACGGCAAAGAGGACUCCACCGACGGCAUUGAUUAAUCCACAAACGGCAAAGAGAACACAUGUCGGCAAAGAUUUUGCGUCAGCUUACGACGACAUUGUAGCUUCUUUGCCGUCAGCCUACCCUAAGCGGACGGCAAAGCUCUUUGCCGUGAGUAUCUCGCACCGAGCAGUUGGCAAAUAAUUUGAGACGGCAGCCGUCAGGCAACGCCUCCGUUAGGGCUAACGGAGGCUUUAUCGUCUGCCUCCCUCAUCCCAUUUGUCGUCUGCUUUCCCCAACCCCUCUGCCGUCUGCCUCCCUCAUCCCCUUUGCCGUCUGCCUCCCUCAUCCCCUUUGUCGUCUGCUUCCCCGGGCAGCAGACGACAAAAAAGCUAUAUGGGCAGCUGCUGCUGCCCCCCCAGGGUGCACAGCUAGGUGCUAUGUGGCACCUUUGCCGUCAGCCAGCUGAUGGCAAAGGGCUUUGCCAUCAGCUCACAGACGGCAAAGAGCCCAUAUAGCUUUUGUUUUGUUUGAUUUUUAUUAUUUCACAACAUAUAUAUAUAUAUAUAUUUCACAUCACAUAUAUGAUAUAUAUUUCACAACACAUAUAUAUAGUUCACCACACAUAUAUGAUAUACAUAUAAAGUUCAUCAAUGUACAUCCCAUAUAUUAAAAGAACCAACAUACAAAGUUUUACACUGUUCAUCCAUAUAUACAUAUACAUAUAGUUCGACAUUGUUCAUCAACUAAAAUGAAAACUCGAACUAAUAAGGCACUCCAUGAAUGCCAGCUUCCAUGCAUGUAGUACAUCCAAUCUGCAAAAAUGUGAAUAAGAAAGUCAGAACAAGAAUAACAUAUGAUGUUUCUGAGCUAAUUAUGUCAUUUUAGAGGAAAACAAGCUAAGUAUAUAAUAUUCAUGAGCUAACCAAGGUUCUUAUGCCAUUUUGAGCUUAUUAUGUCAUUUUGGAGCUAAAUGGGCUAAUUAUGUCAUUGUUGGGGAAAAUAAGGUAAGAAGAAUAACAAAGAGGAGAAGAAAGAUGAGAAGGAGAAGAAGAAGAAGAAAUCAAGAAGAAGGAGGAGAAGAAGAAGAAGAAGAAGAAGAAGAAGAAGAAGAAGG